rnacentral:lncRNA from 1 species
UACUUUUUUUUUUUUUUUUUUUUUUUUAUCGUUUUAACGGAAACAGAAAGUAAAUUGGAGUUUUUUUUUUAAUUCUGUGGGUUUUUAUAUUAUUGGGUCUAGUGAUCGCCUCUUAUGUCGAAACGAGUGCGAAAUCAGAUCUUAAGAGUGUUUAAAUUGAUAAGGUUUUUAAAAGAGAUCGCCGGCAAAGAUGUGAGGGACAAAACAAAUAAAUCUGAAGAAGCGCAUUUUUUUGUCGUCUAGCCUAUUACUUAGUAUGAUACACAGAAGGUAAGUAUAUUUUAAUUCAUUAGACGUUGGAUUGUUUGAAUGCAACGUGGAAAAGUUACUGAAUAUUGACCAGUUAUCGUCAUUACUAUCUACUGUUUGCACAAAAGCUGGAGUCCUUGAAGCUUUGAUUAUUUGGAGCUCUGUUUGUGCUCUUUUCCCUUGUUUUCAUGGUUGUUGUUAAAUUAGUUUUAUAUGAAUAAGAAAUGAAAACAGAGUAGUUUCACUGGAUAUGUGUUUUUUUUUCCAACUUUUAAGUUGCAAUUUUGAAAUAAACUUGUUAGUUUUAUCAAAUGUUGGUAUUAUAUAAGUGAUGGAACAGAUUUUAUGAUUGAUAUCAAAUGAAUUAUAGACAUAUAGACUACCAACAUAUUCAUCAAUAUAUAGCUUUUUGUUUGUUUGGCAAUUGAAAAUUGUUGUUUGGAAAACUAUGUUAUGUUAUUUCAUUAUAACCAUGGUUGUAUAUUGGAUAAUUUGACAAACUUACAUAAUUUGACUCUACGUAGAAUAACAUUUCUCGAGAAGCCCAAACAAUGGUCCUGGUUGAUCAUCCAAAUGUUCUAAAAUCGCAUUGUUCGUUUGUGAGUGAUCAUACCCUAUGGGUGGUCAUGCCUUAUAUGGCUGGGGGUUCUUGUCUUCACAUACUCAAGGCUGUACAUCCAGAUGGCUUUGAGGAGACAGUUAUUGCAACCAUAUUACGUGAUGUACUAAAGGGAUUAGAGUAUCUUCACAGUCAUGGCCACAUUCAUCGAGAUGUUAAAGUAAGUUGCCGUUGAACUUUUUGAGCAAAUUGUAUGCAAAAUAGUCUUGAUUUCAAUCUUCAUUACAUAUUAUUUUUGCUUUCAAUCAACAGCUUAUCAUAUUUAUAAUGACAUGCAACAGCAUGUGUUGUGCAAUACGGCAAUUGUGUGUUUAAAUACACAAGUGUACCUAGUUACAAGUUGUGGGCAACUUCUUGUUACUUCAUAGUUUAACAACACAGGCACGAAAUUUUAGUUCAAUCUUCAUUACCACUUGGUAUAUGCGCAUAUAGUAGACUUGUCCAAAAAAUCAACCAUGAAUAUGAAAAAGUAUUACAGUGUAAGUAUGUAAAAUAUUCUAAGAAUAAACUUGAGCUUUUCCACUAGGUAGUAAUGUUUAAUAGAUGAACCUGCAUGUGAGGUAGAAAAGACUUUUGGGAGGCCUUAAUGUUUCUUAGCUAUGUAUAAUGCUUAUACUACAGAUUAAGUGAAGAAAACAUAAAGCUGCAUGUUACCAUUCCCGGUAGAAAAUGCCUAGCUAAGGCAUCUCUUGUUUAAUAAAAACUGAAAGAAAGCUUCGAUACAAGCAGGAUGAAUAAUUUUGUCCAAUUGGAAGCAUGUUGAGUUUCAUGCUUUUGAUAACUUUUAAGAUCAAAUAGGCAUAUGCAUUAAAAGAGAGGAGCUAAUCCUAAUUGAUGAGAUGGUAGAGCAUGGCUUUGGAAAUUCGUUGAUGGCAAUAUUUAAGACACUUAAACUGUAUCUUGUUGUUAAUGCGACAGCUUUAUGCAUUAAAAGAGGAGUGCUAAUCCUAAUCGAUGAGAUGGUAGAGCAUGGCUUUGGAAAUUCAUUGAUGGCAAUAUUUAAGACACUUAAACUGUAUCUUGUUGUUAAUGCGACAGCUUUUUUGAAAGUACUCAAUUUAGAUCCAUCAUCAUUUUCAUUACCCUUUUUUUUUGCACUCUUAGGCUGGAAAUAUUCUCAUCGACUCUCGUGGUGGAAUCAAAUUGGGAGAUUUUGGUGUUUCUGCUUGCUUGUUUGAUUCAGGUGAUAGGCAGCGCACGAGGAAUACAUUUGUUGGAACUCCUUGUUGGUAUGUUCCAUAGCAAGAGACUACUUUUUCACAUUUUAGCACUUUCUCAAUGUUAUUUUGUUUGUUUGAAUGACUACGUUGGAGGAUUUCUUGUUAAUACCUUUAUAAUUCAAAAGCUGAUUCAUACCCAUGCAUAAGUACAUUAAGUUAGUCUACUAUAUCAUCUUAACCAGUUUUUUAUGAUUCAAGCUUAUGUUCAUUUUCUUAUCACUUUUCUUUCUGUCGUGUGUCCAUUUUCUUACAGGAUGGCGCCUGAGGUUAUGCAAUUGCAUGGUUAUGACUUCAAGUAUGUCUAAAUCUUGUCUCACUUUGUAAAUUUGGAUUUAAGAUAUAAAUUCUAUGUAUUUAAUUUGGGUUUGUUUAUCUUGAAGAGCUGAUAUUUGGUCAUUUGGUAUAACUGCUUUGGAGCUUGCCCAUGGCCAUGCUCCUUUUUCAAAAUAUCCCCCAAUGAAGGUGUGCAUCUUCAAGUGACAUGCUUUUUAUGUUUGACACAAUCAAAAAAUUGUUAGUUUGAGCAGGAUCUCAUCUUAUAGGUUUUGCUUAUGACCUUGCAAAAUGCACCUCCUGGUCUUGACUAUGAGAGAGACAAAAAGUUCUCAAAGGUAUGCUAUUGACAAAUAUGAUGUUUUUUUUUCCAUUAUGAUUGUAUUCUGAGAUGUUGUUGGGCCUUUUUCCUAUUAUAGUCCUUUAAGCAAAUGAUUGCUAGUUGCCUGGUAAAAGACCCUUCCAAACGGCCUUCGGCAAAGAAAUUAUUAAAACAUCCCUUUUUCAAGCAAGGAAGGUCAAAUGAUUAUAUAUCAAGGACGCUCUUGGAUGGUCUUCCUGCUCUGGGUGACCGACUUCAAGCACUUAAGGUUAGUGAAGUAUGGCUUUUGAUACAAGCACUAGUUUUCAUUUUCAUGGUUAUUUUUGUUGACAGUAUUUUAUGUCAACCACAGAGAAAGGAGGAAGAUAUGCUAGCACAAAAGAAAAUACCAGAUGGGCAAAAAGAAGAAAUGUCACAGGUUUGAUUCUUCAAUAGGCACUGUUUCGAGGGAACUAAUAAUUUUUACUUUUUUUUUUUGGUUGCAUCCUCUGCAAGAUUAUUGAGAAUUAUGGUGAACAAUAAAUAUUGAUAUUGGUUAAACAUGCCUAUGUAGGAUAGGCACUUACAUGUAAAUUUUGGGUACCCAAUUGAUAGUGACUGUAUCUAUGGUCAUGACAAUCAUCCUUUGUGGCUAUUAGUGUAUUAACAUGUGAACUAAUAUGAGCAAUUGAUUAACGUGAAUCAAAAUGUGCGUCAUGCUCCAAACUUCUUUUCUUCCAAGAACGUAGACAAUUGUACUCGAGUCAUUUUUCAAAUGAUCUAGUUGCAUGGAUUGUUCCUAUGACAGUUGAUAUUGAGGUUUUAUAAUCCUUUUUGACAAUUUACGUGUCUAGUUAUUGAUCCGAUGUAUAUCCCUUGCAAGAGUAUGUUUGGAGUGUCAAGUUUUACUCUUUUGAAGGAAAUUUAGGAUUUUGGUAAUAUGCCCAAUUGUUUAGCAAUUGUUUUAUUAUCUAAUUUACCUAGGAAGUGAAGCUGCUUAAGAGUUGAUGUUUGGUACUCCCAUGAUGGUUGUGAUCUCUUAGGAUAUUGCUAAAACCUGUACUAGAAUUAUUACAUUGUCAAUUGUCUCAAUUUAUUUGGUUCUUGCACUACUUAAUUUGUUUUCAAAUGUCUGCAGAAUGAGUAUAAACGUGGCAUCAGUGGUUGGAAUUUUGAUCUUGAAGACAUGAAGGCUCAGGCUUCCCUGGUAUAAUAAAUAACUUUGUCUAGUAUAUAUAUAUUUUUAGAAAUAUUGUAUUCUUGGUUUUAGGAUUUGAUGCUAUUCUUUUUAUCUAAUUUAUUCUUUAUCUCAGAUCCAAGAUGAGGACAUUAUUGUUGAGAAAGACCAGAAAGGGAGUACGAAUUCACUCUCAAGUCUUGAUAUACAUGGAAAACAAUUUCAACGUCAAUUGUCUUCAGCCAGUCAAUUUGCACUACAGCGUCAAUCGUCAUUUGCAAGUCAAUAUUCAGAUCCUGUAGGUCAUUUUGGUUUUUACAAUGUGUUCUACUAGUAUGUAACACUAUGAGAGCUGCUCUUCUUGAUGACCUAAUGUCUUGUCGCUUCUCAGGAUGACAAUAAUCUGAUUACUCAUCCUUCGUCAGCUGAUUCUACCGUGGUCUAUAAUAUGUAUGUGAUCCUACAUCAAAGUUUGAUUCAUUGUUUUAAUCACAUUGGUGCAUGCAUUUUACUCAAUCAUAAUUUAUGAGCUCAUAUUUGGUUUUAAUGCAUAUUGGGCGCGUUACUAAAGAACUUGGAUCUCAUACAUUUUAGUCUUUUAGGGGUUCGCUAAUUCAAUAUAAUUUGCAGAGCUAAAAGCGAGAAAUCUGAUGAUGAUGCAAGCUGUUUCAAUUCAGUCCAUGAGCACCAGAACUCUAUCCCCCAGAUUGAGUAUCAUGCAGAAACUAAUUCUUCCAUAAGACCACAUCCAGAGACCAAUGGAAAAUUAGCAGAGAAUUUCAUGCCAUAUUCUCAUCAGAGGUAAAUUCACUUUUGUACAGUGGAUUGGACCAUUUGCUAAAUUAUGGUUUUAAUGAAUAAGGGAUAAGAAUUUUUCUAAACUUAUCCAAUUUUUAUGAUUCAUGAUAGUUAAGCAUUCCCAAGAAAAUCCUCUUACAAAAUUUGAAGAUUUUUGUGCUUUAAUGACCAUUUCUUCAUCCAUAAUCAUUUUUCUAGGAACUUUCCUUGCUACAUUGAUAGCAUCUUGAUGUGUACAUGCAUGUUUGGUGAAUUUUUUUUUAAGUUUAUUAAUUUCUCCUUUUAGAACAUGUUUUUAUUUAUUUAUUUUAAAAAUAUGCAGUGAUAGUUUUCAAAGUCAGCCACAAAGCACAUCAAAUUACAAUGUUGAUCUUCCUCAUCAAGCAGUAAAUGAUGUGCCUUCUGAGACAAGUUCUAAGGCUUCCAAAACAUCAGGCAAGAUUUUGCUAGUUUUACAUCUUUUUUGUUUAAAUGCAUUGCGAUCUUGUUUCUUGAUUUCUAUAGCUGUCAAAAGAUAAUAAUCUUUUACAUAAAACACACUUUUUGAGCAGUAAAUAGUGACGAACUAGAUGAAAAAGCAAAAUGCCCUGUUGUUCAGCAAAAAGGCCGUUUUAAGGUUACUUCCGAGAACGUCGACUUUGAAAAGGUGAUUUCCAUUGUCUUAACGUUUAACAUCCCGCAAUAAUGUCUGAACGUACUUUAGAAAUUUUCUUUUUUCUUUUUUCAGGUUUCCCCUUCUCCAAUUCUUCAGAAAAGUCAGAGCAUGCAGGUGAGCUUUUUUAGGUGAUGCAUAAAAAAAACAAUAUUCUGUUCAUUAGAUGUCUUGUGCAAUUGCAUCCCUAAGUACAGCAAUUGCAUGAUUGCUACUUUGUCAAUUGUCAUUAUAAAGUUUUUUUAAAUAGCAUUACGGAUAAUGCAGGUCAUUUCACCACAGCCUGGUACAUCUAUACCAGUUACUCUAAGUGAGGCUGCGGUUGCUAUACCUCCUAAUCUUCCUAACCAAUCCUUUCAUUCAAUGCUGCAAUCAGUUUUGCAAACAAAUAUUGUCCAAAGGGUAUGGAUUGAGUUUACAUAUCACCUUUUAGCGGUAUCAUUUUGCUUAUAGCUUGUGACAUUUAUAUUGAUCUCAACAGGAGAGUAUACUGAGUCUGAUGAAGCUACUCUCUACUGGGGAUAGUACAGGUAGGUGAUGUCGAUUAAAUUGAAUUGUUUUGCUCAUUUUGACUUUCUUACAUAAUUCACUAUUAUGCAGUGGAUGGAGCAUGUGCAUCGGCAAAUGCAGCUAUGACAGAGAAAUCUUUGGUACGUAACUAUUUACACUUCUUGGAAGUUGUGUGAUAUAAGAAUUUGGCUUGUUUUGUGUGAUUUUCCUCUUCAUGUGGCACUUAAGUGUUGUAGUAGUUGCAUGAAAACUUUAUUUUAUCACUUUUUCAAGUCAUGAAAUCUUAAUUUCAAACCCAAGUUCUUGCGUAUAGAGAUGAGUUUUGAGGAUAUUAGACUUGAUAGUUUUGACUAGUCAAGUACCAAGGAGCUUGCCUUCGUGAAUUGUGUUGUUUAAACUAGUCUUUUGAGGUUGAUUUUUCAAAGUUUAAGCUAACCAUUUUUUCCCCUUUGGACUAGAUGGAGGCAGCUCAUGAUCGGGAGAAGGAAUUACUACGUGAAGUAACUGAUCUGCAGUGGAGGUACUUGUGAUGACAUGCAUACAAGGCAUCAUGCUAACUUGUGUUAAAACCAAAUUCUAAUUGCUUUGCACUUCAUUUCCUUUAUGUAGGCUCAUAUCUGCCCAAGAAGAGCUUCAAAAAUGCAAAACAGAAAAUGCACAGGCUGAAUUUUGAUAUGCUUGAAGAGCAAUACAAUGAGGUUUAUGUUCGAAAGAGUAGUCAAAAUUAGGUUGGUGUUUGUACAGUUGGUCUCUUAAGUAGGUUAACAUAUUACUAUAGAUUACCAAUUCGUGCCAAUUCUGAGCCUGAAAUCGGCUUUGUGCAUAAUGAGCUUUUCAUUAAACUUUGUGAUAUCUAGUCACGAUCGUAUGGAGUAGACUCAUGCUAAUUUCUUUUCUCCUUAAAAUUAGCCAACACGGGAACUUUCCUGGUAAAGAAGCCAAUCAGAACAAAUUUCAAUCCUGUGUUCCCACCGUCGCAAGCCUACUGCAGCUGCCUAUAUGUCUUGAAGCACACACUCCAAUCCUAAAUUCCCACCAUUGGUUGAUUGAUGAUGGACUUAGGCUGGUCCUCCUUAUACUUUAUUACCUGUUUGGUUUCUUUAUUUAUGUUGCUAAGUUAGAAAUUAGAUUUUGGCCUCAGUUGAUACCUGAUGAUUGAUUAUGUAUAGAACCCGUACCGAGAGUAGCGGAGCAAAGAGAUUUGGCAACUAAUCUUUCCUCGCUGAUCAAAGUUUAAGCUGUCCAUUUCAAGAAAAAUGAAAAAAAAAUCAGAUUGUCAACUUGCCUUUCUAAAAGCCUUGGUGUGUCCGAUGCAUCAUCAAUCACCCAUGAGAUCAUGAGUAUGCUAAUUAAUUACAAAUUGAUACAAGGUGUCAUUCAUCUGAGCACGCAAGGCCUUUGCUCUAUGCAAAUUGGAAUUCACUCAGAAAAAUGCAGGCGGGUACAUUUUUCUUCCAUCAAAAAUAAGAGUGACAUGGUUAUGAACUCGUAAUCACAAUUGCAUUGUUGACAGAUCACGUAUAAAAACAGUUCAGCCAGCUACAUCACUGGCAUUAAAUAAUAAAUCAAAGGGUUGUUAAACCUUGGAUUAGGGACCUAGACAGCUAAAUCUGUAGGAGCCUGUCUAUUUCAUCAAAUGUUAAAUCACUUUUACGAGUUUUGGGUGCUUUUUCAACCUUUUGUCUGUAUAUGUACCUGUACACUGGAUCGAGUAAGUAGACUCCAGAAAAUACGCUAUCACCGGAAGAUUAAGAACUUUUGACGUGUUGCCGGAAUCGUCCACGUAUUCACAAAUGAAUUUAAAAUUCGACUUUUACACUUGUUAUGGAUCCAACAGUGAGACAGCGCAUUCACUGUCAAUGUAUAUAAGAUCUACAUUUAUUAAUUUGGGUGCUUGUAAUGAUCAAAACUAAACUAACAGGCUAGGACGAGGCCUGGGCCUGUGUUUAAUUUCGUGCUAAACACCUCCGUUUUUCUUUUUUGGGGAUUGAGGGCGGAAGCCAUAAUUACGUAGCUUUUCUUGCUUAAACAAAGUGGGGAACGGGAUAGUGAUAGAAGAGAAGGACGUCAAGCACAAUGCCCGGAUUUGUCUUGUGUGGAAUGCUUGGCAACAAUAAGAAAUCUGUAAUGGAUAAGAUUCAAUGGCAACAUGAACGGGCUUGUAACAUGAAGUGGAAUAUCACCUAACUGUCGGUACUACUAUAUAAUCUGAUUUUAAAUCUUCAUCUACAUAUUGGUAGCGACGUACGUAUCAAAUUAUGAUAUUCGAUUAUCGAAACAAGUUGCAUUCUACCUGAGUUAUAAGAUAUUUAAGUUUCAAACUCAAACUCAAAUUUUGAUCGAAUAGGCUUCUAAUGGUAAUCUUGAUGCUCAUUUGCACCUUAAUCCAUACUCUUUUGUACCAAAUUUAGGCUGCCUAAUCCGCCGCCAUUGAUAUUAAAGAGAGAGCCUAAUCCGUCAUUUUGUUCAAAUUUAUCUUUUCUUUCAUGCAUUGUCAGCCAAGAGAGAGCAGCUAGUGAUAUCCUUAACUAGGGUUGGCUUAACAUCCCAAAUUUUAGCUAAUGGUAAUCUUUUUUUUUUUAAGGAUAAUUUUUUUUAAAAAAAUAAAGUUAGUAACUUGUUUUAAACACAACGAACCAUGUUCGAUUCAGGCUAAAUAGUCACUCAUUGCCAAAUUCUUGGGCUCUUUCCACACUUCUUGUUCAACCUUUGCAUUUGGGAACAGUAACAAAUACAAUGGAGGUACGUACGUAUACAAAAAAAUUUAAACAAAAAAGGUCUUUUAUAGCUUUGUAAGAAGAUACAAGCACAAUGCAUCUAAGAAGGGAGAACUAUCAAGGUAGCUGCAGGCUUAAUAACGUGGUAGCUGAUUAUAGACUCUUCUACGUUAGAGAAUUGAGGUCGAAAAAAUCAAAGGUAGGUGGAUGUCCAAUUCUUUAGCUCACUUCGAAGUUUAAUUUAUUGUACCUUGAUAAUUUGAAUGCUGGACAGCAAAUGUUCGAGUACAGAGCCUACAGGCUACUUUUGACAAGGGCGGCUAAUCCAACGAUAAUAGUCAUUAGUUUCCGGAACGAUGAAAGGUGAUACUCCUUCCGUCCCACUUUGAUAGUCCUGUUUUCCUUUUUCGUCUAUCCCAAAUUGUAGUCCAGUUUUCAAUUGAAGAAUGUAGUUGUAUUUUAAUUUUCUUAAAAUACCCUUAUUCAAUGUAAGUUGUUGUUACUAUAAACCUACCCCAUUUAAUGAGAGUUGAUUCUUUUUUUACUAUCAAUUCAAGUUCCCAUAAAAUUAUACUCUAAUUAAUGUGAGGGUAUUUUAGGAAAAUAGCUACCUAAAUUGAUUGUUCCAAUAAAGUUAACUACUUUUUUUUUAAACUGUGUGAAAAAAUAAUCAGGACUAUCAAAGUGGGACGGAGGGAGUAUGAUACUAAAUUGGUUUUACGUUCGGUCUUGAGCCUGAUUUUUUAUUAAUGUUGUCUGUAGAAAAAGGAACCAAAGGUUGUGGAUCUUGUGAUCUAGCUUUGAUAUCUAGCUUAAUACUAUCGUGGCUUCCUGACAAACAACAAUUAUGUUUUCAGAGUUUCAUUUGCCAGUUGGAUGGAUUGAAUAAAGAUUCAAUCUCUGUCGCAUUAGAUGGUCUGAAAACAAAAUCGAAAAUGCCAGAAAACUAAAACCAUUAAUAAAUUAGGUUCAAUCUGGUGAAGCCGCCGGAACCUAUGAUCCCUGGAUGAAUUAAAGUCUAUCAUUUUGCCUUUUUCUAACAUUAAAAAUAACCUAUGAAAAGCUUUGCCCGUUGUCCAUGAAAAGUUGAACAAUCACCGAUGUGAGUAAUAAUUGCUGCAAAUUCGCCAGAAGCUGCGGCUAAAGCGGUCUUGUUUUAGCAGAUUUAGGGUGCGUUUAAUAAAAUUUAGAGGCGUAAAUAAGUCGAAUAUCUCGUGUUUAAAUACUGUUUGUUAAACUACUCAAAUAAAUCUCGUGUUCGUUCGAUAAUGUUCAAGUUUCAAAUCAGUGUUCGUGUUCGGCUCGUUAAGCAAAAUCCUAAUUCGAGUUCGAGUUCGAGUUCGAAUUCGAAUUCGACUCAUUUAACAUAAACGAGUCAUUUGCGAACAGGCUCGAGAUAUUCGAAUCCAAACUCUGGAGACGUUUGAGCAACACAUGUACGAGACUAACAGAGGCUGAAAAGCCUGUAAUAGGAAUUAGGAAUACAAUACUAACCCUAAAUUUUGUGAAAUGACAACUAGGCCUUGUAUUCAUUCGAUUACUUGUCGAGCCAAAAUGUUUGUUCGAACUUGACUCAUAUAAAAUUUCGAAGGAACAGUUAUCGAACAGAAAAGAGCCUAAAUGAACCAAGCUAACGAGCAGCUUGGUUCGUUUAACAGCACUAAUAAAACUGAAGUUUGAAACUUGAUAUUUAAAUCCGCUAAUUUAUUCAAUUAUUAAGUAUUGAAAUCUUAACAUUUGAUAGUAUUUUGUAUUAAGUAAUAAGUGAACAAUUUAUCAAUUAUUGUAUUGAGCAAGUUCUGUUAAACAAUAGAGAACCAAUUAAUUAAUCAAGUCCUAUUUUUUGUUACAAAAAAUGUCUGGACGUAUAAUAUGUAAAUAGUAUUAAAUUGAGUUAUCAAACAUGGUUUUAAUAUUGAAAAUUACGUGAAUUAUGAUGGACUUGAAACUUGAAAGUGGAGAGGGAAUGUAUAAUCCAUGUUGAUCUUGAUUUGGAUUUGAAUUGACCUUUGAGUCUAGAUCAUGUAUGAUCCAUAUACCUAAACCGGGACCAGAGUCUAAACAAGUAAAAUAAAAAUAGAUUGUAAUCAUAUAAUAGCAACGGUAGAGUGUAUAUGAUUCACUGCACAUACCAACCCCCCAAUUAAUGUAUCACAAAAUCUCUUGGAAGCACAUACUAAUUGCACAACUAACUCUCUUUUCUUUGUCCUCUCUUCUAUUCUCAAUUAAGUAAAUUAAUUUGUAAAGCGGGACGAGGAUAGUUGUUGACUUGUCCUCUAGUCCCAGAUGAAAAUGACACGAACAGUAGGACAUCCUCGAUUUUGUGAAUUUCUAUGACAUGCUAUUAUGCUUGUUGAGGUAAAUUAAUUCGUUUUAUCCAACCAAAUUUGGAAGCAAAAAUUCUUUAUCUUUCUUGAAUACGGUAAAAACCAAAAGGAAAUUAAAUUCUGGGCAAUCACUGCAGGGACAUAUUAAUGAUCACCAAAUUCUAGUUCAAAUGCUUUGGUGGCUUUUCAAAUUUAAACCGAAUUUAGAAGUUUUAUUCAUUUUCAACUAAAAAAACAUGCAAGCACAUAUAAAAUUUCCAAAAUUUACAUCAUUUGGUUGUAAAGUUUCAUUAUCCAGUUAUUUUAUACAGCGCUCAAGUCUCUUAAACGUUCAUCGAAUUUCAAAAUAAUUCACAAUAUAUGUUUGUCGAUUACUAGGAAAACUUUUUAAAAUGCUUCUUAUUAAGGAAAAAGAUACCUAAAACAUCUCAAUUAAUUUCCUCUUCUAUUUAUGACCAUUCUUUUUACUUUUUGAAACUAUGAGAUAUUUUCAUAGCAAAAACGAAGAUGGUGGAUUGAUUCGACACCUCUUUGCAUUAGAUAGGAUUCAAAUCCCUGAUCUACAGCUCAGAGAGGAAUUAAAUUUUCGGUGGCCACCGGGCCGUAGCUCAGUGGUUUGUGAGAAACAUGUUAACUUGUAAGUAAAUGAGAAUGACAAUUGCACUCUCAAUCUGAACAGAUAAAUGACAAAUCAAUCGCAGUGACAUUAGCGUACUAGCUUUUGUUUUCCAAUUAAUGAGCUUUGUUUUCCGAUUAAUUCAUCAUUAAUUUCUUUUCAUACAAGAAGUGUCCCAUUGUUCACCAAACAAUUUCUUCAAUCUAAAAUCAUCCACGUAGGUGUGUCUUUGAAUUAUGGGCAACCGGAUGCGUGCAUGAAAGAUGAUAGCACCCUUUUCAAUUUACUUUUUGUUGUAUCGUUUCUUAAACCCGUACAUACAUGCAAAUAUCAACUAGCACUCCAGUGGCGCCUUUAUCCUCCUCAAAAACAUUGAAUAACUUUAGAACAUCUUACCAGGAAAAAAAUGAAAAAGAAAAAGAGAAUGGAGUGAGUUUGAGAGAUGCAAAUACUUAAACCACUCACUGCAUUCUAAUAUAAACAAGUAAUGCGAUUCACCUUGAAAUCUAAAGUUACUACUUUAUUAUUAUCAUCCUCAAAUUUUAGGUACUUUCGUUCUCUAUAAAUAAAAUAAAGGGUUCAUCUUGUAUACGUCCACAUAAAACUAAAAUUUUGUCUUAGCGUUUCAGUAGUAAUUAACAAGUAAUAUUUUGAACUUACAUUAUUGUGCUUGUGAAUUUCAAAAUCUUGUGAUGCUACAAUAAGAAAGUUAUGAUGGCAUGGAAUCCUCAAGACCAGGCUUAGGAAAUUCCAUGUUGUUAGCGUAGGUCUAUCAUAUAAAAGUGGCAUAUUUUUUAAGAACACGAAACAGCUCCAAAUCAAGCCAUAUAUUUGCUAAAUUGAUGCCAACAUCAAGGGCUUGCUUGCCAAAGUAUGAACUCUAGCAAAGCUUGUACUUGCAAAGAAACAGAAGCCAAAUUCGGGCGUCCAAACUUCAUGGGCUGUUAGUUAGGUACAGAGCUGUUAAGAUCACUGCUACUCUGCACUGGAAGUUGUUCGGUUCGGUUGGUCCCCCACCUUCCCUUCCGCCCAAGCUCAUGGCUUACAUAUCCACACAAAAUCGAUGAACAUUGUUGCAGUUAUUCAACACUACUCAAUGAGCUCACAAAUAAGAAAGCUUCAUUGGAGCCAGGGCCAACAUCAGAGAAACUUGUAAGUGAAAAGUAUUGAGCUGUUCUACAACAAUCAUACCAUCAACGUCUCGACUGUAAUCCAAAUCCACUACUUUCUUGAUUUACCGGCCACCCACCCCCCCCUCUGCCCCCAAUCCCAAGAAUGUAGCAAGUCACUGGCCACCACCAUACACACCUCUCAUUAAUUCCUUUCUUUGUAUGUGAUGGCACAACCAACAACUGUCAACUAUUAAAGUUGAUUUGUUUAAUUAGAAAUGGACGAUUGGUUACUUGUCAAUUUUUAGCAGGUGGGAUUUUGAAAACUGCAAUUGCUACGCAUAGACAGAAGUUUUUCAUGAUUAUGAACGGUAAAAGCUUUGUAUCCUUAGAUAGGCUGCUUUCUUUCAAGUCCUAUAAGUAUUCUGUUUCCUUGGAAUCUAUACAUAUAAAUUUGAGCAAGAGUCAAGCCUAAAAGUGACAGUGCAAGGCUAAAAAUGACUAAAGGGUGGUUUUCAUUCUCAUGUUGUUUUAAUUACCCUACCAAGUUUGUUCUUUUUUGUCAUUAUUGUUUGCUUUCUUUUUAGCCAUUUUAGUUAUUUUGAAAUAAGUUUCAGCGAGCUCUGUCUCAAAAAAAAAAAAAAAAGUUCCAUGCUAUAGUAGCUUUGGAGGUUUCCGCAAAUGGAGGGAGAAAAGGUUACUACAAUGAUUCAAGCAAGGAUAACAAUCCCAGAUAAAAGAACUGCUUUUUCUGGGACAACGACUGCUCCCCUGUUUGCCUGGCCAUGGGAACACUAUGGCAAUUACAAGGUAUGUCUUGCUCUGUGCGCGUGUAUGUAUGUUUAUGUGUAUUUUUGUCUGUUUCCAACUUUCCUCCAUAUGAAAAACGUUUUGUCUCUACUGAUUUUGUGCAUUGGUUUAUGGGAUGAUACAGUACUUGUUUUACGUGGCACUUCUUGCAAAAUACUUGUAUCCUACUACUACAACUGAAGAAGGCACCGAGGGGAGUAGUUGGUGCUUACAUAUUCUACUCUUGUUCCUCCUAAGAGGUCUCCUUUAUCAACUGUGGAGCUCUUAUGAUUAUAUGUUUUUCCUCAAUCGAACCCGCCGGAUUUCUGAAGAGGGCAUUGAUUUUAAGCAAAUUGAUGCAGAAUGGAAUUGGUAAACAAUUUACUGUCUUUCUCCUUCGCCUUCCCAUGUCCAAAUCUCACCAGAAAUUUUUUUUUUUUUUUUUAGCAUUUGCCAUCCUUUAUUAUUUCGUGAACCAGUUUUAUGCUUUAUGGUGGGACAGGGAUAAUUUCUUAAUUCUUCAUGCUAUUGUGGCUGUGCUGGCCUAUUGGAGCUUCCCAUCUCUAACCAAUCUUCCCCUCUGGGAUGGAAGGGGUAUUUUUUGUUGUCUUGCACUCCACAUUGGGGUCUCGGAGCCAGUUUAUUAUUGGCUACAUAGAUUACUGCAUUCCCCAAAUCUCUUCACAGAUUACCAUUGGCUACAUCACAGCUCUAAAGUUUCACAUCCGUUCACAGGUAAAAAAAAAUGAAGUAUUACCAACAUUAUCAGCUACUAAAAAGUUAAAAGAUUUAUUGGCCAAUGAUUUCUUUUUCAUUUUUUUGUUGUGCAGCUGGACAUGCAACAUUUCUUGAACAUCUGGUACUAUGUAUAGUUAUAGGAGUACCAAUCUUGGGCACUGUCUUUAUCGGCUAUGGAUCAAUAAGCAUACUGUACAGUUAUGUUUUGCUUUUUGAUAUGCUCAGAUGCUUGGGACAUAGCAAUGUGGAAGUUAUUCCUCAUCAUCUUUUUGAGAAUAUUCCACUUCUCAGAUAUCUUGUUUAUACUCCUACGUAAGCCUGAAGAUCCUGUUUCCGUAUUAUUUUUUGAGCAAGUUUAAUUUUUUUUUCUCUUUGUGAAUUCUGCCUGUCGGUUCUUUGCCUUUAUCUGGUUCUUUGCCUUUAUCUGGUUUUUCUUCAGAAAUAAGUGAAGUAGAAAGUGCAGUUAUGUUGGCUCAGGAAGCAAAAAGUUCUGUAGUGUUGGGUGCCAUUUAUUGCACAAGGUUCUGAAGUAGGAAUUUGCAGAGCAGUGAUGCAAGGAUAUAACAGGGGCACCAUGCAACUGAAUCUUAGUUAAUGAUAGAUGUCACAAAACAAAAUUUUUUUUUGGGCGUUGUUGGAUUGCUGGACUUAAAAAUAUUUAGAUAUUUAAUGGAGGCCAGAUAAAUGAUUUUGCUGUUUUGAUCUGAAUUUAAGAUCAACUCGAGCUCACUUUGUUUUCUCUCUUUUAUCACGUAAGAGCUCUCUUUCAAAAGCUUAGUCAUCGGGAGACGUACAUUUAACAGUAUGAGAGUGGUUCCUUUCCUACUAGGUUGAUGGGUGGUACUGUUACGAUUCAGCCAAGUAAAUGCAGAACUUAAAACACCUUGCAAAAAAUUCUAAUUAUUGAUAUCAAAAAAUUUGAAUUAAACCAAAAAGAAAAUAAAGUUGCUGUCUUUAACAUGUAGUAGUUACAACUUAAGUCACUCACAAAUAUAGUUUCUGUUUGUCUCUGCAGAUACCAUAAUAUACACCACAUGGACAUGAGAACAAAUUUCUGCCUCUUCAUGCCAGUUUAUGAUAUAUUGGGAAAGACAAUAAACACUCGUUAUUGGGAUCUCCACAAAGAAAUAAGCUCAAGGAAAAGUGAGUCUUUAUCUACAUGAUUCUAUCAUCCGUCAGACGUUAUGCUUGUUAAGAUUGUAUAACUCAAUACUUUAUUACUCUAGAUUUCAUUGUUUUACUGCCGAAAAUGACUUACUGCAACAUCUUCUUGGUACUUUUGCUGCACUUUCUGAAGCAUUAUGUAAUUUCGACAAUACCUUUGUGUAGGUGUUCAGUAAAUUAUGGGGGGAAGGUCCUCAUUUUAGUUUGGCAUUUUUUCUGUACGUAGUUUUAGUUUUUCAUUUUUUCCUUCAACUUGCUCCAAUAACUCAAAAGAUCAUCAUGGUAAUGAUGAGUUGCACACCUGAGUGGUCAGAAGCAGCUGUCUUUCAGGCAUCUCAUUUAUGAUAGUGAUUGUUACUUUGCUUCUAACAAUUUUGAUCACCUUGUGUUUCAAUUUAUCUAUCUUUUCUUGGCUGGACAGAAACAAGUGCACCAGGGUUUGUUUUUCUUGGCCACGUCGUGGAUAUAAUGGCUGCAUUGCACACUCCAUUUGUUUUCCGAUCAUUCAAUUCCAUACCUUUUAGCAAAAAGUUCUUCCUGUUUCCUUUCUGGCCUCCUACCUUUUUAGUAAUGCUUGCCAUGUGGGCCAAGUCCAAGACAUUUUUGGUCAGUUUUUACAAUCUCAGAGGCAGACUGCACCAGACAUGGGUUGUGCCAAGGUUUGGUUUCCAGGUAGCUGCUUUACUCCUUUAUCUGCUGUAUUCUCUUACAUAUGAUAACUUUCUAUGAACCUGAUGCAAGUUACUAGAAUGUCGUAAAAAGUAGAAACUCAGACCUUCAUGAUUAAUAGACAUGUAUCCACAGCUUUUUAUUCAUUCCUAAACAUUUCUUUUACUGGACAAGCUAUAAAAUUCUGCAGUUUAUUAUUGGAGGUUAAGUUUCAUAGAUAACUUUGUAAUUCAUUUGAUAAAGAACACUAGAAUAUGUUAUUUGAAAGAGAAAAUUAGCGGACAUUGUAGCUGCUUUUAUUUUUCAUGUAGAUUUUCAGUAUCAUGGACUAAGAGAAAACUAGUUGAUAUUACUGUUGAUUUAGGUGAUCAGGUUUUACCGAUUUAAUCUGAAGCAUUUGUGAUUUUAAAUUUUGCAGUAUUUCUUACCUUUUGCUGCAGACGGCAUAAACAAGCAAAUCGAAGAAGCCAUCCUUAGAGCGGAUAGACUUGGUGUCAAGGUCAUUAGCCUUGCCGCACUAAACAAGGUUGGCCUCGGUCCUUUUUCUUUUGCUUUUCCUGUUAUGAUCCUACCUUGUUUAUCUUUCUAGCUGAACUGCUAUUACUUAUUCAAUGCUGAGCUUAAAUUAUUAGAUGAUGAAAUUUCAAAAUAAAUUCUUGAACAAUGAUCUGCCCGUUAAGUUUGUAGGGAAAGAACCAUGGUCAAAACUCAAAACUAGUACAUAAAUUUGCAAGGUAUAAAAAACAUGUUCUUCAGUAUGCUUUACACAGAUCUCUACUGAAAAGUUUUGAUGAUUCGACUGGGUAAAGAUUCACUUCUUGAAAUAUGUUUUGACAGAAUGAAAGUCUGAAUGGAGGUGGAACGCUGUUUAUUAACAAGCAUCCUGAUCUUAAAGUUCGGGUCGUCCAUGGAAACACCUUGACUGCUGCUGUGAUCCUAAACGAGAUUCCUCGAGAUGUUGAUGAGGUGUUCUUGACAGGUUCAACUUCAAAACUGGGAAGGGCCAUUGCCCUCUAUCUGGCUCGUCGAAGGGUCAGGGUUCUGGUAAGAGCUGCUUGACACCUAGUCACCUACUAACAGUUGGGAUAUGAGUGGAGUUUUAGAUUCAUUUGCGGUUUCCCUUUGAAAUGUCUUUGCUACAAGAACAACAUGCUGCUGCCACAUACAAAUACCAGUUCAGCUAGCCGAAGAAAGGCUGAAAUCUAUAAAAUCUUUAAGGCAAAAUUCUCGUGAACAGAAUGUACAAUGUACUAUUUUGUUAUCAACACAAUGAUGGCAUGUUGCUGCUAUUAUGAUAGACAUUUGCCUUUUUAUUCCCUUUUUAAAUCCAACAAAGAUUGCCCUUUUCAUUAUUUUUCCAUUUUUGGUAAGGUCCUUAUACAUAUGCAGAUGCUUACACAAUCCACGGAGAGAUUCCUAAAAAUCCAAAAGGAAGCUCCCGAGGAACUCCAAAAGUUUCUUGUUCAAGUAACCAAGUAUCAAGCAGCUAAGCAGUGCAAGGUAACAGUUAUUGUUAACUUACAUGGAUUAAUUCUGCAUAUAUACUAGUAUAGAAUUUUAUUUGUGAAAGUGACAAAGACAAUUUGGAGGAUGCCAAAUCCUCUUUAAGAAACAUAACUUGACCAGAUUUUGCUUACUAAUCUAUGUGCUUAUCUCGGUGAAGAUUGUUUAGAACUCCAACUUGUAUAGAGACCCGAAGCAUAAGGAAAACCAAUCUUAUAACAGAGCAUGAACAGCAUCACUCGUGUCUGAAAAUGUCCUUCCAUGCAUCUCCUUCUAUGCGGCCUUCUUAAUUUCCCUCUUGUACAAUCUGGUCAUUCAGGAUCCUUGGUUUGAAUUUGUCAAGUCGGACGAAGAAUUGCAUGUCCUUAAGUAAACCACUGGACAAUCAAGAUGUUAUCUGAUCAAUACUGUUUGAAGGGGGAGAUGGCUUUCUUUUUGUGCUGUCUAGUGCCAACUUUUCCUACUUACUGUAUUUUUAGCAUGGUCAUUGACUUUGAUGGUGUAAUCCUGAAAUUCACGAUGCUUCACAAUAACUAAUCACCUUUUUAUUUUUUGAAUCACUAGACAUGGAUUAUUGGAAAGUGGACUACUCCUCGGGAACAAAGUUGGGCGCCAUCAGGGACACAUUUUCAUCAGUAUGUGGUUCCCCCCGUCAUUCCUUUCCGCAGGGAUUGUACUUUCGGGAAGUUAGCAGCAAUGAGACUUCCAGAAGAUGUAGAGGGCCUUGGAUCAUGCGAGGUAGAGUUGACUUUAUCACCUUUCAGUCUCGUUAUUAUCUUAGAAAAACAGGGAUUACACCAAGAAAACAAGUUCAGGAUGAAAGUCUAUUGAAGAUUUUUGUUUUGGGGGGGGGGAAGGGGAAGGGGGGUGGAAAUAUGGUUUCAUUCAUUAGCAUGAUCAACUUAUUUAUUUCCUGCAUGUUAGUUGGCUACGCCUCAAUGUCAUAGAUCGUCUUUUUCGAUCGAUCAUUCGGAGAUUAACAACAGUUGACUUAAAGGUAUUAGCAUUUGUAGGAAAACGCUAAUGAACCAUUUAAAUGAAUAAUAACAUGCAAUGAGUUUGGUUUGUUUCUUGUUUGUGUCUACUAACACUCUUCUCCAUACUGCUCCAGUACACAAUGGAAAGAGGUGUAGUUCAUGCUUGCCAUGCCGGUGGGGUGGUUCAUUUUCUUGAAGGUUGGAAACACCAUGAGGUGGGAGCUAUCGAUGUUGAUCAGAUUGAUGUUGUGUGGAAAGCUGCCUUGAGGCAUGGCCUCAAGCCCAUGCAGGUCAAACAAAUUACAGAAUUUCAUUAAACUGCUGCUGUCUAUUCCUUCCAUAGAUCGAUAGAUAUCAACUGGGUAUCAAUAUACUCUCUUUUGUUGCCAGUUCAUAGAUAUCACGCUCUUUUCUCCUCUUUCAUUUAUCUCAUCCUUUUGGAGAAAGAGCUCCAUCAUAUCCCAAAUUUUAAUAUGUUACCUAUACAAAACAAAAGAAUUUGUACAAUAUUAUUACGAUGUCAAACAAAAUGCAAGCACAUACACACACUCUCUCUUCUCCCCCCUGCUUGGAAUCUUCUGUUUGGGAUUUCGUUUUUGUCCCGUUUGUCCCCUCCCUGUUUAAUUGUCAUGUGUAUUGAUUAAUAACUUUUAGAAUUCUAUUAUACUGAUUAAUAACUUUUAGAAUUUUAUUGUAGAUAAGUCCUGCAAUUGGGGGAUAAGUCAGUAGGACAAUACACGUGGCACUUAAGUAAAAACGGGACAGAUGGGACAGAGUCAAAAUCCGGAAAACAGAUGAUUUGAAGCCACAAUUCUCCACCAAAUUAGGCGGAAAGAACAUUACUCCUAUAAGCAGUUUUUCGGUUGUAGUCUAUACCCAAUUUGGAUGUAAAAUCUUAUCCUUUACCUUCUUCUCCAAUGCUUGUUGCAAAUCUUGCUAUUUGUCAUUGAGAAAUUGACAUAAUGCGUUUCAAAUACCAGUUUCUGUUCUCUUUCUCUCUUCUCUUCUACAGUGCUGAUUCAUAUUAACAUCACUCAACUUCUUAGCCAAUAUAAACGUGGGUUUUUCUAACGGGUUCGGGCAACCGUUGACACAUUUAAUAUUUAACUAAACCUAUUAUAUAUAUACACAUGCUAACAAUUAUUAUUCUGUCUUACAUCAACGUACUUUCUCUAUUUAACUUUACAUACUCUCCCUUGUAUUUAUUUACUUUCCCUAAUUAAUUUUAUAUUUUAAAAAAUAUGACACGAGUGAAAUAUGACCCCGGUUAAACAAAUGUUAUAAACAUUUCAAACACAUUAACUAACUAUAUCACUCAAACCCGAGUAGCAAACACCAUAAAUUCACGCCAAACAGUCACUAUCUUAGCGGUUGAUAAUGGAGGCAUGUGCUACACAGAUCGUACAUACUUUUGGCAAACUUUUGUAGAUGCUAAGAUUGUGCAUACAUUUGACAUAAGCAAUACAAUUUAUCGCUUCGACCCCAAAAAAGAAAAAAAGAUAAUGGAGGCAUGUCCCCGCUAUCAGGAAAACCAGCAGGCGUACUCAAGGCCAUCAUGAGCGUACAUGUAAUUCUUGAUUUUUACGAUGUACGAAAGCUCCAGCAUUUACAAAACAAAACUGUAAUUCUCACAACUCUUUUUCAAGCCAGUGGAGUUGCCACUGGCCAACCAGGUUUUCUAAAUGCGACAGACACGGGCACUGGAAGUGUUGUGAUUUGUUCCGCUGCCAAAGGUGCUACACUUUGGUGCCAAUUUGGUUAAGUCCAUUGCUGUCCAGCCACACGACGUCUGUGUCUCGCAGAUUAGCACUGUGAUAAUCCCGUUGACAAUUCCACCUUAAAACUCUCUUCCCCUCCUCCCAAUCGCAUUUGCCUGCACCUGUACCGGCACUAGCUCACCUCAGUCCCCUACUCCAGCACCGUCUCCCCCUCCGCUGAUGCCCCCGGCGAAGUCUCCCACCUCAUCCUCGACCAUAUCCCCAGCUAUACCUGCCCCAACAAGCCUCCCACCGCCUCCCCGCUGAUGCCGGGUCCUACUCCAGCUGCAGAUGCACCACUUGUAGAUGCUGCUCAUGGUGCAGGCACGAAUCUGCGGCUCAGCCAUGGGGCUAGCUUGACGAUUAUUUCAUUUGUUCUGUGGCUUGUUGCCACAAUUUGACAAGGGAUAGUUUAGCUAAACAGUUUGCAACUUUAGUUCUGCUCCAGUGUUUUGGGAUAAACUAGAAAUGGUUUUCAAAGUAGAAUUUGCAUUGGUUUAUACGAGAUCCAUCUAAAAUGUGAAAUCUCAUAAUUUGCAAGCUCCAAACCGCGCAGCAAAUCUUUCUGUACUAACCCGUUCUCGCAGAGAACUGCAACAUACUAGUUGACUUAAAAGCAGUUUGCAGAGAGUUAUUACGAGCUCAAGAAAGAAACUCUCACUCUGGAAAUUUUGGCCUGGAUGAUAAAUGGCACAGGAAAGCUUGUAUUAUAAACGCGGUCUUAACAACAAUCGUUUCCAAAUCAUUUCCUUUUUAGAACAAGAAAGAAAUUUAAACAGGUUGAACGAACAUAUAUAUUCACAUCCAGAGUAAAUCUAAAGGCACCGUGAACAUUCUUUGCCAAUCGAAAGCUAAUCAUCAUACUUGAGCUGCUUUAGGGGCAUUUAUAGGCUUACAAAGUCCAGCGGAUAAAUGUAAUUUGGUAUAAGAAUUCUGAGCUUCAAACAUCACAAGAAUUUAAUAUAAUACACUUGCAAAAGCACAGGAAAGCUGAAAACAAUGAGACGGGUACAAAAAAAAAAACAUAAAAAGCACUGGUAAUUAACUUCACAUAUAUUAAGUCAAGUCAUUAUGCUUUUCCCUAUUGCAGAAGCUAAUUGCUCAAUUCAAGAAACCUUAAUGCCAUAGGAUGCUUAGCUUCAGAUAGUUUAUCAGGUUUUAAGAUUUCAACAAUCUCACCACCGACAAGAAGGCAAACUACAUCAGCAAUCCUCUGGAUUUGUUUGAUACUGUGAGAGACCAUAACUAUAGUCAUCCCCUUUUCCUUCUUCAAUUUUACAAGAACAUCUUCUAUGUUCUGUGUUGAAAUUGGAUCCAAGGCACUAGUCGGCUCAUCAAGUAGUAAAACCUAAAUUGUAAAGGGAAACGCAAUGUUAAAUGUUGGAACUCCACAGACUCCAUAAAAAGAGAAUUUCCUAGACAUACAACUAUUGGAGUCCUGCAGUCGCAUAUGAAUCUUACCUCUGGCUCAUUAGCUAAGGUACGAGCAAGAGCGACUCUUUGAGCUUGACCAACAGAUAACUCUCCACCAGAUUUACUGAAGAAAGUAGAAUCCAGGUCUGCAAGAGUAAGCAACUUAUAAACCUCAUUGUCAGUCAGCUUCUUCCCCUUUAGCUGCGGCCCAUAUCUUAUAUUGUCAGCCACUGUGCCUGCACAAGUCCACAGUAGGUAACGAGAUCAAUCAGUCAAUCAAUCUAUUUAUCAUCAAACCACAUUAUGAUAUCAAAAAAUCUAUUUCUACAAAACUUAGAACAUGGUGUCUCACUAGUUCUCUUUGGCUGUUUUUUAGCCUAGAUACCCCAGGCUCAGAUGAUGGUUAUAUACUUAUAUCAAUCAGCUGCUUAGGCAAUGAAUGACACAGGGACCAUCCUUGACAUGUAAGCGGAUAUCACAAUUUGAUGAUUCAACCACAUAAAUCUAAUGAAGCACGACAGACAGUAGUAAUAGUAUCAAAAGUUCAUAGCCUUCAAUGGGGCAGAGUGACUUAGCAGGCAGUAGGGGAAAGACCUCUUUCAGAUUGUGACACUCCUCUAAGAUCCUUAUAACAAAAAAUACAGGAGAUGCAGAACAUCGUCUAUAUGCAUAUUCAGCUGCGAGGAAGGCAAAAAAAAAUCACAAUUUGGGAGAACGGAAUUAAGUACUAAUCUCAUUUCCUAGGAAGCAUAUCUACUCAAUAAACAGACAUUAGUUUGUUUGAUCAACAUAUCAACUCAAAUUUUUUUUUUUGAGUUGAUCAACAUAUCAACUCAAUUUCCAAGAUAAAGCAGUGCCUAUCUCUACACAAUCAGCUAGCUCAUGAAUUAGUGCUAUGAUUUGAAUUCACCUUCAAACAGAGCAGGAAGCUGGAAAAGCAUGCCAACUCUUCUACGAAGAGCAAGUACAUCGAGGUCACCAAUGUCUUGACCAUCCAAAAAAACAGUCUUGGAUGGAGGCUCCCAUAAUCUGUUGAGAGCCCUUAAAAAUGUAGACUUUCCACUGCCACUAGGCCCUAUGACUCCCAUGAUCACGCCUCUAGGAAUAUCAGCGUUGACUUUGUUCAGGAUUGGAACACUCUUGUCUGAAACUUUUGACAGUUCCCUUAUCUGAAUUUUAGCAUCUGAUGAUUCAUUCCCGCUUCCAUGUUCAUUCUCAUUCACAUCCACCACUAGCAAGCGUUGCUCAGCCUCAUCUAGCCCUAUAAGUCAAAAGGGUAAAAGAUUUUUGAUCAAGAAAUGAAAUUUAUGCUACUGAACAAAAUAAAAAUCAAUUCUUGAAAUCAAUUUUGGAAAAGAAGUUGUAUAGAUGUAUGAUGAUGUUCUGACCUGAGUAAGACCCCAUGGGAGUGUAGGAAGUUGAAGAAGAAGGCAAGGUUGAGAGGUGAAUUGCUGCAUCUUUGUUUUUAUAGGCAGGUGGAACUGCCUUCCCUAGUUCCACUUCUUGCAUAAUUGGACAAAGUCUCAGGAUUCUGACCACACGAAAUGAUUGUUUAAUCGAGGAAGAAGAAAAAGAAAUUGUUUUCCAGGAAGAGGAAAGGGAUGGUUUUGGGAGUAUCCUGCUGAAUAAUUCUGCAAUCCCCAAUAAACAAAUAGAGAAUUGGACAUGUAGCUCGUGACUCAAGUGAAUUGUACAAUUUAUGAUGCAAGUAAAAUAGUACUCAAAAAAAAUUUGUGUAUCCAAAAAGUAUGGGCUUGAGUUUUAGAACUCAACUGUUCAACGAGUAGAUUCUCUUGAUAUAUUGAACCUCUUGACCAUUCUUAGUUAAGAACCCGAGAUGUUUCGCAGUCCGGAAGGUAGGCUAGUUUAUAAAACACACAAGCCACAAAGUUGGCCUAAAAUCUAUCAAAUUGUCACUGGAACAAACAGGUAAAAAACUAGCAAUUAAAUAAAACAUGCUCCUGAUUAUUCAGUUCUAAAGUUUACCACAUAUAUUCCAUGUUCAUGUGGUGGACUUGUAUAGAUUUGGUGUUAUUGUUGCCUGGGGUUAUGAUCUGUGGUUUUUGGAACUCUUGUCAAAUGCAAAAAUGGAUUGAUAGUGACAAUAUAUUGUUGCACGACAAAGGGUACGGAUUUCUUUGGAUUUGGUUGUGGGAUCAAACCUGGAGGAGAAGAAACCUGUCUAGAUACUCAUGUCAGUCUUUCCGGGUAAAAGUUUCAUCAGCCAUUUCAUUUAUCCGGUGGAGGAACUACUCAGACUGAUUGCCAUGCCAAAACAAUCAUCAUAUAGGAGUAUUAUUUAUUCGACUCCACAUGUCGAGUUUCAUCUUGGUUCAUUUUGGCCGAGUAUUUUUAUCAAGAAUGUUUUACAAGCUCAACUUUUAAGGAGUACUACAUCCGACUAAGACAACUAGGAAAAGCUCCACAAAAAAAAAAAGAAAAAAAAAUGGAGGUUAUUUGGUCUCAUUGAAGCGCAAAGGGAGUAUGUUCCCAUAAGAAUAAACUAGCAUCCACUCGGUCAAAGUAUUGUUCUAAUAUUUUCUAUGGCAAAUUGGCAAGUUUGUUAGAAUUCCUUUUUUUUUUUGGAGAAGAAAUAGUAUCCAUAAAAUUGGUCUCCUUGUAUGCGAGUAUAGGACCUUAAUCGGGCAAAGCCAGCUUCAAGUCGAUUUUGCGACUAGGGUAUCAUUAAUCAAGUUACUCAAUUCAGACUCGCGAGUAGUUCAAUUAAAAAUUCGACUUGAACUCAACGUUGACCGAGUUCGAUUUACUUGAUAAGGUAGUGGAGUCGAUUUUGAGUAGAAAAAAUCAAUACUCAAGUACUCAUCGAACCUUAUCAAGUAGCGUAUUUAUGAUAUAAUUUUUAAUUAUUUAUUGUAAAAUUAUGAAAUUUAUUUUAUAAAAAAUCAAUAUUAAAACUUGUUUAAACUCGAUUGAGCUCGAACUCAAGGUCAACAUUGAAGAACUCAACAAGCUUGAACUCUAACAUUUUUAUUUGAGUAGAGUUCAAGUACUACUUAAAAUUCAACUCAACUCAGAUAACAAUUCUACCCAUACCACAAUCCACUUAAAAGGGACGGACUUCCCAUCAGUUCGAGUUAGGCUGAAGUCAGGUCUGGUAGUCAUUACAUAAUAAAGAUCUGAUAAAUCUAAAGCCAAUCUUUAGCCCCGAUUAAGGCAUCCAAUGGUUUGUUUCGUCCGUCCAUGUCAAAGUUUCAAGGGCAAAUUAUCCAAUUGGCCCUUAAACUAUUUGUUUAAGUAAAAUAAAGCCCCUCAUCUAUUUUUUGUUGACUUUAAGCCCUCGAACUUGUAAAAUUGGACACCCGUGACCCUUUUUGCCAGUUUCUCCGGUUUUGCAACCGGAAAGUGAAUUCACACGAAUGCCAGUAUGCUUUUAAGAAGGGCAUUUUUGUCAAAAGAUUCAAAACUCGCGUAAAAACUGAAAGAGAUAGCCAUCGGGUUGGAGAGGAGCGAGCAAAAGUUCCUGUGGGUGGUGCGCAGUCCGCCUUCUGAGGACAAAACCAGCCGCUUUCAAACUCCACCCGCCCCAGAUCUGGAUUUGUUGCUUCCUCACGGGUUUUUGGACCGGACAAAGGGUAGGGGUUUCGUGGUGAGUUCUUGGGCACCGCAGGUGAAUGUGUUGAAUCAUGGGUCGGUGGGUGGGUUUGUGACCCACUGUGGGUGGAAAUCAGUGUUGGAAGCAGUCUGUGCGGGUGUGCCUAUGGUGUGGUGGCCGCUUUAUGCUGAGCAGAAGCUGAAUAGGCUGUUCUUAGUUGAGGAGAUGAAGUUGGCCUUACCAAUGGAUGAAAGUACGGAAGGUGGGUUCGUGAAAGCGGCUAAAAUCGAGAAGCGAGUUAGGGGGUUGAUGGAUUCGGAGGAAGGAAAGGUGAUCAGGGAAACAGCCCAGGCAAAGAAGGAGGAAGCAAAGCAAGCCAUCGGCAUUUUUGGCAGUCUCGCCACCGCAGAGCGCUACAAAGCGAUUGUAGAUUGAGGUGUCUGCUUUGUAGGCGAGUUGCUGAUAGAGAAUGCUCUUGGUGAGGGCAAGGAAUGGGGAGUGGUGAGACUCAAAUGCCGGAGGCUGGUGGGUAUCGAUCAGGGUAGCAAGUAAAGGGUCAACAACACGGAGGUGGUGGAGAGCGGCAUUGAUUUCACCCUCGGCCGACAGGGGUUUGAUGAUCUAGGGCAGAACCCUAGCUGAUUGGACAGCACUACGCCUCCGAUUCUUGGGCAUAGAUGCCGUGGGUGUGGAAACUGUGGUGGAAGUAACAGCAGUGCUGGUCAAUGCGAAGGUGGAGGUGAUGGUAGUGGUGGUGGUAGAGGAGGAGGAAGCAGUGGUCGGAAUAGGUAUGGCAGAAGGGGAGAAGGAAGAAUCAGUAAUUUGUUGGGCUUUGGCCUCGGAAGUCUGCAAGGUGGGCAUGAAGGAGGAGUUAACGGCGGUGAGAACAACGGGGGUGGUGGCAAUGGUGGAAGUAGGGUUAGAUGACAGCUUUCGGAUUUUUUGAGGUCGAAUAGGUAUUUUGGAAGGAUUGGAGGGCUUCUGGGAAACGUCGGCAUUGAUGGUGUCCAUGGGGGAGGAGACGAAUGGGAGGGAGAGGGAGAGGUUGCGGGAGAGAGGAGAGGAGAGGGAGACGGCAUCGGUGGAGAAGUCAAUGAGGAGAGAGGAGAGAGGAGUUGUUCCUUUUUUGCUUGACAAAAAUGCCCUUCUUAAAAGCAUACUGGCAUUCGUGUGAAUUCACUUUCCGGUUGCAAAACCGGAGAAACUGGCAAAAAGGGUCACGGGUGUCCAAUUUUACAAGUUCGAGGGCUUAAAGUCAGCAAAAAAUAGAUGAGGGGCUUAUUUUUACUUAGACAAAGAGUUUAAGGGCCAAUUGGAUAAUUUGCCCAAGUUUCAAAAUGACAUGCUCUACGGAAGACAGCUUAAACUAGUUAAAUUUUAAAGCCUGAAGAAUUGCAAAUGUGAAGCUCAAGUCUGUGUUGGGUAAAACCUCAUAAGUACUCAAAAGUUUGGGCUGAGUUGUGGCCCAAUUCAGGAGCCUGAUUGGUCAGUUUUUGGGCCACAUUGCCAAUUGGCCUUACUAAAGAUCGGCUUGACAAGUCUACUGAUGUGGAAGCUGAUCUCCAAUAUUCUGCUGAAUCGUUCGUUCGUUGAUCUCGUGCAAUUUCACCAAUCCAUUUUGACAUUUUCCAGUUAUAAUCCUUUUUUUAAUCCAAAAUUAUUAAUUACUUCUUUCCAAUGAGGAAAAAUACUUGAGUAGACCCGAUCUAUGUAGAUCAUAGGUCCAAAUUUUAUCAUACCAUCUUACCAAUCCAAAAAUUGAAAAUACGAUAAAAUUUGGGUCACAUGCUCUACAAGAUCAAGUCUACUCAAGUUUUUGCCUUCUUGGUUAGACCGGCCAGACUGGCCUGGCCGGAAUGGGGAUUAAACCAAGGGUUCCAAUGUUUCUUUUAAUUCAUUAAAUGCGGAAAAAGGGCAUUAAAUAAAAAACCAAGUGCAAAAAAGGGCAUUAUAUCAAAAACCAAAGAAUGAAUAUUCAAAAGUAUAAUAUUAAUACUCUCAAAAUGUAAAUUGAUAUUUUCUAAUAAUGAGUGCAUGGUUGAGUGGCCGAUUAAUUUUCGAUUACAAUACUCAUACACUAUAGUAGGCCUAUAUGAUAAAAAAAGUAUCUAGUAACCUAACAUUUUAGACAUACUCUAACCUAGAAAAGGAAUAAAACUAUACUACGUUUUUCGAGUAUAAGUUUGCAAGUAAGCUAUAUGUUGUUGAGAAAAAGGCCUAAAACAAUACUAUAGGUUGUUGAGAAAAAAGCCUAUAUGUUGUUGAAAGUAACUUUCUUGCCUCCUCGAAAAAAAAAAUAAAAAUAAAGGGUGAGUUUCUUGCUGUUUAUACGCAAAGAAUGUAUAACUAUUGAGACCGAAAGGAUAUUGUACUUGAGAUUAAUAUAUAAGGUUUAUCGACUAAAUGAUUCAAUCAAUUACCUGAGCUACUGCUCAGAAAGCGAAAACUAAACGGAAACAUUACCCGAACUCGUUGAUAGCAGUUUCAACUGGUAAUCGAUGCUGGACGGAUCGAUAUACCAACAAUCAAGCCUUCAGGCAACUGGUGGAAUACAUCGCAUCAGCACUGGGAGCAUUAGCCAGCUUUAAACACAGCUCUAAUUCAACACCACAGCUCUAAUUCAACACCAAGGGGAAACCACUCCCUUCCUUCAAACAUUAUUUGCCUCAGAUAACUAGUAAUCAAGAACUUAGUAUACGGCAUAAAAGUUGGCUCCAACUAAAGGGUUCCAAAAAAAUCUAUGUUCUAAAGCAAAGAAGAAAAGCUUUUGAUGAUACAAAAGAUGGAUUUCUACAUCAGCAGAGGUUGUCUCCGUGUUCGGCUGGCGUAGCUUAAAGGAAGCUCCAUCCAAACAAGUUGUAGCACGGACUGCUUUAGAGUUUCUUGCAACCACAAAUUGUAUCUCCUCUCCUUCUGAAAGAGUCUCCUAUCCUUGGAAGUUCUAUUAUCUUGAGGAAUCAGUUUUUAGUGGCUCUAUGGAUCGUUUUCAUGUUUGGAAAUUUGGCUAGCUAGUUGCUACGAGCCUUACUUUUUGACUUUUGUUUUGCUUCUUUUUACUUCACAGAGUAACUUUAACGUGGCACAAGUUUAUGUACCACCAAUAUCGUCCAAAGUGCACAAGUAAGAUUGAUAAUCUUGAAUUGUCAAACUCUGAAGCGUGUUUUGAAGUCGAUGCAUUGAGACCGAGUAUCGACUUGAUCGAGUUCAGGGAUCAAUGGGUUCAAUCGGGUUCGAUCGGAGUUGAAUCGGAUGAUGUCAUAAAUAAAAAUUAUUUAAAAAUUAAAAUAUUAUAUAUAAAAUACCUAAUAACAUAUUAAUAUUAAUAAAGGUAUAUUAAUAUAUAUUUGAUGUUUCAAAUAUAUUUAACAAGAAAUUAGAACAAUCAAGUAGCAAUUUAUAUUAUUUAAUGAGCAUUAACAAGUUUAGAAUUAAAAUUAUGGACUUAAUGGAAAAAUAACACCAAACUUUAAGACAAUAUUUAUAAAGUAUGAAAUAUUUGAGAUAUACUAAUAAUUUUUAACAACUUAGGGGUCAAAACAUAAUAUUAAAAAUAUUUUGACCUUUCAAAAAAAAGUAAAAAGAAAAAAAAGAAACCCGGUUCUUUUUCCGGUUAAACCCGAUUUUUUAUGGAAUUUUUAAUUUUUCGAUUUUUAGAGUUAAUUCGGAUUGGACAUUUGGCCGGUUUUCGGUUCGAUCGAUCGGACCGGCCAGUCCAGUCCGAGUUUAAAAACAAAGGUUCUACCUACGGAAAAAAAGAAAGAAGUUGUCUUUGUUUGGAUUGAAGAAUUUGGUGAAACUCAAAUCGGUCUAUUUGUCAAAUAUCCCAUAAAUAAUCUAAAUAAUUAGAGGGAUUUGAGAGAAUCUUGAACCCAUUGUCAAAUCCCCCAAUCCAAAUAGAAAAUGUUGCGACUUAAGUAAUUUUUCACUGCCAUUACUGUUAUUGGUUUAUUUCUUUACUUAGUAAUGAACGCAAACAUUAAGCAUCAUAUUGACAUAGUGAUCCCCUGUAAUCUACAGCUUAAAAUUCAGAUCCGGGCCGGGGCUUCUAUUACACCAUCGGAAACCUUGGAGUGCCACUCAAUCAAGUCUCAACGUCCAAUGUAUCAGUUAGUUGAUUGGUAGUUUAUGCUGACGAUAGAGAGAUUUAUUCAGGUGAAGACAUUUUAUGGAAGAAUUGGCAUAAAAGCACGAAUAGAAAACACUCCUUUAUGGUUGUAACAUCAUAUAUUUCUAAGGAAUAAAAUGCACAUGUUAUUUCAACCAAAAUGAGCAAGUCAAUUAACAUACAAGUACAUCAAGAGGACAAAAAUAGAAAACAGCUUGAACUUUAAUUGAAAGGAAAUGACAGCUAGGUACCUUCAAUGGUGAAUGAACUACAAAUUUCUCCCAAAACUUUUGUUGGGGCCUUCCCUGAAUAAGUAUGUAGGAAAGAGGAGUCUGAGGUAGGAGAGAAAGGGAUUGUGAUCAUAUGACUGAUGGAGCAAUGUCUUUAAUUGUCUAUAGGAGUUUGAAGGUGAGAUUUGAAUGAGAAGAAAGCUCUUCACAAAUGCCAGACGAAAGUCCUAUUAAUAUGGGUCUACUAAACAAUUCCUGUUAUUUAAUUAGGAAUUUUAGACAGUAGGCAUCCAAUCUCCUUUUGUUUUACUGCUCUUGUCUGUAUUUGGUGGCUGCCACUUCUGUGAGCUAGCAAAUGAAAUUUAGAUUGUGUGCCAAAGUGCUCAAUGCCUUGCCCCCCUCCGCACCAUGUCAGCACUCCACUCUUAUUCGCUUUACAAAAAGGGUCCAAUUAAUGAGAAAGACUGAAUUUGUGGAAGGGAAGGUUGCGUUGAUGAGUUGAGUUAGUGGGCGAUAUCAAAAAAAAAACUUUCACUCUGUAUUGGUGAAUAAUUUGUAAAAAAUUCUGUAAGCAACCUAUAGACUAAAAUAUAUUCUAAUUUGUAAUAGUGAUCGGAAUCAUAUUCAUCCAAAUUUUUUCUCUUAACAAAAAGAGAGCAUCUCAUAGAAAAAGGAAAAAGUAAUUAUAUGUUUGGCCCACCUUCACUGUGCGUGUGUAGUCACAUUGCACAUGAGGACCAUGAUCCUAAAUUCCACAACAUUAUUGAACUUGGAACCAACAGCCCAAAGCUGUUGGCUAACGCCAAAGACUUGAAGUUUUAGUGAGGUGAGAGAUCAUAGGUUUAAAUCUUGUCUCCCAUCAUUUGCGUGUGAUUUCUUCAAAUCCAUACGGGUAUGUAGUACACCUAUCUUAUCUAAUGGUAGUUCAAUUCUUAUCGAUUCCCCACCAUUUGCGUGUGAUUUCUUCAAAUCCAUACGGGUAUGUAGUACAGCUAUCUUAUCUAAUGGUAGUUCAAUUCUUAUCGAUUCCCCUGUAGGUCCAGUUGGACCUUCAGAUGAUGGUUCAAUUCUCGUCGGUUCCCUGUAGGUCCAGUUCUCCUAGAUUAUUUUAGAGUAAGAAUAGGAGUAAGAAUAAUAGUAGAGUAGAUAAGUGACAAAUGACAAAAAACAAAUAUGAAUUUGGAACCUUAUAAAUUUUUUGAAAAGAAAAUAUUAGUAAAAAUAACUCUAAAUCAAGUAGUAGAGAUUUUUCCGUUUCUCUUUGAAAGCAAUAAGAUUAUACUCUCUUUUUUUUUUCUGAAACGAUAGGAAAAUAAGAUUAUACACAUUGUGAAAAUGAAAACUUAAAAUGGAGGAUAGGUGAAGUGUCCAGGGACUACAGCGUUGGCCUUUUUUUCUGUUUGUAAGUAAUGUAGCCUUGUUCUCAAAGAUUCUGUUUAUUGUUGAGCAUACAAACACUGCAAAGUUUUUUUUUUUUAAGGCCAAAUACUACAAAGUUUAUACAUUCUUUUAAUUACUUCCUCUAUUUACGUGUACGUCAACUUUUGGAAUUUUUUUUCCCAAUUAAUCGGAUGGAGAACAGAAAGGUCAAUUGUCUAGAGGACUAAAAUGUCAAAUUGCAGAACUUCAUGAGAAUAAACAUAUUAGCCCAUACCAUAGAGGAUCCGAAUGCAAAUUUUCGUAAUUUUCGUAUCGUCUCCAGUUAACGUGCGCUAUUCCAGACCAGAGUUGCAGAGUUGCUCUUGCAGCUAUUCCCCGAACGGCGUUGUUAGCUGAGAUACAAGAGAUAUCAUUACAUAUAUGUAUACUCCGCUGAUUCUUCAAGUUUCAGUUUAUAUCUAGAAACGGAAAAUGGCGAUCACAUUCGUCUCUUCUCGCGCCAAGACCACAAAAGAUAUACUCCAAUCGUUACUCAAGAAAGCCCAUUCCUUUAGACCCUUUUCAUCUUUCUGUGACAAGGACCCACCAUCCCCGGACCUUGUGAACGAGCUUUCUCGAAUUCUCAGCGACUACAGAAGCCCCCACCACGAUAUUCAAUCAGUCCUUCAUCCAUUUUCCUCCAAAAUGUCAACCAACUUAGUCGAACAAGUCCUUAAACGGUGUAAAAAUCUGAGCUUUUCAGCUCACAGGUUCUUCCUCUGGGCAAGGGAAUUACCGGGUUUUCAGCAUAGUAAAGAUAGCCAUCAUAUUUUAGUUGAUAUUUUAGGCAGUAGUAAACAGUUUCCAUUAACAUGGGAUUUUCUUGUCGAGAUGAGGGAUACUCGAAAAUUUGAGAUCAGCUCAGAAAUUUUCUGGAUUGUCUUCAGGGCUUAUAGUAGAGCUAAUUUGCCAGCUGAAGCUAUCAGGGCUUUUAAUAAAAUGCUUGAUUUUGGGAUUACCCCGACUGUUAAUGACCUUGAUCAGCUUAUUUAUCUGCUUUGCAAAAAAAAGCAUGUUAGACAUGCCCAGGAAUUUUUUGAUAAGGUUAAGGACGAUUUCACUCCAACUGCAAAAAGUUACAGUAUUUUAAUCAGAGGGUGGGGUGAGAUUGGGGAGUUGGGCAAUGCCAGCAAAUUGUUUGAUGAAUUGCUUGGUAGAGGAUCUGAAAUUGAUUUACUUGCUUAUAAUAGUAUUUUGGAGUCUUUGUGUAAGGGAGGGAAAGUGGAUGAGGCAUAUAAGUUGUUCAGUGAGCUGAGGUCGAAGGGAUUUGUGCCUGAUGCUUUUAGUUAUUCAAUCUUCAUUCAUGCUUUUGUUGAAGUAAAUGAUAUGCAUUCAGCUUUUAGAGUUCUGGAUAGGAUGAAAAGGUACAAUCUUGUGCCAAAUGUGUAUACUUAUAAUUGUAUUAUUAAGAAGCUUUGUAAGAAUAAUAAUGUGGAGGAAGCAUACCUACUUCUGGACGAAAUGGUAGAGAGGGGAGUGAUGCCAGACGUCUGGAGUUACAAUGCUAUUCUAGCUUUUCAUUGUGAUCACAAUGAAGUGAAUAGAGCACUUAAGCUGAUUUCAAGAAUGGAUGAUUAUGGGUGCCAGCUGGAUAGGCAUACCUACAAUAUGGUGCUAAAAAUGCUUAUCAGAGUGGGAAGACUGGAUAGAGUUCAAAAGGUUUGGGAGAGUAUGGAUCAGAGAGGAUUUUAUCCUCCAGUCUCAACUUAUGCUGUAAUGGUCCAUGGUCUAUGCAAGAAGAAACACAAUCUUCAGGAGGCAUGUAAAUAUUUUGAAAUGAUGGUUGAUGAAGGAUUACCACCUUAUACUGAAACCUGUAACUUGUUGAGAAACAAACUUAUUGGGUUAGGAAUUGCAGAGCAGACUGAGAUACUUGCAGAUAAGAUGGAGAAAAGUACUUCCUGUUCAAUACAGGAGCUAUCAAGUAUAAUGCGGGGUACGAAGGUACCACGCAAGGUUGAUGAUAAAAUGAGAUGUCGAGGUGAAUAUUCAGAUGAAAGUGAUGACUGGAGGAGAACAGAUGUUUCUAAUUAGGUAAAAGCCUUCUCUCUCUAUCUAAGAACAAGAGGCAACUCCUCGUCCUUCUGUACACCAUUUAAUAUCUGUUCUCAUGCUAGGCAAUCAUAUGUUGCCUAAUACCAACCACUAGGAUUUCACAAGUGAUAUAUCUUAGGCAUCUCAGUGGUGACUCAGAAAAGAAGCCACUAAAAUUGAUUCAUUGUAUGGUUGUAAUGUUGCUGACAAAGGUUAUGAACAACUAGUGAUCAAUUCCAGUUGGUUAGAGAGUUUAAUUUUACUUGAUUCUGAGCAUUUUGAAGCACCAAUUUAAUGUUAUUUCAUUUGAAAUGCAUUUUUUCUGUUCCAUUGUGCAGUAAUCCAGUAAUGUGCAUGUUAUCAUUUUUUUGUAUUUUGCAGCUAAAGCAGCAAGCUAUUUGUGCAACAUACUAGAUUAGUCUUCAUAGGCUUCUUAUAUCUUAAUUUGAAUUGUUCCCUGCAUUUCAGGCAUAUUGGACUGUUUCAUGAACAUCCUUUAGGACUAUGAAUGUGGUGGUGGCAAGGUUUCUUUCUUCAAUUUCUACAGUCAAUGUGUUUUUAUUUGCAAUGUCUAUUCCAAAGAUGUGACCUUAAGGUCUUGGGAAGUUUCUGAUGUAUAAUCUGACCUUCAUUUAUUAUAGGAAAACUAUUGCGCCUGUUUUCUUAAUUUUUUUUAAAUUUUGUCUUUAUUGAUGGCUUGUAGUAUCAACUUAUACGACACUGGAAAUAAUAAACCUUGUCCAGCAUGCAUAACAAACAAAUGAUUCCUUUGCUCUGCUUCGGUGCAAUUCAAGUUCGUCAGUUUACUGGAUUUGUAGGUUACUGCUUUGUUAAUGGUCAUUGGGGCUUAAUCUACUGUUUGUGCACAUAUAGGGGCUUCUGUAAAUAAUCAUGAAUCAAGAAAAGUCUAGUGGAAACUGGAAAAGCGAUCUAUCUGUAUGCAUUUUGGUUCUAUCUCCAAGAGUGACCAUUUGUUUUCCUUUCCUUUUUAAAUCCAUUUUUAUUUUCUUGUAUCUCUCUCAUUCUCACACUAGCAUGUGUUUGGACUCCAGUGCCAGAACGCAUGCCCUUCGAAGUCAAGCUGAAAGUGUUCCUAAUUUUCGGAUGAAAAAAAUUGGAGUGAAUUCAUGCUGCUGGUUUGGGAAGCUGAUUUUUUAAUAAAAUGAGUUUAAUUUUCUGUAUCAAUGGCCUUAAUUUUGGACUUUUUUUGAAACGGAGCCAGUUGGCUUAAUAUUAUGUCAAUAACUGCGACCGUCUGAAUAUAUAAAUUCUUAAGAGAUCAAUUUGUCCUUUUUUUACUCUUUAAUUUUGUGGUAACAUCUGUUGUUCCCUUUUCUGUUUAUUCUUGCUAGUUUAGUAUUUCUUUCAAAACUUUUCUACAAAUGUUAUCGAUAUAUGAACAGUAACAUCUUAAAAGGGUAAUGCAGUCUUGCAUGAUCUCCAGUGUGUAAUAUAAUUUUUCUGAAAUAUAUCCCCUUGGUGGGUUCAGUACUAAAAUCAUUUGAUAUUGAUCUAGGUGGAUUUGCAUAGUAUAAUGCUUGUCAUCAUAUAAGUAUACAGCCUAAGACUAGAAUCGGAAGAGAAUGGUCCUUGCUCUGUUGGAUUUCUUUGUACUCCUUAUUGAUUAUCAUUUGUUAUUGAUUUUUGAGUUUCAUUUUUUUCCAUUUUCCUUUUGAAGCUCAGAUAGAUGCCUUGAAUGCUAAGGCAGAAUACCUCAGUGGUGAUGGAUCUGAAUUUCAGAAGAUCCUUUGCCCGAAUCACUGGUAUGUGUUUCUUUCUCUAUCUGUAUCAUGCUAUCUUUUGAUUAUAGUUUCUUUAAUAAAGGAAAUUGCUGCAAUAGUGGACCUGUGCAUUCCAUUUUAUUUACCAUGUAACAACUUUCAGUUUGACAUUUUGUCAUGUUUUGUUUUAGUUGGUUUUGUUUCUUGCUUUUAUACGUUACUUUGAAGGGGGUUGGGAAAACGUGUAACUAGCUUUCCGGAUGGUUUGCUGCUUCGGAAAUGUUUCGGUGCAGUAAAUUGGGGUCACGGAGUUUUCGUGGACAAAAGGGGAUGUGGGGAUGGGAUGGUAAAUUGGUAUAUUGCUGUUUCUGUAUGCUUGUCCUGUUUGGUUUAGCUUGUCAGAGUUCUGGAAAAUCCUGGUUCUUGCUCAUUCACUAUGUGUCUAAUUUUUCUCUACCACUUCAUUAAUGAUUUUUAUGAAGCCUUAGGAGAACCUAUAAGGUAACUGCUCCAAGAUUUCAUGAGAUCUAUGUUGAUCCUUUCUUAAAAUCAUUAUGCAUGUUUCAUGAGAGAAGCCUUGAUGAUAGCAUUUACCUAUGUUCAUAGAAUAUUCAUUUGCUGGAUUCCUUUCCCCACAUCACUUUAAUUUUGAGGAAUCUCGCUUGUAAAUCUUUUUUCUUGCUGACAUCGCAAACAAAUCUUAUGAUCUGAAUCCUUCCAAUUUUAGACACUGUGUAUUGACUUGUGUGUUUUAAAAAGAUUGUCUCUUACCUUAUAGUAUGGGGGAUCCAGGAUAUGAGAGUGGAGGUGGGGGGAGGGCUAGGGUGGAGAAGAUGGAGAAACUUAUCAUGCAGGGGUAACUUUCUCUUUACUACAAACUUGUAGGGGGCCAAAUCUUAUUUCCCAUGCUCUCCUAGACAGAACAAUGGAAUUUUUUUAUUUCCUUUUUCUUUUUUGGGGUCGAUUUUGGGGAAGGAAUAUACCAACCUGUCCUCCUUACAUCAGCAAGUGUGCUGUAGCUUAGUUUUAUGCAUGUCACUGGUUUACAUUUUAAUUUUUUUUCUUGAUUUUAUUUUGGUUAUCUGGAUGCAGUUAAGGUUGGGUGGACCAUGGAAGCUUUUAGCUCAGAUUUCCUUUCUGUGUUGACGGGGAGAAAGAAUUUAAUGCGCCUAUACAUCAGCGUGUUGCCCAUCCCUUUUCCAAGCAGCUCAUCCAGUUAAAGAAAAGCUUCAAAGCUGCAAACUCCUGGUAGUUGGAGGAAAAGAUUUCAUUAUCAACCUCAUGGUCCUGAUGUUCUGUGUAUUAGGAGGAAAGAAGUCUGCUCUCUUAAAGUGAGAAAAGUAACAAAUGAAAACUGGAGUGUUAUGGUAAAUGCAGUCUUUUCAAAUUCAUUUACUUGCUUUUUCAGAAAACUUGUUAUAUGUUUGUACUGUUAUUAACCCUUUGUGACACUAGAGUCUGGUGUUUUUUCCUAGUCUUGAUUCUGUUCUUGCUUUUGUGAUGCUUCUCAUUGCAACCGCCAAGCUGUUGAUGGGGUUGGUGGCCUUUUUUCGGCUCCUUGAAAUGGAAACGAUAUUGUUGACGCACUUUGCAUUCCAGUUAAAGGAUUGUCAGAGGAGGUUACAUACUUCCCUAUAAUUACCACCUCUAUAAUUAAUUGUUUGUGUGCUUUGAAUGAAUUCCAUCCUGUUACCCAAAUUAACUUUAAGUUCAGCAUUAUCAGUAGUAUCUAUAAGAUAUGAUUGUUUUUCACAUCAUCAGGCAGAAUUUAAUGUAUAUUUUCUCGACAAUGAUUUUUUCCACAAAUUACAGCCAAGAGAAUGAGAAACCUUGGACAUCUGAGAUUAAUAUGCGAUGACUGAAUACUGUUGGGCAUGCGUGAUUUACUCUUCUGAUUACCCAGUGCCGCAGCUUUACCUCAAUUAACAGGAAAAUACAUUUUUGAGGAAUGCAUGUGGAACAAGGUUGCAUCUUGUAAGCAGUAAAGAUGUGGUAUUCCUUAAGCCUGUGAGACCAGAAGGAUGAAUUCUGUGAACUCUUCUCUUUUCCUUUUCUUCUUGUAAUGCAUUUUAAAAGCUGUCAUGAAAAGAUUUUGUUGUUUUCUUUAAGCAUACAUGAACCCAGACGUUCAGGUUCACCCCAAUCUGAAACAAUUUUGUCAAAUAUGAAGCCUAGACUGAGCUAUUGACAUUUGAUUGCCGGUUGGAAUUGUGUAUCUGAGAAAGAUUUGCUCGGAAGAGUCUUGAAUUCCUAUACCUGAGAACUGGACUACAUGAUCUCGCCUUCGCCAGUAAAGUGUUCUUUGCCUGUUUUAACCGUGAAGAACACUUUAAAAUGGUAAGUAGUGGAGGAGCCCAGUACCUCCUCCAUCUAACUUCUGUUGUUCUGCUGCAGGACAUGAAUCUCCCCUGCCUCACUCUUUGACAGGACGAGAUCGUCUUUGUCAAAACCGAAGACCUAUUGUUUCUUCUUUUUGGGUUACUCAAAACCAAAAAUUUCUUGAUAGUGAUUGGCUCUAUCCUUCGGUCUAUGGCUUCCUUUAUUCAGGAAUAAUUUCCUUUUCUUUUGAAAUAAAUGUUUGAUUUGUGACACUGCAAGGACUACUAUCACACCAUAUCUUUCUACUGGACAAGGAUUCCUCUUCAGCAUGUCACUCUUUAUCUUUCUACUCCACUUGGGCAUAUUCCUCCAAACUCCUGAUAUAGUGUCUGGUCAAGGGAGAAAACCUUUUAAUGACACUACUGCUAAGUUGGAAUAGACAAAGAAAGGAUCGAGAAUGGUCUGAUUGCCAAUCAAAGCAUCAAUCCAAGUCCUAGCUCAAAAAUUGCCCAAGUCAAGAGAUUUAGUGAACUUGUACAUAGCAAUGUUUUCAGAACCGGACCGGACCGGCCGGUUCGACCGGUUGGACCGCGAACCGGCCAUGUCAUCGGUCCGGUCUAAUGUUAAAGCCGGAAGUUCAUGGAGAACCGUUGAAACCUGGACGAAUCGGACGAACCGUGCGAACCGUUAAGAACCGUGAACCGGCGGUUUUUUAAAUUCUUCAACAAAAUAUCAAGAAUGGUGUAGCUAGACUGUACUUAAGUUUGUUGAGAAUUCUACUUGACUAAAAAAUAUAUUAAAACAUCAAGUUCUUCUCUUAUUUUUUUUUUCAAUUUUUUCUUCUUAACCAUUUUUAACCCAAAUAUCCACAACAAGAUUUUCUCAAGUCUUCACCAUUAUUAUCAGGUUAUUAUCUUUAGCAGAUUGUAAACAAGUUGAAAAUUUCAACUUUUCUUGUUUUCCAACAUUUUAGUAAGUUUAAUUUUUUUCUUUUCAAGGUUUUUUUCUAUAUUAUUAUCUUUAGUUGAUUUUUUGCAUUUUCUUCUUUUUCCCCUCAAUUUUCAUAUGUUUCCCUCAUUUUUGUUUUAUUUUUAUUCGAUUAAUUAAGGAUGAAAUUUUUGCAAAAGUAGUGCACAUCCGUGUAGGAAUUGGGUAGGAAUUACAAAUAAUAACAUUGGGUUGGUCAAAAAUAUGGUAGUUGGCACAUAAUCGAAGCUAUUGAUAAUUGAAUUUAAAAUAAUUAAUGGUAUAGGAUCAUUGAAUUUAAUAUAACAUGUUAAUUAGUAAUGUUUAGUAGCAAUUAAUUUUUUAUGAGUUAUUGUAUAUUUGUUUUUCAAAAAUUUUUAGUUUUUUUUAGUUUGAGCAAUUAGAUUUAUAUUUUUAUAAUAAAAUUUUAACUUUUUCAGCUUAAGUUGAUGAAAUUGUGAAGGUGGUGUGGUUGCUUAUCAUGCCACUGAUAAAAGUUUGCUAUUCAAAUAGUUUGUCUUAAUUUGAACUCUUUUAUGGAUUUUUUUAAGGGUUGUAAAAAAUUUCAAUAUUUAAUUUAUUUAUUUUUUGUGUUUUUAUUUGUGAUAAUUGGUGCACAUUUGGAUUGUAUCUAUUUAUGUUUAUAAUGAAUUUAUGAAAACUUGUAGUGAAUUAUGAUAUUUUAAUUAUAUUUAUCAUUCCAUGUUUUGUGUAUAACUUUUAGAAAAUUUAUUAUUAUCAUAACUUAAAUUAAGUUAUGUUGGUAAAGUUCAAGUGUAUAAUGAAACAUGCUUUAAAAAAAAAAAAAAAACAGUGAACCUUUGAACCGGUCGGUUGGACCGGUCGGACCGAUCGAACCGCGAACCGGCCACCUCUCCGGUUCACUGACCGGUCCGAGUUUAAAAACAUUGGUACAUAGUUGGCCAAUUCAAAGAUCAGUCAAAGAUGGUCCAAAUUAGCCAAACAUCUAAAGAUAGGGAAGAGUUAUACUGGUUGGUGUAUUUCUUUGUCCCCACUAAGUGAGCAGAAGCUGGUCAACCUAUUCUUAAUUGGUCAUCUUGAUAAAAUGUUGCAACCAAUAGAAAUUACUCAAUAGAUAAAAAGACACACUGUGAUGUGAAUUUUUGACAUCCCCCCACUCCCCCCCCCCCCAAAAAAAACCCAAUUAAAGAGAGAUUACAUGGUCAUGGUUCCUGUAGAAAAUUUUGAAACGAAAACAGGGAGAAAGUAGGGGGGCGGUGGACGAGGCCAUGUCAGGCAGCUAUAAGCCUUUCAUGCUUGCAUACUCCUAUUUGCAUGACAUCCCUUUUGUUCGACAAUUAUUCGUCCUUCGUAUUUGAUCUGUUUGCAAAUGAAUUGAGGUAGCUCCGUUCCUUCUUUGCAAAGAAGAAACUGGAAACUAGGAAACGUCCUAAUUCAACCAAUUUCUGUUCCAAACUUGCAUCAUGCAUCUAUCUUUAAGUCAGCCUGAGGAAGCUAACCCCACAUCAGAAAUUCAUGAAAAUUGAUCACAUACUGCUUAAAAAAUAGAAAAACACUUUAGAAAAGAAAAAGAAAAAAAAACAGGUUUUCAUGAAUCUUGAGUAGUCAAUAGAAGGGGGAAAAGCAGAUUUCUUGAUGUCAUGCUGAGAUUUCUGACUUUGUAGUACUCGCUACUCAUGAAUUCAGAGCAGCAUAGUGUUUAAAACUACUAAUAAGUAUUUCCUCUGCAUACUGGGGAAAUUUUUGCUUCAAUUAAAGAUUCAUUUCAACAAAAAUACUAAAACCUGUAAAUCAAUAGUUGUUGGAUGAGUUAGAUAGAGUAUCUUAAAACUUUCAUUCUUUUUCUUAUAUGACAUGAAAAACCUCACAAGGAUUGGUUCAUACCUCACAAGAAUGAUGGAAUGAAAUUUGUACUUGACUCUUUUUUUUUUGUUUUUUUUUGUACUUGGCUUGAUUAAUUAGUAUUUUGCAUUGACAAAUUCUCUCUUUUUGGUACUCAAUUUUCCCGGGCAAAAAUUAAAAUAAAAUAAUAUGUAUCCAUAAACUACAUAUCUCCUGACACGCACUUUGGGUGCAGAAAUAUAACUUCCAAUCAUUACUGAGCACGUCAGUAAAAGCUCUAGAUGCUGAUGCGAGUAGAAUACACGCGCCAAGACCACGUGUAGAGCAGAAGCUGCUAUAAAUUAAAAUUUCCCCAAAAAAAUAAGGAAAAAAACAUUAAUCUUUUCUAAUCAGACACAAUAACGAAAAAAGAGAGAAAAAGAAAGAAAGAAAGAAGAGAGAGAAAGUGAGUAUCGAAGAGAAGAGCGAUCAGAGAGAGAGAAGGGUAGAGGGGAAGGGUCUUCGAUUUCUGAUUCGAAAAUUAAAUAAAAAAAAAGAAAACAAAGUUCUGAAAUUUUUGAGGGAGAAUUGGAAUGCAAAUAAUUUUUUAGAGAGAGAAAGAGGAAGAAAUAAGAAGGAAAGAGAAAGAGCAAUGGAAGAAGAAGCAACCUGGGUUCCAACGAACAAGUAAUACUUCACAACUAUUACUUUUUUCCCAUUUUUGUUGAGACCCAGAAUUCAAAUCAGUAUUUGGAGCUUAAAUAAGGUGAGCCCAUAAAUUUUGUUGGCUUUACAUAGUCUAAUUUCUCUGAGUUUUUAAGCUUGAAUCUGUGUUGUGCUUUGGAAUUUCAUGAAAAAGAUUUGAACUUGAAUUGGGAAACUUCAAGGUUGAAUCUUUUGAUAAAAGGUGGCAUUUUCAGUUUAUCUUGUGGUUUUGUGGGAAUUAUUGGUAGUUUCUAGUUAAUUGGAAUUGGGAAUUAAAUUUGUGGGUUUUGCUUGAAGUUGGAGGGAGGCAUCUUCGGUGGGGGUUUUGAGUGGAAAAAAGGGAGGGUCUGUUUGGUUUUGAGUUGGGUGGAAUUGGAAUUUGAAAUAUUGCGGUAUUGGGUUUUUGGAGGGAGAGUUAGUUAAGUUGGGGGAAUUGGGAUCUCAGGAUGUCAACCCAAUCCCACCAAUUGUUGUACAAUUCAAAGUUUGGGUUUUGGAGGUGGGUUUUGGUUUGGCAUUGUUGGGUUUGCUUAUAGAGGGUUUAAAUCUUGUUUGGAAGAUGGGUUUUUGAUGUCGGAGUAAAACCCUAAUUUAGUAGUGUAAUUGGGGCGUCUCUGAUUCGCUGUUGUUUGGGAAUUGUAUGAUAUAGUAUACAGUUUCAUUGUUGUUGUUUAUGGAGUUUAAAUGUUGAGGGAAAUGCAUCCGCCACAGCAGCAUUCGCGGAUCAAUCUUGCUGAAUUGAAAGCUCAAAUAGUGAGGAAACUUGGGCCAGAGGGGUCCAAGCAGUACUUCUAUUAUUUGAAUAGGUUAUUGAGUUUGAAGAUUAGCAAGGUUGAGUUUAAUAAGCUUUGUGUAAGGAUUUUAGGCAGAGAAAACAUUCCCCUACAUAAUCAGUUCAUUCGCUCAAUCUUGAAGAAUGCUUGUAGUGCAAAAGUUCCGCCGCCAAGUCAUGACAUUGAUAUUGUGAAGUCCAUUACUGCAGUUGGGAGUAAAGAGACUCCCAAUGAUGGUUACCACCAAAAUGGGUCCCAUAGUGCUGCAGCGCAGGCUUCCAACCUGCAAGGUUUGCCAAAUGGUGACAUGCUACCUUUAUCACCACGAAAGGCCAGGACAGGGUCUCGUGAUCGGAGAGCUGGGGAUCGUCGCAGUGCUCUUGGGCCAAAUGGGAAGACAAACUUUUCUUCUCCGCAAAUAGUAAUUAAAGAUUCGGGUGAUUUUAGUGUUAUCUUGGAGAAUGGGAUCUCUCAUCCACCUGAUCUUCAAGGAUCAGUGCAGCAUCAUCAAGGACUUAUGCAGCAGGUAGAGAAUGUCCAGGAGGCUUCAGCUCUGCAUCCUGUUAAGCUUUCAGCAACAAAGGGGCCACAAGAUGGUCUAGUUUCUCUACAUAGCAAGGACCAGAAUGAAGCGUCAGACAGAGGAGCUGCAAAAGAGAUGCAUGCUAGGAGUCAGUUGCAAGCCCCGCUUGGAGUUCCACUUCUCCCAGUCAGUGUAGGUGGGGCACGCAGAGCAUUGCCCAUAGCAAGUAGCAGUAAAUUUGUUAGUACUUUGAAUUCUGGUGUCUUGUUGGACAACAUAAAUCUGAGAGAGCGCAUGGAGCAGAUUGCUGCAGCACAGGGCCUUGAAGGGGUCUCGACUGAUUGUGCUAAUUUGUUGAAUAAUGGUUUGGACGUUUAUUUGAAGGGAUUAAUUAGCUCUUGUGUCAAUCUUGUGGCGGCAAGAUCAGGACAUGAACCAAUAAGGAACAAGAAGCAUCAGGCACCUAUGAAGCUUGUUAAUGGUGUCAGGCCUGGUCAUCUUUAUCAGAUGCAGAAUAGCGGUAGGCCAUUAGAAGUCGUGCCUGAGCAUAGACCACAUUGCCCUAUUUCUUUGCAAGACUUUAGGGUUGCCAUGGAGCUGAAUCCGCAGCAGCUUGGUGAAGAUUGGCCCUUGUUGCUGGAGAGAAUUUGUACACAUGCAUUUGAAGAAUAAGUUGUGCACCUGGACUUCAUUAUCACCCAGCUAGACAAGGAUUGGUCGCUGCUGGGUCAAAGGUCAUUCUGUUCUUCAUGGCUUAAAGCACAUCAGUAAAGUGAUGGUUUUCCUUUCAUGGCCUUUUGAACCAGUCUACUGCUCGAGGUAAAACUGUCUCUUAAAAUGAUAGGGACCAGAGCAGGGAAUCCUUGUCUUAUCCUGCCAUGGGCUUGCCAUCGGCCAGAAAAUCCAAUUUUUCAGCAACCAGCGAAAAUGGAUCUGCAGAGGAAGUGCCCCAGAUUUGGUUGCACUGUUGUAUGAUUAGCAUAAAUCUCACUUCAUAUUUUCUGCUUUCUCCUGUAAUUUACAGUUAAUGAGAAAAUUUAGAACAGUUUUGCAGGAAUAAUGUGUAGUGUAGGUACAUUAGCAGAAAGGUGAAAGUGCGUCAUGCAAGAGUUCAUGUGUAUGUAUCUCCAACAUCAAGAUUGAUUGGAAUCUAAUUAACCAAAGUUUUCAAUUUUCACCGAAGUAUUUGUUUGAAUAGUAUUGUGUUACCUUAUUGAGAUAUAUAUCAGUUUUCAUUUGUCCAAAAGAACUACUUACCAACUGAAGCUUCUCUACCUUAAUGCUCGCAUCGUGGGGUGAUUUUAUUCUUUUGAAACUUAUAAGCAUGUUGUUGCAUGGUUCAUGACUGAGGAAGUUAAAUUGGUAUCAACUGGUUGACAUGGAUAAUGCAAUUGGCUAGCUUUAGCAUUGUGGAAAACUUGUCAAUCCUCUAUGUAAAUCUGUCAUGAAGAACUGUAAGCGCUCACUAGCACUUCUUAUUAUUAGCAUAUCCUGAGUUAUGCAAUUCUGAGUAGCCUUGACCAGUUAGCCUAGUUUGUCUGUACGCUAAAUGGGAUGGAGUUAUCAUUUUUUGGUGUUAUCCAUAUUUUUGGUCUUUGAAUUGUACCUUCUGGUUUUAGUUGCACUAGUCUUGAGCGUAAACUCUAGUAGUGAAGUGGAGUCUGUAUCUUAAUUCACCUAGUGUUCCUUACAGCAUGCUCUUGUUUGUUACUGGAUGUGUAUAAGUAUGAUAAAAUUCUGAAUAAUGAGUGGGAUGAUCAAGGAAUAUGUAACUCAUUCUUUGCAUCUUCCCAUUGCUGUUGUAUGUUCAAUUUUUCAACUAGACAGAAUGCUUGAUUCUGCCCUAUGGUCCCGGGUGGUGCAUGUAUAUGCUGUCAUUUCUGCCUUUUUCAGAUUGUUCCUUUUUGACUUCUAACGAAAAACACAACUGAGUGCAAGCUAUUACUUUUUUAUUUUUUAAUCUUUUGGGUGAUAUGUUUAUCCUAAAUUCAUGUUGACAGGAUUAGUCCAAAAUUUUAUGCAUGUCAAGUAUCUUGAAUGAUUUGGAACAUGAAGCAGAAGAGACUUAUAGUAAGGCACUACUAAGUGCUUCCAGCAACUGUAAAAUUUCUCCGUUUUCAUGCUUGUUCAAAUAAUCCCCUAUUUUUGUAUAAUGCUGAACAACUUUCAUAGCAGGAAGGAAAAAUCAAUUUUUUCAUUUAGAAAGGAAGGACAAUACAUGUUGCUUCUAGUUGUAAAUCUUAAGCAUUCUGAUCGAUCAGCUGAGAUAAGCUUUAUGCGCUGCUAUAGCAGGAAUUUUUUUUCCAUGAUUUUGUUUUGAGGUAUAUUUCCUGUUUAUCGUAUGAGUACAUUUUGGGCUCAGAUGUCUACAGAUUGCUGCCAGUCCUGCAGCAUUUUUUACGCAAGUGUAUUUGCAGCUCAGUUUACAUGGGCAAUUCUUGAUGCUUGGUAUAAAACAAGGCUUUAUAAAUUUAGAAUCUUAACAAGACUGUGAUGUGUGUGUUGCUGCUACUUUUAUCUUUUGCAUGUUUAUUGAUUGCAGCCAAAGUCUUGAAUAUAUGUGAGCCAGACAGAUUUUCUGCUCUGGGGGUCUUGAGAAGCUCUGCUAUCGGGAGAGCUGUGACAGUGUUCUGGCGUUAUUAUUACUGCACAGUCAGAAGAAACAGUAAUAGUGACAUCAUACAAUCUGGCUGAAGUAUGAAGCAUGCGUUAUAACUCCUACAAUCUGGCAAGCUAAUAUCAUACAAAUUGGCUCCACCAUUCCCCUUAAGGCUGAAAGCAGGCCCUUCGUUCAGCCAAGUCAUCUACAGCACAGCUCGAGUCAAUUUGUUGUAAUCUACUUGGCUUACGGAAACAGAAAGGCCAAACUCUAGUUCGUAAAAACUUGAUGUGGGUUUAGGAUAGCUAUGGAUAUUUCAGAUUGCUUCUUUCCCAAAUCUACUAUUGGUUGCUGGUAAGUUACCUGUAGUUGGGCAAAUAGUGGACUGCUGUUGAAAAAAGUUGCUUGGAUUUUGAAAUGAAAGUCGUGGUUUAGAAGUGUAUGUUUAACUCACCUAGAAGGCUAAUUGGCUGAAUUUCUUGAAUUCCUUAAAUAGUAAAUUUUCAUCUAAUAUAUUAGAAAACUUUUCUUCUUCUUCUUGGUUUUUUUUUUUUUUAAUUUUUUCCUUGUUUAUCUUUUGAGACAACAAGAUACUUCGAGCCUUCGAGGUAAAGAUAAACUGAAACAGAGUAAGCAAUUUCAGAUAUUGCAUAUAAAAUGGGAAGGCAGAAAAUUCUUUGUGCAUGUCCUGCCAUUCAUGAAGAAAAGGAUUAGGCUCUGAUUGCAGCUCUAUCUCGUGUCGGACAAAAUGACUGCAGGGAACAAUGUGCCCCAAUCAUUGCUUGGAGAGGUGCUGACGUUUUAUCCAGGCAUCUAAAUGUGGAGGAGAGGUAAUACUAUUUAUGGUUUUUCUAGGGUCUUUCUGGUGAUUGACUGGGGCCUUGGAUGACCUGCUGGUGUCUAUACUUUGGCGCCUGAGGUGUAACCAGAAAAAGGUAGUGGCCAAGGGUUCAUGAAGGAGGACAUUCUAGGAAAAUUGGAGUUCAUGGCGAGGCUACAUGACCUUUUCGGGAAGUACAAGGUCCCUGAUUGAUUGAUCAAGGAGCAUUAUAUGGGUUUUCUUGCUUAGGUCAGGUAGUUACCUAAUAGGCUAGUAUUUGGGUUCUUGAUGGGUCCAUGGCACAACUGUUAAACUCACUCUUUUUGUGCUGACAAUCCAGUCGUGAUGCUCCAGAGAGUGGCGACCGUUGUGCUGAUUAUAGAAGUGUGCUAGAAGGCAAUGACUGCAAGGAAAAUGGCGUGGUUUUGGUGGAUUUAGUUAUUUUCUAAGAACAAUCGCAGAGAGGAGGGUUCUCUUGUUCGAUGUAGCAGUUUUUGGUUGCAAGUAUUGUGUGGUCUGGUUGAUAUUCGCUAAGUUUGGUUGUUAGUAGCGAUCACUGUGACUAUUUUUUGGGAAGCUGGUUUGAGGAUGUAUUUGUGGCGGCAUGCUCUGGUUUGGAGCUGGCCGUGGUGGUGAGGUAAGAGGAGGUGGUUACUGGAUCCUGUUGGCUGGGUUUCCGAGGUGGCAAAAUGGAAUCUGGUACCUUAUCUGAGACGCGGGAUUGGGAUUUGAUGAAGUUAAAGCAGGAUAGUGCUUACAGAACUUUACCUUUCAGUAAUCAAAGAUAGGAUUUUGGGUGGUGUGGGGAAGGAGUGGUUUCUCUUUUCUGCAUCAUAUUCAUUGCUAUCAAACAAGUUGAAUAUGCUCGAGUUUGACUUCAGUAUCAUCCUUUGGAAGCCUGAAAACGAGGUGCAUGAUAUCCAUAUUUUGUCAGCCUAGGAAGCACAUGAUACCUGAAAUUUGAUAUUCUUUAACCUCUUUGUUGCUGGUGCAACUUAUGUAGACUAUAGGAUCUUUGCUGCAGGAAGAAACGACCAGCAACCGCCCACAUCUGGCAUCUUUAAGAUCCCAUAUCUUGCCAUUAAACAUUUUCCUGCCAGGUCAACUGCAAAAGAAAUUCUUGGAGUAAAACCUUCAUCUCAUCUCCUUGUGAAUCCCAUAGGGUUGAUACAAACUGGUGAUGGCACGUAUGGUUUGAAGUUUCCAUUGAUUGCCCUCAAACAGACAGAAGCCAAUCCGAUUGGAACCCUGAAGCUAGGAUGUAGAAUCCAUCGGCAGCUUAUGAAAGUUCUGCCAUAUAAGUUCAUUGCCGAGAUGAUACUUCUUGAAGAGCUACUUUUCUAACUUGGAUCACUCGAGAAAAUAACACCUAUCUCCUGCUUUUGUCUUUUAUGGCUCUUAAAAAUUAGUUUAUUUUCUGUAUAUAACUAACGACAUAUGUAUAAUUAAACCCUUCAGGUAUUGUGGUAACUUCUUUAACUGUAUAUUAUUUGACCCACAAUAUGAUUGUCUCAACGUGAACGCUCAACAAGUUCACAAAAUUAGGAAAAAUGAACUUAUUGGAAUUUCUUUUUGCUGUAAGAUGAUUGUGGAUCAUGACAAAACACAAUAAUAUUUACAUCUGACUUUUGUCAAUGUAACACACAUUCAUCUGACCUCUUAUGUGUUCAGGGAAGAGGGAUGAAAUACAUCAUAUAGGUAGAGUAUGAACAUGCUAUAAGCGGUGUGGUCUGAACCAUCCAUGAAAAACACUUUGCAGGCUGGAGGCUGGAGAAAUGAUGAUUCCAUCCAUGAAAAACACUGCUGUGGAAUGUCAUCAGGACUUUUUUUUUGCUUUAUUGGAGUAAAACUGGGCUGGCUCACUGAGCAGGAUUUGAGGCGAAGGACGAGGCAUGAUUAUGGUUGGACCAUAUGAAGAUCCUCCAGAAAUGACGGUGCUGCUUACGCUUAGCGUGGCGAGACAUCAACUCCGACUCGGUUCUCCUAAGCAUUUCCCACAUCACUUGGACGUCCUCGUAUCCACAAGUUUGUAUGUCAUCCCUGAGUUUCAAAAGUCCAGCACCUGACAGUAACAAAACCGAUAAGGGCCAUUUUAAUGUGUACAAGUCUGCAAGAAAUCUAAAUAACGUACUACUGUUCUUUCAUUUACCAAAACAAAAACAGCUGCAGAAAACUAUGCGGAUGAUGACGAUUUGUCUAGAUAACGAUGACAUAUGGUCGCUGGAAAAAAGGCGGCGGUGCAAUUUUAUAAAGCUGAAUGAGGAACCAGAUUCCUGAAAUGGGAGUAUGUAUGAACCACUAAGACCAGCCAACCAAAAAAAAAAAAAUUGGGUCGGGUAGUCAUUCUGCUUGUCAGUUCUCUGCACAGGAUGUACGCAGCAAAAUCUUAUUGGUUAUGAAAUCUUUUUGACCAUCACUUCAUACUCAUUAAAAAAAACAAGUAUCUCGCAGGUGGAUGAGGAUAUAUAUUUGUUUAAUACAACUUGAAAUCCAACAAAGCAGUCAUGCUCAAACAAAAGAAAGGUACAGAUGAGGCAAUGGCUGCUGGUGGAAAUAACCUAACCUAACCAACCUAAUGGCCAUAUGCAACCGUUAGUGGAAUCUUUAAAGAAAGAACAACUUUGAGAGGGUAAAAAACCAGAAACUGUACUACAGUAGUACUUUUUAAGAGCCUGGUUAGAACUCAGAACUGACGGACCUAAUUAACAUCAGCAGCAGUAGCAUCUAUUCUCUCUCUCUCAUCGCAAAUAAAGCAGUCUGAUCAGAAUUCUCGUACUAUAGUGGAAUUAGAUAAGCCAGUCUGAUCAAAAGAUGGUUCCAUUUUUCUGAUAAACAUUUUGUACUGUGACUUCCAAGACUAUGACUUAUCAGUAAUGGUACAAUUAUUAAGGAAAGGCAAUGAAUAGGGCGGACAAAUGUGGGGUCUUAACUCUCUGGUUUUAUCACUAAUAGCAGUAGUGGUGCUCUCUCUAAUAGUAUCCAAACUCACACGAGUCAUCAUCACCAAACCAAAGGGUCUGGCUUCUUCUACGAAUACAAUAUCUUGCAGCCUGGCUUCUAGAAAAUUUGCCUAGUGCUAGUAGCCAUCAACCCUGGAAUAUUCUAACUGAAGUUGAUAUCCAGAACCCUUCAAGGGGAGGGGGUAUAGAUGAACCCAUAAAAUUCUUUUUGAAACCAGGUGGCGAUUAUAUUUUGCCGGAGGCCUUAACAAGGGUCCAUAAUCCUACCAAUUAAGGCUAAAGUUAACACCUUAAAAUAUACAGUCCUACAAAAUAAAGCUCCCCUUAAAACUCAUUCUGAUAAACCUUCCCUCAUAGAAUAUUGGUGUUGCUACUCAGGAAAUUAACUAUUAGAGGAAUACUACUGACUCAAGUGUCAGCAUAGCAUCAUCCCUUUGUAUUGCAGAUCAUAUACCUGGCUACCAACGGCCAAGAUCUAAUAAGUAGUAUUAAUAAAGGUUAACUUUGCAGAGAAAAGCAUCAAAGGGCCUGUUAUUUGCGCCUCAAAUGGUAACAGAAAGAAAAUCACUAUGUAUAAUAGUCAUCUAUCACCCUUUUUAACAAGGACUCCAUCUCAAAGAGUAAGGUCAACUUGGAUAAAUUUCUCGAAGAGAAAAGAACCAAUUCCAAAAGACUAUUAGAAUAUUUUCUCGCUCAAAUUUAUCAGGAAACACAGAAAGGCCAAGCAUUUAUGCUUUGCUUCAACGCCAAUAAGAUGCUUUAUAGUAUUCUACAGUAGUUACCGUCAACAAAUCACUACAUUUAUUUCUUUUUUCUUUUGGUUCCGACAAACGCAACUCUUUUUACAGCUUAACAAAUCUAUAGAGUACAAUUCCAAGAGUUGUAUGCAACAAUCUGCUGUCACACGAUUAUUCCAAUAAAGUUAAAAACUAGGUAAGAGGUCAUUGUAAAUACAAAUUCCAGCCAAAGUACCAAGUGCCAAAAUUGUACGAUAAUAAUUCUAACAAAUGUAUUGCUACCUCUUUUGUGCUGACAUCUUUCCCCUUUUCUUACUUCGUUUGUGUUUUCCUCACCAAACCAAAGAAUAAUUCAUGGUAACUGGUAGGUUCAAAUUCCAUUUAUCAUCAUCAAACUAUGCAGGGUGGGAAUAAAAAAAAAAAUUUAAGGACUCUUUCCCCGGAAAUCUUCUCCAUGGUUUACUCAAUAACAUAACUCUAUAACUAAAAAACCCAACUCAUUAGCAUAGAAACAAAAAUAACUAAAUAAAUGAAUAUUGCUUCACAAAAUUUUAAACCAAAACAGAAGAAAAGAAAAGAAAGAACCGAGCAUCAACACAUCAAGUACUGUUUUCUCUGGAAACAGUACAUGAGUAGAAAACGAUUCUUUCUCCUCAUCUUCUGAGCAAAAAGAACUUUAUGGGCUUCUUUUUUUCCAGUGGCAAGCAGAAACAUCAAAAUUCACGUGGUAAAGUAGCAACACCACCACACACACUUCUGAACAGACGGGUGGAAGGAUUAUUGACGCUAACACUCACAAUUGAUAACGAUGGUUCAAGAACGAGGAAGAAAGACCACUAGCAUUUCCCUUCCCCUGCUCCCAUGCCCAGUUCUAAAGAUUCAGGUGGGAAAAAAUAGGAAAAGGAGCUAGAGGCAAAACCAAAAAAAAAUCAGAGAAAGAAAGAGAGAGCAAACCAUUUUUGCGAGCUUUGACGCGUGCAGAAACAGCAAUCCAAACUCUUCUUACAGGAAAAACCAUUUUAUGCCACCAAUCCAUCAUCUUUACCCUCAGUUUUCUCCUCUUCCUACUAGUGUUAUUACUCCUUCCUCCGAGUCGGCUGAAAAACACCCUUAACCCGGCCAGACCUAUGCCUUGUUCAAUUCUCUCUUCAAACUAUUAUGCAUCAACAGAAAUUCACUCUCAACCGAAGAAAGCAGAGAAAGAAAGAAAGAAGCUUUCGAGUACAAGUUUUUCUUUUUCUUUUUCUUUUUCUUUUUUGCGGGGGAGAGCUCUGUUGAAGGAGUAAUGGUCACUCUUGUGGCGUGUCGUGUGUGGAUUUUUGAAGUUGGGGGAGUGGGGAGUCAGUCAGUCAGUCCGUCUGUCCGUCCGUCUUGAGUUUAUGUUUUAACCGUUGCGUUGGUGAGGCCAACGGGCUCUGAGGUGUGGAGAUAAUUCAUAAUUCAUUCAUAUACUAAUUAGAUUGUCUUUUUUUUUUCAAAAUAAAUAUUAUUGGAAUCUUUUUUCACCGACACGUGACAGCAGCGGUGGGCUUUUUUAACUAUAACUAUCAACUUUUUCUUCUAUACGGUCUAAUUUGCAGCGCCAGUCCUUCCUUUUCACAAUCUUUUACUUUUGCCGUAAUUCACACGCAAAUACUUUAGUUCUACCUACUAUAUAGUAGUGCCAAAUUUAACACACGAGUCGGUGAACUUGUUAGACAGGCAAAUUUGCUAUUGGGCACUCAUUUCUCAAAUGUCAUUGAUUAUUAGUGUUGUAUAAAUGUAUUUUUUUUGAUAUUUAAAUAUUUGUCUAAUAGUUUAUUAGGACAUUUUUUUCAUCUUAAACGUCAUCUUUAUUCACUUUUUUGUUCCGAUUUAAUCCUUUACAAAUUUUCAGUGAAUUAAUCCCUUUAUCUCUCACUUAUUUGAGAUUAAGACGGACGCCUUUUGUGUCAUGAAGAAGUUUGUUUUUUCAUAUUGAUCUUUUGGCGCAAAAGGUUGGUCCAAAAUCGAAUUGCUACAUCUGGAUUGUGUCAUAAAUCAAGCUGCAUAAUUGUAAAUUUGUAGACCGAAAGAGUAAAAUUAAUUUGUAGAGGAUAAAGGAAGGACCAUUCAUGCAAUUCUUUCAAUAUUCAUAAAAAUAUAUGUUAGGACACGUGGUUAAUGCAGGACGAGGAGUUUUUUGUUUAUUCAGUUUUGGGUGGGGGGGCUUGGUUUACAAUUAUGGGUCUGCCCCUUUUCCCAUCAAUUUUGACUUUGAUGGAUCAUGGACGGGGAAACGUGUCAUGAAGUUAGUGGAUAAGAUUGAAAGUUAAGGAGACAAUUGGUCUGCCUGUCACUGGGGGCGGUUUGACUCUUGGAAAGUUUUUACCCCAAGAUUUGAGACGGCUCUCUGUCAUAAAUCAUAAUUGGCUUCCUUGCUAAAAAGCCUGAAAUGGAAACGGAUUAAUAGGGGAAACUGAUUUAUCUUGCGGUGUUUAAAGGCCUUGAUUGAUUGCUUGUUUCCGUCGAAAAAUAUUAUCAUUUUUCGUGAUCACAUUUCCCUAUCACCUUUUUCCCUCAUAUAUAUCAAAUCACUACAGUAAUUUUUCCAUAAAAAAUGACGGAAAAUGCAAUCCAAACACAACCUUAAGUUUGGAAUUCAUCAACAAAACCCGAGUUCGAGUUCUUCGUCUUCUUCUUCUUUUCUUUUUUGCCUACUCUACACUUUCUUUCUCAAAAGCACAUUAUUGUUUUUGUCUUGAGCAUUUCCUACCUUUUACUAACAUUUAGGUUGAUUACUCUAGUUUCAACAAUUUUUACAACAAUCGAAUUUCGGUUUCAGAUCAACCAGAUGAAAGAUUUUAAUACUUCGAACUAUGGAUUUGUGAAACAUUAAUUAUUUUAACUGGGGUUGUUUAGAUUUGAAAAUGCAUGAUGUUGUGCUUUUUCUUUGUCACGGAAAAUGAAAGAAAGAAAGAAGCAUUUAAAAUUUUCCAAAUGCUGCAGCAUUAUGAUUAUGUUUGUGGCUGGAUCUUUUAGCUUUUAGAACCUGUUUUAGUUUAAGUGCUAAAUGAGUACAAAGUUGCCCUGGAAAUUCAAUGUGCUGAGCAACGUUACACAAACACAUCUUCAAAGCUGGUUUAGGAGGGAAAAAGAGAAGAGAAAAACAUGUAGCAGGACUACCUACCUAUAGCCCUCCCCUAAUUGAGCUUCCAAAGAUAGCAGCAAAGCUGCAGGACUACCUACCUAAUCAUGAUUCAUGAAUUACGGAAUCACAACAAUAAUGUUAAUUAACGUGGUCUAGUUUGAUUAACCAUUAUAGAAAAUGUUGGCCUCUCCAAUUCCCAUAGACAUUGGUGAGUGUCGGUAGCCGUCUAGUCCACGCGGUUAACGUUAAUAAUCUGAGGGCCUUUUUUCAUUUUUUUUGGAUCAUGGGGAAUGAAAAAGAUUGCUCAUCUUACAUAUUGACUGACUCUCAAAACUCAUAUAUUCUCUUUGGUUUUGAACUUGAAGUUGAUGACAAUAAACUUCCAGCCAAUCAGACAAAGACAAACAUGCAUGAACCAUCUCUAAGGAUGAUCAUGGAAGGAUGGGUAGUUUUGUCAUAUGACCGGUGUUUGGAUAGCACAAAUAUCUCAAAUAAUAUUUCGCUUGAAUCAUAAACACAUUUCUCAACCACCUUUUUAUAUUUUCAAUUACCUUUCUAUCUCAUAGACAUCACAUCACAAAAAGUGUUACAGUAAUUAUUUCAAAUAAUAUUUCAAAUCUUGCUUUCAAUUGUUCAUUAAUCAUUUUCUUCUUUUUUGCUGUUUAGAUUUCUAAUUGAUAGUGUGUGAGCUUUGAGUCCAUUUCAUGGUCUUUGCAUGCAAAGAAAUAAACAAAGUCUUGAAGCAUAGCAUUUCAACUAUCUCCUCCAAUAUAUUUGUAUGGUUGCACAGGUGCCUCUCAGUGCUUAGCUAUUGUUACUCUUCAACUACCAUUAGAGGGGGAGUUAUGUUAGUGCAGAACAGCAUUGAUGUCAUUCUUGACUUGUAAACAUGCAUUAAUUGUAUAUGGGAUCCAAGUAUGCUUAGGGAAAUCUAAAGAAAGAUUCUCGCAGUGGCCUGUGAGCCCUGACCACCUUACCUUUCGCUUAGUGAUGGUUUAACAAUGAUCAUACGUGGAUAGGGUUGGGUUAGAUGAUAAGGGAAAAGGAAUUGUAAUCAGAAGGUUUUGAAUUCAAAAUCUCUCACUUACCCAAAAAAGAAAAAAAAAUCAUACGGGGAGGCUUGAAUGAUUUUGUAAACGAAUAAAACUCAUCAAUACUAGCAACUAUUCUUGAUUAGUCAUAUAAUACGAUCUUCUUGUGGUCUGUAAUAAUGAGAUUAGCACUUACAACCAUUUCUGUGAAAGCCCAAAGUAUCCUCCACUAAUGUUUCCUCUUUAACCCAUCGUACGAUUGCUGUAUUAUUAGUUUGUUAAUCCGUCGUAGUCAAUAUGUAUUUUUUGGUAAGAGGCCUGAUCUUUCAGUUAAUAUUUCAUGUUAUACGUGUUUUGAAGUUCUAAAGAAAUUUAGAGUGCUCUUGACCAUUACCAGUUUUCAAUUAAUUUUUCUCAAGGAAAUGUGAACACUCAAUAAUUCUUUAAUUUGCUGCUCAAGCAUGCCCUCCUCCCAAAGGGUCCCAAUGAUUUAAUAAGACAUCAAUUUAUGGGACCCAUCGAUGCAAUAAAUUAUUCAAAACAUACGCAAAAUUUUGAUUUUUUCAAGUCAUCAGUUUCUUCACUCUUUGACAAUUCUAGUCUGGUGGAGUCCAAUAAUAACAUCAAGACUGGACCAACCAGAUCGUAGAGCAUAAGCAUAGUUUAUUCAUAUGGGUGCUCAAUUAAAUCCUUCAACUUCAAUGGGCUAUGGCUAAUGGCUUUCGUUUUUGCUUCGUCAACUUCAACUAGCAAUUUUAGUGCCAGACAAUUCACCUUUUACAACCUUUUUUUGAGGUCACCAAACUUUCCUCACUUCUUGAUGGCCUGUCGAUCAAUGCAUCUUCGUUUCUAAAUGCUUAUGAAUCGAGCACAAAACUGUCUCUUAAAUAUAAAUGACGAUAGUAUGUGGUAUCACUGAAAACCCUUUAUGUGGUAUCGAGCACAAAAAUGUUUAGGUGGGAUCCCCUUUAAACAAGACAAGAAAACCCUGUUAAUUUUAAUUACAAUUUCCAAAUUCGACAGCCUAAGCAAGCUGAAUCUAAUCAAAUUUUAUUAUCAUAUAUAUGUGCUCUUAGAAAGCUUUUAGGAGGUUGAUUUCGAAUUGUAGGGUUCAAUCAUGAAACAAGACAUUGCGCUUAGACGUGAAUGGUAAUGAAAUUGAAAACUAUUGCUAAGUGGCCUUUGUUCCCACUUUCCAAGUGGUGGGCAAAGUCUUCUAAUAUUCCCCACCCUUUGUUUUUCUGUUCACAAAAGGUGCAUUGGAAACUUCAAUUUGUACGCUAGUUUGAUUAUCGAGUGUGCCGUGCCAUUCAUAGUAGUGUUUUUGUUUCUUCUGCUAAGUCAAAGGAUUCCAUGGCAUUGGCAGCCCACAUGAAAAAUAGAAGGGAAAAAAAAAUACUUACUCUCCAGUUUUCUCUCUUUCGGCACUAACUGAUAGACGGUCAGUUCAAUGUUUUGGCAAGCAACGACCAUGAUACUUGUUAAGGAGGUUGUGAUCUAGUGAAUAAAGUUAAAACUUCAGAAAUGAGAGAUCUUGAGUUCAAAUUCCCCUUUUUCUCUCUUUGUUUCUUAUAUUCCAUUCUUCGCAUUCUCAAAAAAAAGAGGAUGAAACUUUGUAUAACGUUUCGAUUAUCAUAUAAAACUAUAAAAAGCUUCCCGCUAUACAUCUUAAACUCAGCACACUCAGCAGUUCUUGUUGGAAUCAAGCUCAAAAUUAUUAGGCCUGCAUUUACCGUUGAAUGACAAUUGAAUCGCAGAGUGCAUAUCAUUUUCCUUAACUAAAGCGUAAGCUAUUUAGCUUAGGUAGAACAGGAAGUGAAAGCAACGGAUAAAGGCCAGUCUCCUUAGUCAAUGAUUUCAUGUCUAUUUCGGAGAAUAAUGUGCAUAUCAGGCUUCUCUUUCUUCCUCUGCUUUUCAGCUACCAUAUCGAAUAGACCUCUCUCUCGAUCGGUUAUCUCAAGUGGACGGGCAUAAGAUUCAAAUUGUCCGAAACCAGGCUUCAAGUUGGAAAAAUGAACACAGGAGUUAGCAUUAUUCAAGAAUAGAAUAUACGUAAUGAUUGAGAAUCUAUGUCCAUAUUUUUCGUUAUAUGGACUGAAUGUGGCGUUGUUAUUACCUUGCAUCAUAAAAGCGUAUCAACAGGUAGGGUAUUGCUUUGCAUUAUGCCUUCGAGGGAGAGACAGAGACCCCUCCUCCGACUUGGCUAUUUUAAAUAAGCAAACACUUAGAUGAAUCAGAACCACACUAGGUUGAUACCUACACUUUCCAGUGCUUAAUCGAAAUUCCACUGCUCAUAACGACGACAAAUGAGAAAUCUCAGUCGCAUUCGUGUAUCCAGUCGUCAUGAUCAGCUGUCAUCUAAUUGAUAGCCCACCUUUUCUUGAGUAUUGGAUAACGACGUUUGAUCUUCCAAUAGCAGUGCUCGUUCUUUCAAAAUCACCAUGGGUCUGUCAGGCUGUAAUUCAGUUAUUUUCUUAAUAGCAGUAAAUGUACAUGCAACUCCAUGGAGAGCACAAAACCGCCUGAUAACAACAUAUACAUAGAUGAACUGGGAACGAAAGCUGUGCUCUGGAAGGAUCAUGGGAUCAGGAAAUCAACUGAUCACCUAAAUCCAUGAGCUUGAUAAGAUUAACAAACAUUACAGAUACCCACUAUAACCAUGUUUUCUGCAAGGAUACUACGUUCCCUAACGAGAUGGGUACAAAGAAUGUUGCUGCAUUCACUGAGAUUCGUUUUUUUGAGAAACAAACACGUGUGCAUAAGCCUUUUGCCUUUAUGGUGCAACAGAAAGAACUUCAUGUACAAAAUUAUAUAGGGUAUCAUAAUCCAUUACUAUCUUCCGAGGGGAAUAUUUGUUCGUACCGGUUAGUCAUCAAUAUUCUUCAUGUAUUCCUUUGAAAGCUUUGUCUCCAUUAUCAGCCUUUGUUCUUUGACAAGAGAAUGCCCUGAUUCCAGUAAAGCUUCUAUGGUUUGCUUUUUGAGCAAGAACCCCAGAUAAUUUUAGCAGCUCAUUUUUUCAAGACAAAUAAAAAUUGAGAAACAAAAAAACUCAAGUACAAUUUUCUUCUUUUGUAAAAUUAUUUACCUUUGGCGGAGUAAAAACUGGAAGUUUUCCAUCCUUUUUUUGCUUCAAAAGUCUUUUGCCCAAGUUGUCGGCCCCUCCACCAUCCUCAACCCACUAUAACAAAAGAAGUUGAACUAAAUAUUUUAAAAUAUGUUGAAUCUGGGAAAGCAACGCAAAGAUGAAAAAGAUAUAGAGUCUCACAUAUAUCAGAGAAAAGAAUAUAAUAACAUUUGUAAGUUCAACAGGGACAGACAACUGGCUGUGACCUUGAGGAAGUCUUUUGCUAAGUGAAAAUGUUAGACGAUAUAAAAUUUCUCUGGAGUGUAGAGAUUCAAAAUGCAUCUCCCGUGGUAUUGAAGUAUAUUACUCAUUGGUGACUAGAUAGAUUAAGCAUUGCAAAGUUAUAUUGCAUAGAUGUCUGAAAGCACAUGCAUAGAUGGUUAUUCAUGCAAAGAAUAUGUCCCCUUGAGAAUUAACUUGUUCACUCAUAGUCAUUACUCAAAAGUGAGCCUAAGUGGAAGGGGUAUAAUACAUUGCAAGAUGCGGUCGCACCUGCAUACGUGAAGAGCUCAAGAUAGUUCUUAAAGAAUAUCAGGAGUUGUCAGCAACGUACAAAUACCAAAAAGACAUAAUUCAGUUGAAUAUUUUGCACCUUUAAGAUUGACCGGUCAUAUGUUCGAGAUCUCAAAGCUCCAUAAAAAUCCAAGGCUGCCAGUAGAUUUUGAAUAAGAUCAGCAAAAACAGAAAAACAAAGACAUCCUCCAGUUUGCAUAUUGCAGUUCAGUGUCAUAAUUGAGUAUGAUUAUGAAUGUCCAAUUUCUGAACAAAAGAAGUUUAACAUCACCAAAGAUAACACAUUUUCCUUAAAGGACUCAAAAGAAAUUCAUUAGUAGGUACACUUUUGGCCAACGCAAAUGCUGUUCUAAUCACAGUUAUUGCUCUGGAUCUUCUCAUAAACCAUCUAUCUAGUUUAUGCCAAACUUAAUUACGGUGCAGACACACUUCUAAUUCUAACUAGAACUUCUUUAAUUAAGGAAACAAGCAAAAAUUUGAAUUAGUUGUCAGAAGGUAAUAAUAAGAGAAUGUAUAGCAAUCCAAACUAAAUGUUCUUGGCACUAGAUAAGUUUUAUUCAUCAUAUAUGAAGAUUCAUAGCUACCUUGAUUAGGAAAUGAUUUCACUAUCUCUCCAACUUCAUCCCUUGACAUGCCAUCUUUCUCAUACAUCCUGUGAACAAUAUUCAGAAUAUCUUCAUGGGUGGGCUGCCUGUUCAUAAAAAUUGCAUCUGAGAAGGGAACUGGGAAAAAGCACACAACAUAUGAAAUAACAAAACUGAGUACUAACAUCUAGCUGUCACGUAGUAAUCACAAUAGCAUGUCAACAGUAAUUUUGCACUAGCAAAUAGCAACCUCAAAAGCAACCAAUUAUUAGUACAGAAUUUGAACUGCAAUAUUUGUUAAAGUUCCAAACAUGACAUCUGCUGCUCUACCAAUAAGCUAAUUCUGCUUGCUAUUUUUAUUGGUGAAGAACUAUUAAGAAACUCAUCUGUCAAUUCAAGUAAAUGACACCUAACUACCUCAUUUUCUGAGUUCAAGUUCAUCGAUUUGAGUAGCUUCUAAUCAUUUCAUGAUGGUUUUUGUUUCAGAAAGCGGAGGUACUUGACUGAAUUCUGAGCAACGCAACAAUCCUUAGGUCAAGUACUUAAAAGAGAUUAACCAUAGCUUCAACAUACAAAAUUUUUCAUUGGAUUUGAUUACUAAUUGUCUACCAUUAGAACAUAGAAACCAGUAUCUAAUAAACAAUAUAUUUUAUAAUCAAGGUUUUAUAAACUAGUCCAUCUUAUUUCAGUAAGACCUCAUAUGCUCAAGUAUAUUUGGAUGGAAUUACACGGCCUGCUAUGUUAAUACAGGUUUAACCAUCAUUCUUCUGUGAUAUCCUUGAAAUAUAUAUCAACAUGCCAAAUCAAAUGAAGCAAUCAUUUCUAAAAUGCAUAACGCAAAAUUUAAACUCGUAAGCAUUACAAGUACCAGUAAAAUUUUUCCAUCCUUCCAUCUCGAAUCAACGGCGCAUAUAUUGUUGAAAAAUCAUUUCCGGUAACAAUAAUAGGGAUCCUCUUUGUAACAUCUGAUUCUUUCCAGACUUGCCCAAUACUUACCUUCGUAGGGUUAUCAGACAAAUUCAUCAGUGUCCCAACAACAAUCUGAUUAUUGACAGUCAUUUGGGUAUUACCUUCAGAAGAUCACAAUAUAACAUGAUGAUCAAUGGAGGCAAUUUUAUAAACUCAAAAAGGUGGGUAAAAGAACACAAAGGCGUAUUGCAUAAGAAAGAUAAGGAGAAAGAGAAAAUGGAAAUAGAUUUGCUUAUCCAACUUAUAGAUUGGCUCACCAAAUCUUCCAAGACCAGCAUCAAUGUCAUUGAUAACCAAGCAACUCAUUUUCCCCUGCAUAUGCCAAAAUCCAAAUAAAACCAAAUUGAACUUUAUUUCUAAACCAAGUUGAGUGAAUUGAAAAAAAAAAAAAAAAACCUCUGACAGUAUUUUAUGAUUUUAAUAGGUGUGUUUUUCUAGCUGAUAAAGCUUCUAUAAGAUGGAAGAGAAGGUUUGCUGCUCUAAAUAUUUGGAUAAAGCAAGCAACAAAAAUACUCUUGAAUCAGCUCAAAUUCAAUGCCUUCAUAACGCUGAACAUUCCUUCCAUUAUAUCUAUCAACUUUUUCUCUGUUCAAGUGACUUGACAUCAGAUGAAAUAUUUCAACUCAUAUUAGUGAUCAUCCAAAUUUGUCUAUCUUUCCUUGCUCUCCUUUGCUAAUAUCUGUUUAAAUACUCAUUCAAUCAACAGCAGCACAAUAACCUUUUAAAGAAAUGCAUUUUGCUAGGAAGCAGAAGGGGAAGGCUACAUUCUGGAGGUCGAUUAAGAAGUAUAAAAUGGAGUAUGGCAACUAAUAAAUUCACAAUCCUAUAUAUACAUAUACCAGUAGUGAAAGUAAUAAAGCUUCUAACUUGGUUCUGAACCACUUGAGAAGCAGUUCUAUACCGUUCACGUAUCAAUUUUCCUGGUUCUCCUGUUCAAAAGGGAAAAUAAAUAAACAUUUUAGAUAUUAGAUGCACACAGUAUUACAUGGAACUGUCAGGAACCAUCUUACCAGCUCUUUCUGAUUCCAGUUCACCAGCAGACAUGAUAAUAGGUUCAACUCCCAUGGCCCGGAAAAUGAGUUCAGUUUGAAAUGACUUCCCUUGCCCUUUUCCACCCCAAAUGCCUAUAACGUUCAGAACAAAUAAAACACGAGCAGCACAAGGCAUGGUGCAGCGACAAUAUAAGUUUUUAAAUUGGUUAUUGGUAAAUCUUUAACUCAUAUCACAGAUUCUGAUACUGAGGUAACAAAGUACUAUAUACUUGCCUAGGAUGAGUGGUACUUUCGUAUUGAGCAGAUGAGCAAGGUAGUUCUUCGCGAUAUGGCACACUGUGCGGAUAAUAAGCCAGGUAUCAGGACAACGCAGGAAUACCAUUUAGGACUUAUGACCACAAGUGGAGAUAUAGAUGACUGUUUCCACUAGUUUUUUUUUUUUUAAGAAAAAAAGGAGGAGAGUACCAAAUUUUAUCACUCUCACUUCUCAAUGCAGCUAAAAUUCAGUUUUUUUUUUCUUUUUUACCAUUUGCGACGAAUUGCUGAACUUACCAACUUUAUCCUGCCACAGUGGGAAAAAAGAAUUAGUUCAAAAAUUAUGAUAAAUUAAACAACAUAGUUAGGACAAUUUUGCCAGAUAAAUUACGUCGAAGAAUACUAUAUUAACGUACCAUAAAGAGCGGCGCAAUGUAAUAAUCGCCUUGCAGAUAUUCAAACGACCUUGUAGCUUUCUGUCUGUAAUCGAACACAAUAUCAGCUGAAAUUCAAAUAAAAAUGAUCAUCAAAUUUCCCAGAUAUUUUCAGAACAACAAAAAAAAUAGACUAAAAUUCUUGAAGAACAACAAAAUGAAGCAAAUUACAAUCUUUCCCAAGGAAAUUGCCGGCGAAGAGGUCAUCGAUGAUGCCAGCUCUAGCUCCAACAGCAAUGUUCAUAUUAUCCGACUCUUUACCCAGCGUGUAAAGGUAAUCGUUGCCUUCCUCGUCUUUGGCUUCCCAAGAGGACUGUUUGGAUAAUCUUCGGUUAUUCAAUGAUCCGUUGGAAUUGGAGGAGUCUUGGAAGUUUUCGUCAUUCCCGGAAUUGAGUGAAGAACAGGCGAUUGCGGUUUGUUUGGUGGACAAUUUAGUUGCUGGAAUGAUUCGGGAAUCGAAGAGUGAGGAAGAAGAAGUUGGGAAUCGGAAAGAAAGAGAAGCGAGGCCGAGGGGGGAAAAUAGGUCGGAUUUGAAGAAGAGAGCCAUCGGAGACGUUUGCAGAUUGAGCUCCGACUAAUUCUGGCCUUUCAAAUUUCGCUAUUUAUAUCUGCAAAAUCCCAAAUUUGUGUUUACGCUAUUCUCAGUUGUACCUUUACGUUAUUUGGCGCCACAUGAAGGAAUGAUGAUGCCAUUGCCAUGUUCCUCCCCCCCUCAUCUUUACUUGAUUCUCAUAUGGCUCCCCCAAUCUUUUUGAAUAUAGUAAUUCUCAUCACUACACUUUUGGCCUUUUCAUUUUAGUCCAAGUUCUCGCAAAAACAAGUGGCCAUGUUUCUUCUAGUAAAUGAUACUAGUACUAUUUCAUUAUCGACGUACUUCUUACAUUGUUUGUUUGAUGACACAACCUUUUCCUUUUUCCUUUCAAGGGAUGAGCGUACAUUUCUCUUUCAUCCCCUGCGAGGACAGCACCAUAAUUAGAUCAUUGUUACCUCUUUCAUCCAGUCUCAGCUUUCGAAAUUCUGCACGCUCUAACCCCUGAUGCUUCGGAACCUAACACCGUGCACUGAAGAAUAGUGGGCAGAUGGGGCAUCAGGAUUGCGGAUUGCCUAAUGAUCCCUUCUUCAGUAUCAUUCACCAGCAUGGCCGAGCAAUUCUCAUACGGAGUAAAAUUUUUAAGAAUCAAGAAUAUUUCCCGCACUCCGAUAGAGCAAUAACUGUUUCAGGGAUUAUACCUCAAGCAAAAGCAGGUUCGAUGAUGUAGUUGCAGUCUGAAUUCAGAGAAGUUACAAUACAAAUAAUAUCUUCCAUUUUAGCGCGAGCAUGUCUGGCUUUACAAUGGAACGAAACAGUGAAAGCGGCUUCCAAAUUUGACCGUAUCACGUCUUUCUUUUCUUCCAUGCAGAUAUCACAAGAUGUAUUUGAUGAUUCACCAGCGACUUCUUUGGCUCCAGAUGAUCGCUUUUUCGAGUUGGGAUAUAAAUUUGAAGAUUACCUACGGAAUACUCCAGGGCCUCUUGCAAUUGUAGAUCUUCUGCCUGUUCAGCAUCUGGUGGAUAUGGAACUGUAAGUACUCCUUCCAUGAAUGUGGAGAAAGUACUUCAAUGAUUUGAGCCAGGAUCUGUUGAUAUUCUUUUCCCUGUUCAGGAGUAGAACGUACAAUUCUAAUGUAAGCAGAAAUUUACAUGUAAUUAUGAUUUUUCUCCAUGGAAAAUAUAUUCAGUUUAUCAGCUAUAUCCUUAUAUACAGUGCAGCAAACCAACAUGUACCACUAAAUCGUAUGGUGACAAUAUUCACGACCCUCAAAGGGUUGCUUUCGCUUGAUUACUUUAAGUUAUUAAUUAUGCUGAAAAGUAUGUUUUUCAUAUUUCAUUGAUCUAUUUAUACAAGUAACUAGGUUAAAUGGUCAGCCAUGUACAGCUGUAUAUAGUCUGUAAUUACAGACUAUAUACAGUUGUGUUCUUAGACUAAUUACAGCAGCUAUCUUAGACUAAUAGCUGUAUUCUUAGACUAAUUACAGCAGCUAUCUUAGACUAAUUAUAUAGCUGUAUUCUUAGACUAAUUACAGCUAAUUCCUACCAACUCUCCCCCUCAAGUUGGGGCAUAGAUAUCACAAAUGCCCAACUUGGAUAGAGAUGCAUUGAAUAAGCUACUAAUAACUGCAUGAGUCAUAAUAUCAGCCAACUGAUCUGAACUUCUUGUAUAGGGAAUUUCAAUUGUCCCGAAAUCAAGAUUAUCUUUGAUGUAGUUCCUAUCAAUUUCAACAUGCUUUGUCCGAUCAUGUUGAAUAGGAUUAUUUGCAAUCUUAAUGGCUGCCAUAUUAUCACAAAAUAAUACCAUAGAACCUUUUGGACUAAACCCAAUCUCCUUUAAGAGAAUUUUCAGCCAAGAGAGUUCUGUGAUAGCAUGAUGCAUAGCUCUAUAUUCAGCCUCUGCACUAGAUAAUGAAACCACGUUCUGUUUUUUACUUUUCCAAGACAUCAAGUUGCCUCCAACAAAAGCCAAAUAUCCAGAAGUUGAUUUUCUAUCCAACUUGCUACCAGCAAAAUCAGAGUCUGUAUAUCCAACCACAUCAAAAUGUUCGUGUUUGGAGAAUAAGACACCUUUUCCUGGAGCUGAUUUCAAGUAAGCCAAGAUUCGAUUAACAGCAUUCAUGUGUUGAUCACUUGGAUUGUGCAUAAACUGGCUAACAACACUGACUGCAUAUGCUAAAUCUGGCCUGGUAUAAGUUAAAUAGAUUAGUCUACCCAUGAUCCUUUGAUAUCUUUCCUUGUUUGUUGGAAUCUGAUCAGAAAAGAAGGCUAGGCCAUGAUUCACUUCAAUCGGAGUAUCUAUUGGCUCACAAGCAGACAUACCAGUUUCAGCUAGGAGUUCCAAUGUAUACUUCCUUUGGGAAAGGAAGAGUCCUUGCUUGGACCGUGAUACUUCAAUGCCAAGAAAAUAUUUAAGAGUCCCCAAAUCUUUAAUCUCAAAUUCUUUGGCUAAGUAACUUCGAAAGUUCUCAAUUUCUUCUUUGUUAUUACCUGUUACAAUCAUAUCAUCAACAUAGACAAGAAGCACGGUAAUAUCAUUGUAGUUACGUUUAUAGAACAGCGUGUGAUCUGCUGAAGCUUGCUUGAAUCCAAACUCCUCCAUGGCAUGACUCAAUCUUCCAAACCAUGCCCUUGGUGAUUGUUUUAAUCCAUACAAUGCCUUUUUCAGUCUGCACACCUUUCCUUCUUCUAGUGUAAACCCCUGAGAAGGAUCCAUGAAAACUUCCUCAGUCAACUCACCAUGAAGAAAGGCAUUCUUCACAUCAAAUUGUCGUAGAGUCCAGUCUAAAUUAACUGCAAGUGACAAUAUGACACGAACAGUGUUCAUCUUGGCAACCGGUGCAAAUGUCUCUUGAUAGUCAAUACCAUAGGUUUGAGUGUAGCCUUUUGCAACCAGUCUAGUUUUGUAUCUUUCAACUGUCCCAUCAGACUUGUAUUUGACACUGAAUACCCAUUUACACCCUACGGUCUUCUUUCUCAUUGGUAACUCAACCAUUUCCCAAGUAGAAUUCUUUUGGAAAGCCAUCAUUUCUUCUACCAUUGCAUCUUUCCACAUAGGAUCAUCAAGGGCUUCCUGAAAAUGACUAGGAACAUUUGCUCUUCAGUUGUCUUCUGUAUAUGUUCCUAGUCAUUUUCAGGAAGUCCUUGAUGAUCCUAAGUGAAAAGAUGCAAUGGUAGAAGAAAUGAUGGCUCUCCAAAAGAAUUCUAUUUGGGAAAUGGUUGAGUUACCAAUGGGAAAGAAGACCGUAGGGUGUAAAUGGGUAUUCAGUGUCAAAUACAAGUCUGAUGGGACAGUUGAAAGAUACAAAGCUAGACUGGUUGCAAAAGGCUACACUCAAACCUAUGGUAUUGACUAUCAAGAGACAUUUGCACCCUACGGUUUUCUUUCCCAUUGGUAACUCAACCAUUUUCCAAGUAGAAUUCUUUUGGAGAGCCAUCAUUUCUUCUACCAUUGCAUCUUUCCACUUAGGAUCAUCAAGGGCUUCCUGAAAAUGACUAGGAACAUAUAUACAGAAGACAACUGAAGAGCAAAUGUCAAGUUUGUCUUAGACAAACGGUGAUAGGAUAUAAAAUCAGAAAUUGGAUAGGAAACAUUGGAAGCUUUUGAAAAACCAAGCCUAUCAGGUUCUUUUCGUUCACGAAGAGGAUAUCUUCUAUUCUGAUCAAUAUUAGGAUAUGAGUCAAGACUUUCAGAAGAAGUACAUACCUUAGUGUCAAUCUUGGAAGAUUCAUUCGAUAGCAUGGUAGUAUCAUCAAGGGAGGUAUUAUCAUUAAGGGAGGUACAAGAACCAGGAGGCAUAACAGUGAUAUCUUUUGUUCUCCUAGAAUAUCCUUUCUCAAAGAAAUGAGCUGGUCUCUCACUAUUAGUUUCAAUUUUAUUUUCCUGACCAUCAUCUAAAACUAAGGAAUUCCCAUUUUCCUUUGCAUUCUCUAUACCUAAGAUCCAUAUCCUUUUUUCUCCUAGCCAUUAUUUUUCAUCUUCUCUACUUUUAAUCUCCCCCUGAAAAGGAACCGCAGACAUAUGUCCAGAAAAAUAAGACUCAUUUUCACAAAAUUGAACAUCCAUAGACACAUAGUAGGUUCUCGUAGGAGGAUGAAAACAUUUAUAUCCCUUUUGUGAAUUAGAAUAGCCAAGGAAAACCAAUGUUUUUAAACUCGGACCGGUCAGUGAACCGGAGAGGUGGCCGGUUCGCGGUUCGACCGGUCCGACCGGUCCAACCGGCCGGUUCAAAGGUUCACUGUUUUUUUUUUUUUUUUUAAUUUUUAGUGUUAAAUACUAAGCAGGUUUCAUUCUACACUUGAACUUUACCAACAUAACUUAAUUUAAGUUAUGAUAAUAAUAAAUUUUCUAAAAGUUAUACACAAAACAUGGAAUGAUAAAUAUAAUUAAAAUAUCAUAAUUCACUACAAGUUUUCAUAAAUUCAUUAUAAACAUAAAUAGAUACAAUCCAAAUGUGCACCAAUUAUCACAAAUAAAAACACAAAAAAUAAAUAAAUUAAAUAUUGAAAUUCUUUUACAACCCUUAAAAAAAUCCAUAAAAGAGUUCAAGUUAAGAUAAACUAUUUGAAUAGCAAACUUUUAUCAGUGGCAUGAUAAGCAACCACACCACCUUCACAAUUUCAUCAACUUAAGCUGAAAAAGUUAAAAUUUAUUAUAAAAAUAUAAAUCUAAUUGCUCAAACUAAAAAAAACUAAAAAUUUUUGAAAAACAAAUAUACAGUUAAACACAUAAAAAAUUAAUUGCUACUAAACAUUACUAAUUAACAUGUUAUAUUAAAUUCAAUGAUCCUAUACCAUUAAUUAUUUUAAAUUCAAUUAUCAAUAGCUUCGAUUAUGUGCCAACUACCAUAUUUUUUACCAACCCAAUGUUAUUAUUUGUAAUUCCUACCCAAUUCCUACACGGAUGUGCACUACUUUUGCAAAAAUUUCAUCAUUAAUUAAUCGAAUAAAAAUAAAACAAAAAUGAGGGAAACAUAUGAAAAUUGAGGGGAAAAUGCAAAAAACCAACUAAAGAUAAUAAUAUAGAAAAAAACCUUGAAAAGAAAAAAAUUAAACUUACUAAAAUGUUGGAAAACAAGAAAAGUUGAAAUUUUCAACUUGUUUACAAUCUGCUAAAGAUAAUAACUUGAUAAUAAUGGUGAAGACUUGAGAAAAUCUUGUUGUGGAUAUUUGGGUUAAAAAUGGUUAAGAAGAAAAAAUUGAAAAAAAAAAUAAGAGAAGAACUUGAUUUUUUAAUAUAUUUUUUAGUCAAGUAGAAUUCUCAACAAACUUAAGUACAGUCUAGCGGUAAGAUUGUCAUAUUUAAACUUGGAGACCCAGGUUCGAAUCUUAGCUACACCAUUCUUGAUAUUUUGUUGAAGAAUCUAAAAAACCGCCGGUUCACGGUUCUUAACGGUUCGCACGGUUCGUCCGGGUUUCAACGGUUCUCCAUGAACUUCCGGCUUUAGCAUUAGACCGGAUCGGCCGGUUCGACCGGUUGGACCGGUUCUGAAAACAUUGAGGAAAACACAUUUGAUAGUACGAGGAUCAAGUUUAUCUCUAUGAUGAGAAUGAACAUGAACAUAACAUACACAAUCAAAAACCUCAGCCCAAAAAUGUUUUGGAACAUGCAUAGUAAAACAUAAGGCUCGUGCUACUUCAAGAAAGUGACGAUUUUUCCGUUCUGCUGUGCCAUUCUGCUGGGGUGUGUAAAUACAAGUGAUUUGAUGAAGAAUGCCAUGUUGUAUCAUAAAAUCAGCAAGAGAUCGAUUCACAAAUUCACGACCAUUAUCGAAAUGAAAAACCUUAAUUCUAGUGUUGAAUUGAGUAAGAAUCAUGUUAUAAAACUAAGGAAUAAUAUGACAAACAUCACUCUUAGAUUUCAUCAAAUAUACCCAACUGACUCUAGUACAGUCAUCAAUAAAAGAUACAAAAUAUUUAUGUCCUGAAGUAGAAGUAGUUGAGAAAGGACCCCACACAUCAGUAUAAACACAUGAAAAAGGAGUGACACUUUUAUUAAAACUAACUUUGAAAGGAACACGAUGGUUUUUUGCAUAAACACAUUGUUCACAUCUUAAGCUAGAAGUUGAAAUAUUGAAAAAUAACUUAGGAAACAUAUGCUCUAAAUAAGAAAAAGAUGGAUGUCCUAGUCGACGAUGCCAAAGGAUUAUUCUUUCUAUGUCUGAUGUCCCACUUUUUGUUUGAAAACCUCGAGUAGAUAUUGUUAUGCUUCGAUUGUCUUCCCAGUAAUAUAAACCAUCCCUCUCCUUACCAAUGCCAAUCGUCAUCUUCGUAAGAUUGUCCUGAAAAACACAAUGAGUAGAGUGAAAAAUGACAGAACAGUUAAGAUGCUUUGUUAUUUUACUAAUGGAUAGGAGAUUAUUUGAGAGUUUAUGUGCAAGUAAAACAGAGGACAUAGAAAACUUUGGUGAAAGAGACACAUUUCCAGCGCCUAUGAUUGGCGUAAAAUUUCCAUUAGCAACCUGUACAGACUUCACAGGUGAAGAUGUAAGAGAGUCAAUGAUAGAAGAGUUACUAGUCAUGUGAUCAGUAGCCCCUGAAUCAAUAAUCCAAGUGCUAGGAUGAGCAGAAAUAUCGGACAAACCAAAAAUACCUUCUUGAGAAGAUGCUCGAGAGACAUGAGACACAGAAGAUGGAGUAGUGUCUAUGGCAGCAACAUUUUGAGCAACAGUAUUAUGAACCAAUUUUUUAUUUUUUCUCUCAGCUUGCUUAAGUUUAUACCAUUCUGGAUAGCCAUGCUUUUUCCAACAAACAUCAAUUGUAUGUGUAUUCUUAUUGCAGUAGGUGCAAAAUCGAGACUGAGAGGCUGUAGAAUUUCCAUUAAUGACAAUAGGAGUGCUCUUUUGAACAGUUAGAGCUGAAGCCUCAAAGUGUGAUUCUGCUCCCAUGGCAACUUGUCUUUGUAGUUCUCUACGAACCAUGGAGUAGACUUCUUCUAACCUUGGUAAAGGAGAAGUACCUAGAACACGGCUUCGAACUUGAUCUAACUUAUUAUCAAGCCCAGCAAGAAAAAUAUAAACUCGAUCUUCAGCAAUACGAUUUCUAUAUUUUUCUUUAUCAGCAGCACAUGUCAUGUCAUUGGGCCGUCGAUAAUCGAGCUCCAUAAAUGUUGAGUUUAAUUCGUUGUAGUAUUCUGCUAGAGGCCGACCAUCUUGUUGUAAAUGAAAAGUCUUCUUCAUUAGUUCAUAAACUUCAGAGGAAUCUGAUACAUCAAGGUAACUUCUUUUUACAGCAUCCCAAACUUCCUUUGUUGUGCCGCAUUGUACAAAGUGAGAUAUCAUAUUAUCACUCAUUGAAUUAAUAAGCCAAGAUUUGACGAGAGAAUCUUCAGCUUCCCAUUCAUCAUAACUUGAAUCAUCUACUGCUGGUGCAGCCUUUUUUCCAUUAAUAUAGCCCUUUUUUUUUCUUCCAGCAAUAUGCAUCUGCAAAAUUUUGGACCAAACUCGAUAAUUAAUGCCAUCCAAUUUAAUGUGGAUGGAAGAAGAAGCAUCUUGUAUGGUUAGAGUGGAGAGAUUCUUGCUGUUAGGAGAUUCAACAUCAGGUUUGGUUGACAUAUUGUGAUGUGAUUAGUGUUUUAGAGAAGAAAUUUCAGUACUGUGGGCUAUUGAAAGAAUGGCUGGAAUUUUCAGAGAAGAGGAGAGCAAGGAAAAAAACCCCAAUGCUCUGAUACCAAGUUAUUAAUUAUGCUGAAAAGUAUGUUUUUCAUAUUUCAUUGAUCUAUUUAUACAAGUAACUAGGUUAAAUGGUCAGCCAUGUACAGCUGUAUAUAGUCUGUAAUUACAGACUAUAUACAGCUGUGUUCUUAGACUAAUUACAACAGCUAUCUUAGACUAAUUAUAUAACUGUAUUCUUAGACUAAUUACAGCAGCUAUCUUAGACUAAUUAUAUAGCUGUAUUCUUAGACUAAUUACAGCUAAUUCCUACCAACUCUUUACCUGAUUUGAAACUUUGAUUUUGAAUUUCCUUUUAAAUAUUCUCGAUCGAUUUUGCAUCUAAAUUUUGAUUUUUGGAUAGAAUAAGAAGCUAAAAUAUAAAAUCUACCCAAUAGUUGCUAAUUGCUUGGUGAAAGGCGCCUUGGUCGCCAAUACAGUACUAAUCAAAAAUGACAAACACUACUGAAACUUCAUUGCUUUGGAAUACAGUUAUCAAGAGAUAGAUACAAUGGAUUCUAUCCAAAUUAGUUGGAGCUGAACCAGUCUUACUAACUAUGAGUAUGAUCCUAUCGUUCAUGCCUGGCAACGCCAGUGUCUUGCACUCCACUUUGAUCCACAUUUGUAGCAGAAUUCAAACUUGCACCUGCAUGCAACAGCACGCCAAACCAAACAAAAAAAAAAAGGGAGAGAGCGUGAAUGAUUAUUAAAGAAGGGUCUUGAAAUGAAGCAUCGAGAUCAGCAUAUGAGAUGUCACAAAUUCUAGUCUAACAAGCAUUCGUCAGUUGGGGACACUGAGUAUGGACUGGAAUUCUACAAUAUUAGUUAUUUUUGGAUCUUUCAGAUCAUCAGAUCAAGAAAGAAGGGAAGAAAAAUAUCACAUUAUAGACAUAUUGCACUAUAGUAGCAAAAGAAUCAGCUGACCUGCAAGUCAUAUGAAUACAUCCUGCAACCUUGUCAACAACAUAAUUGCAGUUGGGACAUUUGGUCCAUUUCUUCUCCUUAGUAAGGACGUGCACCUUCAGAUCAUCGCUGCCUCUUUCAUUCACUUUCAGCUUCUGGAAUUGUUUACAGUUGAAACCACCAUGCCAGGGGACAUAACAUCGUGCACAGAACAAUCGACGGCAUACUGGGCAUUCGGACUGUCUGAUCAUCUUUCCCUUCUUAUCGUCAUUCAGCAACAUGGCUGAGCAAUCCUUGAACGGACAAUAGAAUUUCUGUGAAUCGGGGAUUGUUGCCUCAUUCCAGGCCUUUUCCCAUCGAGCAAAAACAAUUUCAGGGAUUAUACCCCUGAGAGAAAAAGGUUGAAUGAUGUGGUCACAAGUUAAAGUCGGGCAAGUUAUCAUAUGAAUGUUUUCUUGGAUCUUUGCCUCGACGUGUGUCUGGAUACGCAAUCACAACAGAAACUGUGAGAACAGGUCUCAAAUUUGAACAUUUCGUGCCUUUCUUUUCGUUCCAUACAAAUCUCGCAGUAUACUGUUUGUGAUUCACCUGCAGCCUGUUUGGCUUUAAAUGAUGGACUUUUGUGGUGGGAUAUCUGAAGAUUGGCCAGAGAAGCCUGCAGGGCCUCUUCGACCUGUAAUUUUUCUGCAUAUUCAGCAUCUGAUACCUCUAACCUACUCUCCCCACUUCCUCCAACGAUUUCACGCAGAUAUUUUAGUACGCGUUCCAUCAAAGUUGACUACAUGUUCAUCAAGAAAAAAUAAAUCUUAAGUACGUUGAUUCGGUCUAAGUCUUAAACUUUAAGUAGAAGUUAACUACAAUAGGAUAUAUUGUUUGAUCGACAAGUAAUUGCUCAUCUUCUGCUUCCUAUUGGUAAACUUCAUUGAAUUUUAGAGAUGAAUCUUUUAAAAGCAGGUACAUAGAAUUGGUUGAACACUGCUGAAAUCCACACUUUAACAUGAACACCAGACCAGACUUCUUAAUCAUGGACGUAAUAUUGCAAUGGUAGUGGGGCCAAUGCUUCGUUUUUCUAUUUAUUCAUUUUAUAUAAAUUGGGUUGGGUUGAUUCUAUUGAAUUUAAUCGAGUUGUUUAGGACUUAUUACUCUUGACAAAGUCCUAGCCAUCUUAAAAAGAUGCUUUUAUAUUUGUAAAGAAAGGAAACAGCACUCUUUAACCGUUAAUUAUUUGUUCAAUGCGACUAAGGGAACCAUUUAAAAGCCUCCUGUUUGUUUGGAGUUGCAGUAGCUUUAUCUAAAAGCACUUCAAUGAACAGAACUUUCACCAGUAAAAGUACUUACUAAAUGCUUGAUAAAUCCUUAUUCAAGUAUACGCCCCAAACAAUUAUUAAAAUGUUUAGGACAUAUAUUUGAUUAAGUACAUUUUCUAUUUUCUAUUUGUAAUUUUAAAUGUCUAAAAAAUAUUUAUUUCUUCAUCUAGUUAAACAAAUUAUAAUAAAAUUGUUAAAGUUAAUUUUAUUUUUUUUUUCAAAACACAAAAAUUAUUCUAAAAGCACCGAUUUUGAAUUUUGUGCUAGAAUUGCUUUAAAUGUCCAAAACCUCUGCUCCUAAUUUUAUUUUAUUUUUUUUUUGUAAUUUCAAACGGCCCCUAAGUUAGUCUAAAAUCUACCUAGGUAUGAGAAGAACCACUUCAAUUUAUGUGGUAUUUGAAACCGGCAAAAUCAUAGAGUUUCAGAUCACAAUGCAUAUAAAGCUAACAAAAUUCUUGGUGAAAUGUAUGAAAAAAAAUAACACGGAAAGUCUAUCUUGGAAGUUGAAGUUUCAAGAUCACAAUGCAUAUAACGCCAACAAAAAUUCUUGGUGAAUUACAUGGAGAGUCUAUCUUGGAAGUUAGAAGUGUUAAAAGACAUAAGAGCAAGGUUGUUAGCUAGUGUAGACUUAUAAAUACCUUAUAUGACCAACGUAUUACAUCCUUCCCUGAUAUGCUGACAUUAAGCGCCCCAAACCCUAAAUGUAGCAUCUAUCCUGGUUCCAAAGUUUCCAGCUCCAAGGCCCCCACAAGUCUGUAUCGACAACUCCGCUUCCAUAGCUUGGAGCCCAUCUUCCCAACUUUCUUAACUCUAUUGUAUGUCUUUCCUCACUUUUUAAACUUUUUUUUUUAUGGGUGUAAGUGAGAGGUUUUGAAACUCCUCCCUCUCUCGAUGCCGUUCAAUCCAUUCCUCCCCUCCAAAACGUUAUCCCUAAUUUUAUUUUAUAUUAUGUUGUUUUAAUCAAUAUACGUGAAAAACACAUAUCCAUCAUUCAGAGUGGUGAUAAAGAUUAGGAGCUAUGGUGUUUAUAGAGUUUAGAUUCCUUCACAUCAUGAGUCUCAAAUUAAAAACAAAUUCAAUCUAUUUAAGUCUAAUCUAGUGAUAAAAUAAACCCGAGUAACUAUUAUACAAUGAAAAAUUAUCAUGCGACGAAUCUAUUUCUUUGAGAUUUCGUAACUAUUAAUACAUAUAAUCUACUUACGUGAUUAUUUGUGCCUUUAACUUAGUGAUAAAAUAUACAUCAAUUAAUAUAUUAGAGCACUAUAUGUGGUCAUCAGGUCACACAAACUUCAACUCACUGACUUGGAACACUAAAUGAACAUAGAAGCGGGACAGUAAUUUAACAACCGACUUCCUGUCAAAAAGAAAAAACAGGAAAAAAAGAACUUAAAAACAACUAUUGCUGGUCUAAAUGUCAAAUGAAUCCGGUUCAAUCUUCAAAUUAAGCUCCUUAGACCCAUUUAAAAGCAUAAAAAAGAGUUUGGUCAUUAGCGUUUGAUAAAUGAUAGAUACUCCAAACAAAACUGAAUGCUGUAAUUGAUACUCCAAGUCUUGGGUGUUUGGAUUGAGAAGAUUUGAAACAAAAUAAUGUGUUUCACAAAUUCCAAUCACCUUUUUAUCUUCCUAAUCACCUUUUUAUCUCACAUACAUCACAUCACAAAAAUUGCUACAGUAAUUAUCUCAAAUAAAUCAUCCAAAUAAACUCCUAUCCAAAUAAGAAUGUGUUUGGAUAACCAAAUUUUUUUAAAUAAUAUUUCACUUACAUCAUAAACAUGUUUCUCAACCCAUUUUUUUAUAUUCGCAACCGUUUUUUCAGGCAGCGUACAUUCUUUACUUGCGCACUUCUACUAUAGUUGUCCAUUCGCUAGAGUCUCAAAUUUUGAGUUGAUAGUACGAUAGAUGCUUCCCCAUAAUCAAUGGUCUUCAGACAAACUAAAUUGAAACUUUACAUAUGAUUUGUGCUGAGGUGCAGAAAUUAUAUUUGCUAACAACCACCGUGAGCUGAACUCCAAGGUUCUCCGCAAGUAUAGCAGAAUUGAAAUCCACACCUGCAUCACCACUCAUAAAGAAGACAUUUUUCAACUUCCCAUCUGUUUCUGUUCAGGUAAUUGAAUGUAGGAUUUGUUUGAAUCAUCCAGGAUCCUCGAAUGCAUAGACAGAUAAAGAUAAAGAAAUGGAUAAUCUUGAUUCAGGGUACCAUGUUUGUUUGGACUGAAAAUCUUUUCCAGAAAAUAUUUUCUUCAAUUUCUGGUGGUUAGCUGCAAAGAGGUCAGGAAAAUUUUUUUCCGGUAGAAAAUCUUUUACAUAACUUGGUGUAAAAUGACUUCCGGAAUUAAGAUACGGAAGUUAGUUUCUCCCGACAACUAUCUAUCGCAACUAUCUAUUGUACAAAACCAUCAAGUAAUAUACCACAGAGAUCAAAUCAAGAGCAACGUCCCUGCACUUGCUUCUGCAAAUCCCACAACUUUCCACCUCUUCGAGCUCUCCUCUUUCCUAUGUUCUUCCCUACCAUCCCUUUACUCUUGCGCCACACAAACACAUUUAUGGAUUAUACAAUUCCAGAUCUAGAUUGGGCUUUGCAUUGAGAAGUUUUGGAGAAGAAAAAAAUUUCUGGUUUUAGUUUUCUAAAAAUUCCCGAGGCCUUCAAUGGCCCAUUAUUACUCUCUAUUGCUCCUCUUUCCUGUGCCUACAACAUAUACGUUUUCCUGGAUUGUCGUGUUGAACAAUGCUCUGUGAUUAGGCUAGGCUGUGAUAAUCAAGGGAUCACCCAUUCUAGUCAUAGAAGGAGGAAACCACAACAAGAUUCUAGAAACAAAAAAAGAAGGAACAAAAAAGUAAUGGUACAAUCACCAUUCACAAAAACAGGAGUGACGAGCACUAGAAAGUAGAAACUGACCUGCAAGUCAUGUGUAUGCAGCCCUGAUUUCUUUCGACGUAGUAUUUGCAUCUAGGACAUCUGUUCCAACUUUUCGCCUUGGCAAGCUCCCUCAGCAUAAGAUCUUCCCUCCCUCUUUCAUCCUCAUUCAUCCUGUGGAACUCUUCACAAUCAACCCCAGGAUGCCACGGCACAUAACAUUGAGCACAAAACAAUCUCCGACAAAUAGGACACUCGGAUUCCCUAAUAACUUCAUCGCUAUCUCUCACCAACAUCGCUGAACAAUCCUUAAAAGGACAAUAAAACUUCUGAGAUGCAUCAACCAAUGCAUCACAAAGCAUCUCAUCCCACUUUUCCAAUACAUCUUUAGGCAUAAAAGACCUACAAGAAUCAAACUCAAUCGCACUUCCACAAUUCACAGCAGGGCACCUGAUACCGUGUACAUUGUACUCAAGUCUGGCUGCAACAUGUUUGCUAAUGCAUUCGUUACAGAACACGUGGCCGCAACUUUGAAUCGUGAACAUCUGAUCUCUUUCUUUUCUAUCCACACAAAUUUCACAAAAAAUCAGUGAAGAUUCGCCCGAUUCUGCUGUCAUCGCUUCCUCUGCCUGUUCUACUUUAAAACUGAAUGAUGAUGAUGAUGUAGCAACAUUAGCAGCAAUAUUAAGUGUAGAAUAACCCUGAGACGGUUCUGGGAGCAUCGAAGCCACUAGAGCUUCUUGCAACUGCAAUCCUUGAGCACACCUCACAUCUGAUACGGGAAAAAUCUGAUCACCUUCCGCAUCUAAUUCAUCCGCCUCACAGAAAAGUGGAGACAAGUGAAAAUCAUUACAGGAGAGAUCCAAUAAUGCUGGUUCUUGAGCCAUAAGGCAUAAGAAACAAGGGAAUUUUUGUCUAUGAAGGAAGUAGGAUGAAGUAGACUACUAGAAAAUGUGGGUGUUGCAUAGGAAAUGAGUAAUAUGUAGAUUCUUCAGAUGGCUUAACUUGGAAUGACUCCUUCUAGCAAAUUAACAGAUUCUUUAGAUGGCUUAACCUGGAAUAACUUGGGAUAACUUGGAAGGAGCCUAGCAAAUUAACAGAUUCUUUAGAUGGCUUAACUUGGAAUAACUUGGAAGGAGCCUAGCAAAUUAUUUCAGAUGGCUUACCUUGGAAGGAGCCUUCUCUUAUUGGAAUUCCUGGAGUUUGUUUGUGCCUCUUGUCUUUUCGGUGUCUCUGUCUUCAACGUUUUGACUUCAAGUCAAGCCAAUUUAAAAAAGACGUUCCGUACAAUUACAAUUGGAUUAUUUCCUGCAAUUUGUUAUCAAAUCGAGCGUAUAAGUUCAAGUAACCGCAAUACUUUCGGCUUUAUCAAAAGGGAUAAUUUCAGAAACCGUAUAAGGGAGGUUUCUGAUAAUUGCAGAGAUCUCCACUCAAGUUUAUUAAAUUACACCUACCUCCCUUGCUUUUACUAUAUAUAUAAUAAUAUAGACCGAGAAGGCUAUAUUUUUUCUUAAAAAUCCUAAACUACCCUUUUUUGUACAAAAAUAAAACAAAAAUUAUUUUGCCAAUUGUUUUUUUUCAUAUUUCAACUAAAACCACUAUACUAACAAAAUAGUCUAACAAAUAGUGUAAUUUCAAAUUCUAAACCCAAACAAUUCCAUCAUCAUAUUCAUAAAAUUGUUUCUCCCAAAACAUGCAUUCAAUUCUGAAGAUUUGUUCCAUUUUUCAAAAAUAUUCUCACCAUAUGGUUCCAUGUGGUCAAACUGCAAAUCAAUUGUUAUUGUGUUUGCAUAAUCUUCAACAUAGGAUACCAUGGUUUGGUUCCAUAUAAGUGGUUUAACUCCAACUACAUGAACCACGUAAUGGCCUUGGAAACAAUCCUUAUGGGAGAUUUAGGCAUGGAUGGGAUUAAUCAAAUUUUUUUUAAAAAAAUGCAUCAUUAUGACUAUAGAGAUCUCCAAGAAAUUCAUUUUGCCAAAAAUCAAAAUUUAUUUAUAACUAAUCACACCCCAAACUUCAAACCCAAUGCCUACAUCUACUUAAAACAAAAUAAUCUAACCUACCAUUAAAUCUCCAAACAUGCUAACGGCUUAAAUACAGAGAUGAAGCUCUAUCUCCAUAGUGAAACCACAACCAACAAUUGUCAAGUAUAAAAAGAAAUAGAAAUGUACUUAUUAACAUCUUAAAAAGUUUUUUAGAUGGAUGAUAGACAAAUUAGCAAAUUUACCUAUUUCAAUCCCUCUUCUCUUUUGACCAAUGAUUGCAUUAUUUGUUUCAUUAUUAUUGUGUGGCUUUUCAUCUCCUUUUAAUUUGAUCAUGAAAUAGGAUUUUACUUCAAUCAUCAAAUCCAAUCCCUCAACUAAACAUAUGAUUUGGCAAUUUCAAAGAGAAAAAAGGAAAAAUAGGAAUAUAUAGUAGAGUUUAAGGGAUCACUUGUGAUGUGAUUGGCUGCAAUUAUAGGCAAUAAUUAGUGGUAAUUUGAGAUCGAAUUAUAGGAGAAAGGGGUUAACGGAUGAGAAUAAAGUGAUAAUAAGUGGGAGAGAAUCGUUGUUGGUUGUAACUUGUUAAUAGAAUCGCUGAAAAGGUCAGGUUUCUCUUUGUUUUUUUAAAAUCUCAUUUCAUUAUACUAUGAAUUAUUUAUUAAGUGAAGGUCAUUAUAGUCAUUUUAUUGUGACAAGGGAGAUUGGUGUAAUUUGUAAUACUUGAGGGGAGUUGAGUGCAAUUGUUAUAAAUCUCAGGAAGGUUUGUGAAUUAUCCCUUUUCAAAAUUUCGAACAAGCCCUUUUUUAUCGUGUUUGCGUUCAAACUUUCCAUGGCAUUAAAUUAUGGUAGGAAUUUGUGAUUUGCAUUUCUCCAAAAACCUUUUUUUUUUUUUGUAAUACAAUACAAAAACUCAUAAGUUGUAAACUUAGGCCCGUUUAGUAAGUGAAUUUUUUGGGUGUUUGUUUAAAAUUUUACUGUAACUUAUUGUAGAAAUUGUAGAAAAAAAAUUUGAAGUGUGUAAAUUUUUGGAUAUUUUGAAGUGUAUAGUUUAAAAUUUUUGAGAAGUUUUUUGAAAUUAAUAUAACUAAAGUUGUUAAAAAACUUGUAGCAGACAAAUUUAGUCAAAAAACUUGCCUGCCAAACAAGGCCUUGGAUGGUUAAAAAAAUAAAGGAAAAAUAUACCUUCCUUUCGGAAAAACUCUUUUCACGACUCUGAAAAGGGUAAACUGCACUUUUUUCUUUUCUUUUUUUGGUUCUCCAAUGGUUUAACAACCAGGCCUAGUGUUUUUCAAAUCUACUAAUUAGUACCUCUUUAUACUUUGGGUAAAAGUGCAAGAUGAAGGAAACAAACACGUUUCAAUAGUCACCCACCUAAUGUUGUGUGGGUUUUCUAAGUUGAUUCCUAUUUUGUCACUUUUAUUUAUACAAAUUUACCCUCUAGUGGGUUAAGAAAAUAGGAAAAAAAAUGUUUAGAAGUCGAACUGAAAACUUUACAAGUGCCAUUAAUUCUUCCUUAAUAGCAAAAAUAUCAAUCAAUUCCAAUAUAAAAUUGUAUAAAUUGAUGACAUUGAUCAAGAAAACCGAAGAGGGAAGGGAGGGGGGAUAAGUCAUUUUGGUAUAGGAUGUCAAUUAUAUGAUACUUCCCAGUGCUUUGACAUUUUCCUUCAUUUAAAGAGUCAUCCAUUAUUGUCAAAAUGACUUCUCUACUCUGGACCAAAAUAUCAAAUUUCACCUAUACCCCUUUCCUUUUCUCUUUUUCCUGAUCAAUCUCACCAAAAUAGACAAUUAUAUGUUGGAAUUUAUAGAAAUUUGUGUUGCCGACGAGAAGAAAAUUGUGAAGUUUCUACUUUGACCUGUAAACUUUUCUUUUCCCCCCUGUUAACUCUUUUGAGGGUAUUUUGUAGGAAAAUAUGCUGAGAAAUGCUAAAUGGAUUACAAACACUCAGAUACUUUAGGUUCAAAAUACGUCCAUCUUAUACUUUUACUCCUUCAACAUUAAUUAUUGUGAUUCUAGAACUUCCGAACACUCUUUAACCGUUAAUUAUUUGUUCAAUACGACUAAGAGAACCAUUUAAAAGCCUGUUUGUUUGGAGUUGCAGUAGUUUUAUCUAAAAGCACUUCAAUGAAUAGAACUUUCACCAAUGAAAGUACUUAUUAAAUGCUUGAUAAAUCCUUAUUCAAGUAUACGCCCCAAACAAUAUGAUAAUAAAAUUCUUUGACUAAAAGUAAUUGUCCGGGCGUUUAAUUGAAUAAGUACUUUUUCUAUUUGAUAAUCUGCAAUUUUAAAUUUACAAAAAAAUAUUUAUCUCUUUAUUUAGUUAAAAAAAUUAUAAUAAAAUUGUUAAAGUUAAUUGUUUUUAUUUUUGAAUUUUAAGCUAGAAAGAAUUGCUUUAAAUGUCCAAAACCUAUGCUCUUAAAUUUAAGAAACGGUGAGCACAUUUUAUUUGCAAUUUCAAACUGCCCCUAAGUGAGUCUAAAUCUACCUAGGGUAUGCAAGCCCUAAGAAGAACCAUUUCAAUUUAUGUGGUAUCUAAAACCGGCAAAAUCACAACGUUUCAGAUCACAAUGCAUAUAAUGUUAACAAAAUUCUUGGUGAAAUGUAUGAAAAAAAAUAACAUGGAAAGUCUAUCUUGGAAGUUGAAGUUUCAAGAUCAUAAUGCAUAUAACGCUAACAAAAAUUCUUGGUGAAAUAUAUGAAAUAGAAUUACAUGGAGAGUCUAUCUUGGAAGUUUGAAGUGUUAAAAGACAUAAGAGCAAGGUUGUAAGUGUAGACUUAUAAAUACCUUAUAUGACCAACGUAUUACAUCCUUCCUUGAUAUGCUGACGUUAAGCGCCCCAAACCCUAAAUGUAGCAUCCAUCCUGGUCCCAAAGCUUCCAGCUCCAAGGCCCCCAACCUAUGACUUCCAGGCCCAUAAGUCUGUAUCGACAGCUCCGCUUCCAUGGAGCUUUUCUUCCCAACUUCCUUGACUCUAUUGUAUUUUUUAUUGGGAACAAACGUACUAAAAUAAAAAGGGCAUGGAAAGGCAAAGUGAGAGAUGCAAGGGAACGUCUUACGAUUAACCAACCAGCUCUAAAUUGAUUCUUUUCAUGUCACAUGAUGCUGCAAGAAAAGGAAAAGGAAAAGGAAUAGAAGUAGAACAGACAACCUUAUUGAACAAGCAAUUUCUUCUCCAUUUCAGUUCAAUUUAGUUCAACAAAACAUCCAUCAAGCCCAGAUCAAGUCUUGGAACCUAGUAACAAAAAGUGUGUUUGGAUAACCAAAUUUUUUCAAAUAAUAUUUCGCUUACAUCAUAAACACAUUUCUCAACCCUUUUUUUUUUUAUAUUUUCAACCGCCUUUUUACGUCCGGUACAUUCUUUACUUGUGCACUGCUACUAUAGUUGUCCAUUUGCUAGAGUCUCAAGUUUUGAGUUGAUAGUACUAUAGAUGCUUCCCCAUAAUCAAUGGUCUUCAGACAAACUAAGUUGAAACUUGUACAUAAGAUUCGUGCUGAGGUGCAGAAAUUAUGUUUGCUGACAACCACCGUGAGUUGAACUCCAAGGUUCUCCACAAGCAUAGCAGAAUUGAAAUCCACACCUGCAUCACCACUCAUAAAGAAGACAUUUUUCAACUUCCCAUCUGUUUCUGUUCAAGUAAUUGAAUGUAGGAUUUGUUUGUUUGAAUCAUCCAGGAUCCUCGAAUGCAUAGACAGAUAAAGAUAAAGAAAUGGAUAAUUUUGAUUCAGGGUCUGUUUGUCUGGACUGAAAAUCUUUUCCAGAAAAUAUUUUCUUCAAUUUCUGGUGUUUGGCUGCAAAAAGGUCAGGAAAAUUUUUUUCCGGUAGAAAAUCUUUUACAUAACUUGGUGUAAAAUGAAUUCUGGAAUUAAGAUACGGAAGUUAAUUUCUCCCGACAACUAUCUAUCGCAACUUAUCAGUCUCCUUGGCGCUUCUCUAUUGUACAAAACCAUCAAGUAAUAUACCACAGGGAUCAAAUCAAGAGCAACGUCCCUGCACUUGCUUCUGCAAAUCCCACAUCUUUCCACCUCUUCGAGCUCUCCUCUUUCUUAUGUUCCUCCCUAUUAUCCCUUUUCUCUUGUGCCACACAAAACACAUUUAUGGAUCAGACAAUUCUAGACCUAGAUUGGGCUUUGCAUUGAGAAGUUUUGGAGAAGAAAAAAAAAAAAGUGAAGCCAAUGGAGGCAGGAGGAACAUUUUUAGAAGAAGAUUUGAUACAAUAAACAUCAAGUUUCAAUUGCUAAUUUCUUAUAAUGGUUCAAUCAGUGGUAAGCAUAUUUUUAUUACAAUGACACUCAACCAGGUUUGGGAGAUUGUGAGUUCCUGGUUCUGGUCUUUGAACAAUGCUCUGUGAUUAGGCUAGGCUGUGAUAAUCAAGGGAUCACCCAUACUAGUCAUAGAAGGAGGAAGCCACAACAAGAUUCUAGAAACAAAAAAAAAAAUAAAAGUAAUGGUACAAUCACCAUUCCCAAACACAGGAGCGACGAGCACUAGAAAGGGCUAAUUGAUCAGAAUAUAGACGAAAAAAAAAAAGGUCAGACAACUACGGUUCUGACAUUGGAUCUGUAUAAAUCUAUGGGUGCCGGGCUGACACAGCCCGGCACCUGACAACUUUAAAACCUGACAACUUUAAAAAAAAAAAUUGGUGUGUCAGGUGCCCUUCAUUGAUACAGCCCGGCACCUGACAGCUUUUUAAAGCUAAUUCAAUUUUCUGUCUUCUGAUUCAAUUGUUAAGAAGCCGCAGAGUUUUUGUAUUUAUGAGAUGUCGACUAAUAAGUGGUGCUUCUUAGUUGGUGGAAUCUCACCUUAGUAUCCAGUUGUUUAAAUUUGUUUAAUGGAUUAAUUAAAUUAGUUUAACUAAAAUUGAUGUAUUUAGCAUAACUUAAGUAUAGAUAUUAGUGUUAUUAGUUUAAUACAAUUUACUUUAUUAUGCAAAUUAGUUGAUAAUUAGUUUAUGUUAUUUAGUAAACAAUUAUUUGAAUUAGUUUAGUCGAUUAAUUAGUUGAAUUAAUUGUGGAAUUAGUUAAAUUUAAGAGGUUCGAUUAAAUGAAUUUAGAUGUAUUUGGCGAGGUUAGUUUAUGUUAUUUAGUAUAUGUUAUUAGUUUAAUUAGUUUAAAUGAAUUUCGAUUAAAUGAAUUUAAAUGAAUUAGUUUACUGUUUAGGGUUUAAUGUUUAGGGUUUUAGGGUUUAGGGUUUAGGGUUUAGUGUUUAGGGUUUGGGGUUUGAUCUUUUGCAUGAUGCAACAUGUCACAAAUUGGAAUUGAUAAUUACUAAUCAUAUCACAAUUUCAGCCUUACGAUAUUUUCUUGAGAAUAAAAUGAGAAACUAUAAAUGAAAGAGGAAAAUUCAAAAUUAAAAGAAUAUGGAUACUAGAUAAUUGUAUUUCAAGUCAAGUGAUUUGAAUAUUUUUUAAUCAUUUAAGGAAAAGAUAGAAUUCUACAGUUUCUCUUUUUCAAUUUCAAUCAUUAAGAUAUCAAUUUUUGUGAAAAAAGAAGAAAAUUUAAAGAAACAAUAAAGUGACAAAGAAAAUAUAAUACCACAAAAAAGGAACAAAAAAAUGCCAGAGAAAGAAGAGUUAAUAAUAGUAUAGGUAUAAUUGUGUCCAAUGCAAGAUAAAGCGAGACAAAAAAAUUGUUAGGAGCUACCGUGAAAAAUGAUAUAUAUUUUAAGAAAUUUAAUUACGACGCCUGGAUUUGCUUGGAUUGUAAGUUAUUUGGGAUAUUUUUACUGUAACACUUUUUGUGAUGUGAUGUAUAUGAGAUAAAAAGGUAAUUGGGAAGAUAAAAAGGUGUAUUGAAAAUUGUAAUGAUGUUGUAAACAAAUAAAAUUGAAGAAAUAAUGCUCAAUCCAAAAUAUUAUAAAAAUUUUUGUCAAGAUGCCUUGACCCAAAAAUUUUUUUUUUUUCACCUUUUGCGUGUUUGUAAAAGUUGAAUGUCAAAUGUGUUUUUUAUUUUUAUUUUUCUAUACCGAUUCAAAUUUUGACUCAUACUUAUAGCAAAAGUUACAAGCACCAUUCUCAUUGAUCUAAACUAAAAUAAGCCCAGCUAGUAAUUUUGUUUACUUUUCCUAUUUGCCUCUUUUUUUUCCUGUGUAUAAUUUCCGGCUACCCCGUUUCCUGAAUCAGCAGCAACAUAUGCAACUUGAGUUGGAAUCCGUCAAUACUUAGUUAUGCUAUAAUAAUAUUGAACUCUGCAAGGGUACAUACUAGAUUCAAUUCCAUGCCAAUUUUGACACUUUCUUUGUCAAAUUUUUUAUUUUGGUUGACCUUUAUCAGAUUAUAUAGUGCCCUAUUCAAAUUAAUCUUCAUGCAACACAACUUUUCGGGUCUCUCCCUUUCUCAACCAAAACACAAAAUGGAUAUCUUUGGUUUGGGAUGCUUUGAUGGGCGCCGGGCUAUGACAACUUAAAAAAAAAAUAAAGUGGUGUCAGGUGCCGGGCUGACACAGCCCGGCACCUGACAACUUUUAAAAAAAAAAAUUGGUGUGUCAGGUGCCGGGCUGUGUCAGCCCGGCACCCAUAGAUUUAUACAACCCCCAUGCCAGAACCGUAGUUGUCUGACCUUUUUUUUUUACGUCUAUAUUCUGAUCAAUUAGCCGAAAGAAAGUAGAAACUGACCUGCAAGUCAUGUGUAUGCAGCCCUGAUUUUUUUCGACGUAGUAUUUGCAUCUAGGACAUCUGUUCCAACUUUUCGCCUUGGCAAGCUCCCUCAGCAUAAGAUCUUCCCUUCCUCUUUCAUCCUGAUUCAGCCUGAGGAGCUCUUCACAAUCAACCCCAGGAUGCCACGGCACAUGACAUCGAGCACAAAACAAUCUCCGACAAACAGGACACUCGGAUUCCCUAAUAACUUCAUCGCUAUCUCUCACCAACAUCGCCGAACAAUCCUUAAAAGGACAAUAAAACUUCUGAGAUGCAUCAACCAUUGCAUCACAAAGCAUCUCAUCCCACUUUUCCAAUACAUCUUUAGGCAUAAAAGACCUACAAGAAUCAAACUCAAUCGCCCUCCCACAAUUCACUGCAGGGCACCUGAUACCGUGUACAUUGUACUCAAGUCUGGCUGCAACAUGUUUGCUAAUGCAUUCGUUACAGAACACGUGGCCGCAACUUUGAAUCGUGAACAUCUGAUCACUUUCUUUUCUAUCCACACAAAUUUCACAAAAACUCAGUGAAGAUUCGCCCGAUUCUGCUGUCACUGCUUCCUCUGCCUGUUCUACUUUAAAACUCGCUGAUGAUGAUGAUGAUGCAGCAUUAGCAGCAAUAUUAAGUGUCGAAUAACCCUGAGACGGUUCUGGGAGCAUCGAAGCCACUAGAGCUUCUUGCAACUGCAAUCCUUCAGCAUACUUCACAUCUGAUACGGGAAAAAUCUGAUCAUCUUCCGAAUCUAAUUCAUCCGUCUCACGAAAAAGUGCAGACAAGUAAAAAUCAUCACAGGAGAGAUCCAAUAAUGCCGGUUCUUGAGCCAUAACGCAUAAGAAACAAGGGAAUUUUUUGUCUAUGAAGGAAUUAGGAUGAAGUAAACUACUAGAAAAUGGGGGUUUUGGAUAGGAAAUGAGUAAUAUGUAGAUUCUUCAGAUGGCUUACCUUGGAAGCAGCCUUCUCUUAUUGGAAUUCCGGGAGUUUGUUUGUGACUCGUCUUUUCGGUGUCUUUAUCUUCGACAUUUUGACUUCAAGUCAAGCCAAUUUGAAAGAUGUUCCGUACAAUUACAAUUGGAUUAUUUCCUACAAUUUGUUAUCAAAUCGAGCGUAUAAGUUCAAGUAACCGCGUUACUUUCGGCUUUAUCAAAAUUUCCGACAAGCCCUUUUUAUCGUGCUUGCGUUCAAACUUUCCGUGGCAUUAACUUAUGGUGGGAAUUUGUGAUUUGCAUUUCUCCAAAAACUUUUUUUUUUUUUUUGGGUAAUACAAUACAAAAACUCAUAGGUUGCAAACUUAGGUCUCGUUUCGCAAGUCAAUUUCUUGGAUAUUUAUCUAAAAUUUUACUGUAGAAGAUGUAGAAAAAAUUUUUGAAGUGUAUAAAUACUUGGAUAUUUUGAAGUGUAUAAUUUAAAAAGUUUGAGAAGUUUUUUGAAAUUACUGUAAUUAAAGUUGUUAAAAAACUUAUAGCAGAGAAACUUAACCAAAAACUUGCUUGUCAAACAAGGCCUUAGAUGGUCGGAAAAAAAAAGAAGGAAAAUAUACCUUCCUUUCGGAAAAACUCUUUUCGCGACUCUGAAAAGCGUACACCGCACUUUUUCUUUUCUUUUUUUUUGGCUCUCCAAUGGUUUAACAACUAGGCCUAGUGUUUUUCAAAUCUAAUAAUUAGUACCGCUUUAUACUUUGGGUGAAAGUGCAAGAUGAAGGCACGUUUUCGAGAGUCACCCACCGAAUGUUGUGUGGGUUUUCUAAGUUGAUUACUAUUUUGUCACUUUCAUUUAUACAAAUUUACCCUCUAGUGGGUUAAGAAAAUGAGAAGAAAAAAAAGUUUAGAAGUGGAACUGAAAACAAACUUUACGAGUGCCGUUAAUUCUUCAAAAUUCUCGUGCAAGUGAACCAAUAACUAAUUCAUUGCAAUGGGACGAACAUGGCUAACACGAAACAAUUACUCCUCUAACUGAAAAAAGAAAAUCACUCAGGAAAAAAAAUAAAAUAAUUGCCUCAUGAAAUAGUAGUGAUUGUCUUUUCUUUUUUCAGAGAAAUUCCACCAAGCAUAUGAAAAUUGGACAAAGUCUUGGUAAGAUUUACAGAUAUUUUGUCUCUCUUCUUCCGAAAGGGCAGCUAAAUCGACAAUCACACACCAUAAUCGGCAGCUGUAGAGCCUUGUCUGCAGUUGUGCUGCAUCAAAAAUCCAGAUGUUUUUGCGCUAUAAUGUCCUCUAGAUUAGCUGCCAAUUUGCUGUUGCCUUUGCUUAUUUUGGCACGCCAGCAGCUAGUCUUGCUCUCAAGUCCUUUCUCAAGAUUUUGCCAGAUGGUGACUUCGGAAUGGCAUCAACAAAAAACACACGGUUUAUUCUCUUGUAGAAUAUCACCUGCUCACCACGGAAAACAGCAAAAAAGAACACCAAUUUAAUGGCCUGAAAGCAGCAAAAACUCAAAAACAACGAUUGAAUAUCCAGCUUUACUAUAAUGGAAUGACCUGUUUCUUGAUAUAUUCCUUAAUUUCAUCCUCGCUGAUAUUGGAAUCUUUUGAUUUCACAACAAAAGCAACUGGAACUUCGCCUGCUGCAUCAUCCUUCAUUCUGAAAUUGACCAACAACGAUGCUAAGGAUCGCUUUUUCACUUGAUAGUCAAAAAACAUAGCAUGGUGGUAAUUAAGGACAUAAACUGUUGUCUUGAUGACAACAACAUUGACACCCCUUUUGUCUAAAGGUAAUUAAUCACUUUCGACUUACGGGACAACAGCAGCAUCUGAGAUGUCAGAGUUAGCGAGGAGCAGGGCUUCAAGUUCUGCGGGUGCGACUUGGAACCCCUUGUACUUGAUUAGCUCCUUAAGGCGAUCAACGAUGAAAAGUUCAUCAUCCUCGUCAAUGUAGCCUACAUCACCUGUAUGUAACCAACCAUCUUCGUCUAUGGUUGCUUUUGUGGCUUCAGGGUCAUCAAGAUAGCCUAGACAGUGAGCAAAAUAAGAAACAGGUCACUCGGGUUUCAUCACUCCCGUCCAGGAAAACUUGUACUGCUACACUGUUAAGAUCUGUAGUAGGAUGACUUUCUUUCCCGACCCUCAAAAAUUGACGGGACUAAUUAUCCGUGUUAGUUUUCUUUCUUAGGUGAGUGAUUGAAACAAAUUUAAGUUUCUCUGCCAAAAGAAUUACUAGUUUUACUGCUAUAUUUCUUGAGCUCUGCCCAGGAAAAACAAGAGUAUGACUUUUUUUUUUUUUCCAUAGACAGAAUCAACACACGCACACUUAAUUUAACACAGAACGCAGAGGUAACACCGAACACACCGGCCCAAACGAGCAAUCUAAGGUGGGACCCACGAGAAACAUCCAUGAGGUUUCUUUUAAUAUCACCUGGGAUCCCAAAGGUUUUAAAAAUAUCACUUACCUCCUUUACUUUUGUUAUUUGUGUAACAAAAUUUUUAAAAACCCUAAACUACUCUUUCACUUUCUAAAUAAAAAUAUUUCUAGACCACUUUGUUCACUUCAAGAAAACCAUCACCUCAAAAACAAUCUCUUGUAGUACUACCACAUCAUAAUGUUAUACCCCAUAAAAUUAUAAAUUUGAAAAGAAAUACACUUGCAUCAAUUUAACUCUAUAUGUUCAAAACGAUUUCUUAUGAAUUUAUAUUUUUUUUCAACAUCUUCUCAACUCUUGCUAAAACCAUUAAACUGUAUCAAUCAUUAUAAAAAUCAAUUCAAACUAAACAAAUAAAUCAUAUAUUACUUUAUCACAAUCACAAAAAGUAAAAUAUAAACAAAAUUCAAUUUAUUAUAAUUUAUAAAUAAAAUAUUUCAUAGUCAUCCAAAAAAUGAGUCAAAGAGAAUGAUGAUGCAAAGAGAAAAAGAAAAAAAUGACUUUUAUUUCUUUUUUCUUUUUUUAAUUUUUGAGCUCCAUUUAUUUGAUGUGUUGUGAAUUAUGUGUCCAGUAAGGAUUAAUAUAGUCUUUUUACAAUUAUGAAGAAAGAUAAGUAAUAUUUCUAAAAUCUUAAGAGUGUCAAGUGAUAUUAUAAGAAACCUCCCUGAUAUUGGCUACAAAAGGACGGAUGAUUGUCAUAAUGAUUCUGUGUAUUUGAUUAACAAGCAUUCUUUUGUUUUCUCUCAUUGUUAGGUUUACCUAAUUCUGUUCCUCAUCUAAAUUAUGACCCAUCAGUCGCCAGCUCGAAACAACCUAGAUUUUCCGAGUUUUAGGUACCUGGUUUACCAUAGUUUUUUUUUUUUUUUUGGUGGAUGGGUAGAACUCCAAUUUUGGAGUUGUAAUUUCAACCUACAAUGUUGUUCAUAUCUUUUAAAGUAUAGAAAAUAGUUACACAAAUAAAGAUCCAAUAAGCAGCCUUAGAGACUCUUUUUGACUCUGUUAAAUAUAUAUAUAUAUAUCACAUAACAUCCUAUUUAUAACCACACCUACCUUUCAUGAUUUGGUCACCUCUGAUGCAGAUUUCUCCAGGUUGGUUUCGGGGUAAAGAGGAACCAGUUUCGGGAUCUACAAUCUUCAUUUCAGCAUUUCUAACAACGGAACCACAUCCGCCUGAUUUAACCUCAAAGGGAUCCUUAGCAAAUGCUGAGCACAUUGCUAGCACAGGGCCGGCUUCUGUCAUCCCAUAACCCUGCAUGCAUUUUCUACCAUUAAUAUUUGUUCCUCAACUGAAUCAGACAAUUAAUCAGCUACUUUCCCUAAUGUCUAGUCAUGCAUCAUCAGCUUUCCUUUUCUUUUUUUUUUUUUUUUUGGCUUUGGUUUUCCUGUGGGGUUGAAAUUUUUCUGGGUCACCACGGUGGCUUUAAAUUAUGUAUACUCUGAACUCAAAUAUAUAAACUUUUUUGAAAGAAAUGCAUAUUUAAAGCUAUUUCAUUGAGCAUAAAUCAUAAAUGAAAAUGAUUUUUCUUCCCCUUUCAGUGAAGAGUUCCCGUUUGGAUUGCAUUUUCCGUCAUUUUUCAUGGAAAAAUUACUGUAGCGAUUUGAUGUAUGUGAGGAAAAAAGCUAAUAGGGAAAUGUGUUCACGGAAAAUGACAAAAUUUUUCUAUGGAAAACAGCAAUCCAAGCAAGGCCAUAUGUAUGAGUACACACAAGAAUUUACGUAGAAUGUGUUGUUAAUUAAUAUUGUGUUUAUACUUUUGAACAAGUAUUCUAACCAUAUUCGCACAAGAACACACACAAAGAAGUUUUGCAUCAUUGUUUUCUUGUUCCCAUCUUGGUAGGCCUGCAUAGUUCUUAGUCUAAUUCUUUAGUUGAUGUUUGGAUAUCAAAUUUUUUCAAAUAAUAUUUUGUUUUUACCGUAAACAUAUUUUUCAAUUCACUUUUUUAUAUUUUCAAUCACCCUUUUAUCUUACCUACAUUACAUCACAAUCACAAAAAAGUGCUACCGUAAUUAUUCCAAACAUUAAAUUCACCCACAAGCAUUAAAUUCCCAAAGCUAAAAUGUUAAAUUACAUAGAUCCUGCCCAUCCUCAUCCUUCCCACACCCAAAACUAAAAGCGGAAAACCAAGUUGAUGCUAACAAAGAAAUUGUAGGACGCAGAAUAAUAGAUCAUGGUAAUUUUGACCCGCAAUCAGCAAUCAAAUAGGACUAAUGCCUCCAGUCCUAUAUCCUUCUCAAUGCUGACCCGGAGCAACCUAAACUAAAUGAUAGUUCUCAGUUCUGAAAUUCAUAUAGGUCACAAAAGUGAAUUGAUUUUCGCACUCCCCCAUUUAAUUCAACCUCUGCCAAUAUACAGUCUUCAAAAAGAGUGCUAGAAACUAGCUGGAAAGUGCAUAUUCACACACUCCAAUUCCAGUGCCGUGGCUUCCCCCCCACCACAAAAAUAUUCCUCAUACGUCGUACACCAAAAGAAAUGAAAGCUAAACAAGGGGAAAUAAAAAAAAUCUAUGCCUGCCUAAAACCAAUAAAAAGUUAUACUAGUAGUUAGUAGUAAGUCUAUAUCAUUUACCUGACCAAGUUUGGCGUUAGGAAAUUUGGUUCUAACAGCAUCUUCAAGCUCCUUACCCAAUGGUGCCGCUCCAGACAUGACAGUCUUCACCGACGAAAGGUCAUAUUCAUCAACCUCUGGACUUUUGGCUAUGGCCAGAACAAUUGGUGGCACAAAUGGCCCAAUUGUGACCUUAUAUUUUUGAAUCAAUUCCAAGAACGGAAUUAUGUCAAAUUUCUGCAUGAUCAAGAUUGUUGUGCCGGCCCUCAACCCACAUAGCAAAAUUGAGUUCAGCGAAUAUAUGUGGAACAGAGGCAAAACGCACAUCAUCACUUGAUUGUGUAUAUAGAAAUUUGGGUUUUCUCCGUCAACCUGUUGUGCCACGCUAGUGACAAGUCCCUUGUGGGUCAACAUCACCCCCUUGGGCAGUCCAGUAGUCCCGGAGGAGUACGGCAGCGCCACCACAUCAUCAGGGCUGAUCUCGACGUCCGGCAUUUCCCUUUCAUCGGCCCCGGUUAGCUCCGAGAAGUGUAAACAACCUUCCGGUGCAGAGUCGAUGCACAUGACUUUCACCCCAUUUUCACAUGCAUAGUCCUUGACCUUUUCGACAUAACAGCCUUGCGUGAUGAUGAGCUUUGCGUUGGAUGCCUUGGCUUGCUUUAUGACUUCGGCAGAGGUGAAAUAUGGAUUGGCCAUCGAGGAUAUGGCUCCCCGGAAAGAUGCACCGAGGAAGGCGAACACGAAUUCCGGCGAGUUUGGCAGCAGGAUCAUGAUCGUAUCUCCUUGCUGUAUACCAACUUUGUUAAGCCCGGAUGCAACUCUUCUUGCUGUGAGCUCAACUUCUUCGAAAGUGUAAAUUUCAUCGGUGGCGCCAUUUAUCAAACAAGCCUGUGAUCUGAACUUAGGAAGGUCUUCGAAACAGUAAGUGUGCAGGGACAGAUGUUUUGGGAUGUAAAUAUCAGGGAGCCUUGAUCGGAAUAUGAUUUCUUCUUGCUUUGUUUUGACAGCCAUUGAAAAAGGGCUUAUUGAAGGGUUACUACAAGCUAGGGAAGAAAUUAAGAGAUUCAAGAAAUGGAACCAGUCAAAAGGAGGCGCGAUGUAAUUAUUCUGCUCUCCUGGGAGUCCAUUGGGCAGAUGGGGCAAUAUUAAUAUGCGGGGCUCAUAUUGUUGUAGGUAGAUGGAGGGGAUUGGUUGGUGAAAUGGAGGAUGAUCAGGUAUAUGGGGGUUGUUCAGGGGUAAAACCGAGAAAAGAUGUUUGAUGUUCAUGAUUGAUUCGGGGGGUUUUGGUUUGUGGGCGUGUGGUAGGUGGGAAUUGAGAGCUAGCUACUUUCCCUUGUCAAACCCGAAUAAAUUAUAAUUGAAUGAAUAUAGAAGAAGAUAUGAGGAUUAUACCACAUUUGUGAUAUCUUAUACCUUUUUUUUUUUUUUUUUGUCACACUCUUGUUUUCACACGUAUGAUAUGUCACAUUGUAGUUCAUGUGAAUCUGUACACGUCAAUAAUGUUAAAAAUACCAAAAUUAUUAGAGCAAUGGAUGUACAACAUUAAAAUAUAUAUUUCAUAUACCAUACAUAUCAAUUAUGUCAAAAUUAUUUUCCAUUCAAAAAAAAAAGAAAGAAAAAAAUUGCGUUUGGGGGGCAAAAAAAUGACUACCAAUCUAAGCCGUCCGUCCCCUGGCCCGAGAGACUGAGAAUUGGUUGAGGACGGUUGUUUUGGGGGGUGGGGCCAGGGGAAAUGGGACCACCUAAAGGAUUAAGGUUUGGUGGUAGACAUGAUGAUGUGUUGACUUAUGUAGAUGAGACUUUUCCACGUUGGCUUUUACCUACCACAAUUAGCUUCGCCGGAGGGGUGUGAGCGGCUGAUGACGAAGCGUGAAGAAGGCCUUCGGAGUUCGGCCGGCGGGUGGGAUUCAACGUUCAUUUAGUCAUGGGAUAAUUUCUUUUAGAAACCUUCCCUGAAAUUUCUAAUAAUUUUACUAGCCUCUCCUAAAGUUUAUAAAAUUAUAUAAAUCUCCCCUAAAAUUAAAAUUUUGAUAACAAAAUUAAUCUAAUUAGAAUGACUUUCAUGUUUUUAUUGUCUUUUGUUUUCCUAAUGUUAACACCUUAACUAGGAAAAUCAAGGAAAAUGACGUUGGCAUAGUACGCGAGUUAUUUAUAAGGUCACGUCAUAUUUUGAGGUAGAUUGUCUUGAGUGUGUUUGGAUUGUAAAUUAUUUGAAAUAUUUUUACUGUUACAAUUUUUGUGAUGUGAUGUAUGUGAGAUAAAAAGGUAAUUGAGAAGAUAAAAAAGUGUAUUGAAAAUUGUAAUGGUAAUGUAAACAAAUAUAUUUGAACAAAUAAUCUCCUAUCCAAAUGAUAACUUGAAUGAUGUAUUCCAAAUGUAAUAGCCAAAUAAAAAAUAUGUUCAGAUUGGAGUUUUCUUUAAAAAAAUUUUUAUCUUUUCUAUAAACGUAUUUUUUAAUUAUUUUUUUUAUUUCACAUGUAUCAUAUCGUUAUAUUAUAUAUAUGUAUUAUAAAAACUUCUAAAAACAGCAUUGCUGAUAGGUUAGACAUUCAGCUAUUCAUUUUCUAGUAAAUUUUGUCGGAAGUGCAAAAUUAAAAGAUGCAUAUCCGAAAACACUUGUAAGAAAAAAAUUAGAAUUAAUUGUGAUUGUUAUUUUUAUUGUUUGCCCCCUUGUACCGUUGUAUCAUGGCACAGCUUCUUUACCCUAUUCUCCUGCCCCCCUGUCCCAAUCAAGCGCAUCAGCCCAAACCAUCAUAUCAUUGGUGCCCCCACGAGGAUUAUUCACCACAUCUUCCCCAAACAAACGUCUGACGCAUUUGAUUAUAAUAAUCUUAUUAUUGACCGGCUAAGUGAUACGAGUCACAUUGUUGGAAUUAUUUUACUAAAAGACUUUAGGCGCAUGUAUCUCUCUGCAUUUUAUUUGAAUAGAGUGUUAUUUGAAAUAAUAAUUGUAGUAUUUUUUAUGAUGUGAUUUAUGUGAGAUAAAAUAAUAAUUAAAAAUAUAAAAAAAUAAAUUAAAAAAUAUAUUUAUAAUGCAAACAAAAUAUUAUAUAAAAUAAUUCAGCAAUCAAAACACACUCGUUUUCCUUUGUCUCUCCGGUCGAACAAGGCUAAUCUGAAUUAGUCCUCAUUUAUCAAUUUUGAGCAAUUAUAAAACAAGAAAGACAAAAAAAUUGUUGAAAAAUGUAGCCUCGAUAGGAGGAAACAAAGAAGAAAACACAAACAUAUAAUUGAAACUCACGAGCACGUAUAAUGUUUGAGUAAUGACUUGUUCUAUUUUUAUUGACGAAAUAAAACUUAACGACACCCCAAUUGUUCCAUCGCUAUCAAUAACCUUAACCACACGAGGAAACAUUUUAUUGAGAACAGAAAUAAUAAUAAAUCUGCAAGAAUUACAAAUAAAUUCUUUCACGCGCCGCUGAACAUAAAUCUCAUUGUAAAUCAUGAUUAUGGAACCAAUUAAUAGCUUCAAUAUCCUUUGCUGCCCCGGACGGAACAUCUUCCAUGACUUUUUCUUGGCCUUUAGGAUAAAAUAUUCCAGUUCGAUCAUCUGGAACCCACCAAUUUCCGUCAUGAUUAUUUCCAGCCACACUACUCUUCUUCUUCUUCUUCUUCAUUUCCUCCCCAUUCAACUUAGCCGUUUCCGGUGGACUGCUUUUUCUGUGGAAGGCUUUCCGCAGCGUUGGUCUAAUAUUUGCAUUUAUUAACCAAAGAAAAUGGCAGUUAGACACAAGAUUCAAUUAUACACAUGGACAACUAGAAAAUUUAGAAACGGAGGAAACCAAUCAUUAUUGAUUUUUACACAUAAACAGCAAAUUAUUUAAGGUUUUUUUUUUUCUUUCUUCGUUCCUUUUUGUUUUUGGCUGUUUCUCUUCUUUAAUUUAUUGUACCCAAUUUACGAUGCCAGUACCAUUUAAUAUUUGGUCGGUUGUAGCUCAAUUGCCCAUCAUAUAUGUCACAGCACCACAUAUCAACCUCCAGCAUUAUUGUAGCUGAAUGUCUAAUUCUUUUUUCCCCAACAUGCAUUUUCUUUUUUUCUCUUUAUUUAUGACCAUUGCCCACACACAAGUAUAGCCACCACAUGGACUGCAUGUCUAAUUUAAAUGCCUGCCAAGGGAGGAUGAUUCAGGAAUGGGAGCCAGAGAGAGCGUGAAUCAAAAAGGUCCUACACUCCAAACCAAACACCAAAAUGUGGAGUUGCAUCCACGAGUCAAUAUCUACUUUCUUAGAAACAUGCUUUUGCCUUUUGGCCAAACUGUUGGCUCAAACUUGGAAACACUUUCAAAGAUUUAUUAAUGAUUCAGAUUGUAUCGUGCUAACUCAUCAAGUGACGUCAUGCAAUUUGAAUCAUUGAAUUUUUAAAAAUCGGAUCUACCCAAAUUUUGGUCGAGACUAUUAUGUUUCGGAGGUGGUACAACCAAUCGAUUCUGCGCUAAAUGAAAAUCCAAAAGGAGGUGGGAAAAAAAAAUACUCCCUCCGUCCCACUUUGAUAGUUUUGAUUUUUUUUUCACACAGUUUAAGAAAAAGUAGUUAACUUUGUUGGAACAAUCAAUGUAGGUAGCUAUUUUCCUAAAAUACCCUCACAUUAAUUAGAGCAUAACUUUAUGGAAACUUGAAUUUAUGGUAAAAAAAGAAUCAACUCUCAUUAAAUGAGAUAGGUUUAUAGUAACAACAACUUACAUUGAAUAAGGGUAUUUUAGAAAAAUUAAAAUAUAAUUAUAUUUUUCAAUUGAAAAGUGGACUAUAAUUUAAGACAGACGAAAAAGGAAAAUAGAACUAUCAAAGUGGGACGGAGGGAGUAAGAAGAAGGAAAACGAUAAGAUGUAGAGUUAAAAUUAGCUAGUGCUAUCAGUGGUUUCGUAAGCAUGUCUUGCUCUGAAUUUGACCAUGAUUGUAAUAAUUCUAGUUGGAUUUUCAAGAAUGAUAUUCAUAUCUUUUGUGAGCUGAGCCAUUUGUAUUGUUAUUUUCUGAAAUUUUUAUAAUAUAUAUAUUAUAAUGAUAUAAUAUAUGUGAGAUAAAAACGUGUUAAAAAAAUACGUUUACAAAAAAUAUAAAAAUUCUGAAAUUAAAAUUUUCCAGUACUACUUGAGAUAGAAAAUCAUAACCCGAUUUACUUCGCAGUUUUAUCUCUUUUUUAAAACUUAGAGCUAGUUGGAGGACCCUCCCAUCUCUGUAAGACUGGGUCCACAAUGUCAAUGCCCGCCGUUGCAUGUGACUUUGAUCAAUUUUACAAACGGAAAAAAAAAACAAAAAACAAAAAACCCCCGGCCAAAAGCAGUGCACAUUUUACCUCCCGAAAGAGUGAAAUGUGCGAAUUCUUUUCUGCAUCGAUCCCGAAGAUAUCCACUUUUUAUUAACCUUUGACAUUUCACUGUUACAAAAUCAUAUUUCUGUAGUUUUUGACAUGAAAUUUGGUUCCACCAGUUUUAAUUCAAUCUUUUAUAUGCUGGAUUCUUUAUUUGAUUUUUCCUGAAUUUGGGUUUGUGCUCAACAUGUUACGAGUAAUUUUGACCUCUUUAGGUGGCUUCUUAUCUUGCAUGCGAUAAUUCUGCAACAGCUAGAUAAAGAAGUUGGCAAAUCAGCUAAUUAAUUAGAUGCAUCCAACUAAUGCAUAGAGAAAAGGGUUUUUGCUCCUUUUCCGAAUUGCAAUUGUUCGAACAAGCCGAAAUCUAGUCGCAUGUCACAUAAGGUGAACCGGGUCUCUGCAAUUUUUUUUUUUUUUUGGAUAAGUAAGAAUUUAUUAGUACCCAAGAACCAAAAUAACGAACAAGAUACGUUUCUGGAAAAAAAAAAAAAAAAAGAACAAGAUACGUUUCAAAUCAACAACUCUAAACGAUGAUAAUCUCACAACAGUUUGAGAUACUUUGUGAACCAACUACAAAAGAAGUAACAACAACAAACACUAAAAUUUCAAAUUAAAAUCACAUUUUUUGAUAAUAAUCAAACCCCUUUAUAGCCAUCUAUUAGUAUUCGUCGUUUUCGAGUUUUUGCAAUUUUACUCGAACAUGGACAAUUUUUAAGUGUACCACCAUCUCUACAAACCCAAAAAAGAAAUGUGAUGGCAACACUUCCAAUCAAGUCGGACAUCAAAUUUUUGUGUUAACCCCUGAACCCAGUAUCAGAAUGCCUAAAUAGAAGUCUGAAAAAAAAAAACUUAAAAUGUAGAAAAAGGGCUUACUUGAAAUACAUGGAGUUCACCGUCUGAGCUCCUCUACUUGCUGAAGUUGCCAUUAUGUCUGACCUCACUCUCUACACCAAGAGAUUGUUCUCUGGCUUGGAAUUGUGUCAAGUUCUGGACACCAUACCAUGCCUUUUUUAUACUAGUGAGUGUGGGAAAGUAGGAAUUGGAUAGGGAUAAUUUCAGAAACCUCCCCCGAGAUUUCUUAUAAUAUCACUCAGUUCCCCUGAGAUUUUAAAAUCUCACUUACUUCCCUUAGAUUGACAUUUCUUAUAACAUUUUAACCCCUUUGGAAGAAAUACAAGAAAGAUAAAAUUUUUGUUUCAAUACUACCCUUCUAUUAUCUUGCUUAUGAAAUUUAUAACAACAAUAAAAACAAAAUAAGGUUAAAUUUUUAUAAGGUGUAAAUUUCUUGAAGUAAAUUAUUUAUUUUAGUUGUAUUUGAACAAAAGCAAAAUUUGCACCUUGAAAAAUUCACACGUAUGAAGAGAUUAUUUUAGUUUUCAAUACAACUUAAACUAUGCAAUGAAUUAAAAUAUAUUUUUCUAAAAAAUAUCUUGACUUCCUUAAUUGUAACUAUGCAUGAAAUUUUAUAAGGUGUUAAUUAUUCUCUAAAAUCCUCCUAAGUGGUUGAUUUUGAUUAGAUUUAAUUUAUUCAUAUCUCUGCUAUUCCACCAUGACUCUAAUGUAAAGAAAUAUGGACCAUUAUUAGCUAGUAAUUUACUUUUUAAUUUACAUUUUUUGCUUUUAAAAUUUUAUUUUGUUCUGACUUUUUGGUUAAACAGUUGUUAAGAGCAAGGGUAAUAUUGUCAAUUUAUGACCUUUUAUAGGAAUAUUUAGUCUUGCCAAGUUGACAAGGGAGGUAAGUGAGAUUUUAAAAACUUGAGGGGAGUUGAGUGAUAUUAAGACAAACCUCAGGGGAGGUUUUUGAAAUUAUCCCAAUUGGAUAAGUGACUUUAAUUUAAGCUAAGCCUGUUUAGUUUUCCAAGAAGAACGAAGGCUGACGAUUGUUUUUCUGCACAGGUCAUUGGUUGGUUGCUAGUGCCUAGCAGCUAUUUGGAUAUGGAACCGGACAAGCCGUGGAUGUCACGUUAAUUCAUUGGAUAGAUAUGGCCGCCCCCUUGUCCAGUUCCAUGCGUCAAGUAACUUCCUCAAUCCUUCAUUCAUUGCUUGGAUUUUUCAAUGAUCUGAGUUACCACUCAUCCUUCCUUGUUUAACAAGUAGGCGAUUCCUGUCUAAGGAGAAAGUUUCAAACCAAAUUCAGGAAUUAGGACUUCUUGCGGUCAUAUCAUAUGGUUCCUUUAGUUCUUAGGGCUUAAUGCACAUUUGAUAAGCAAAGUCCAAAUGUCACCCGAAGAAGAUGCCUGCGGAUUGCUUGAGCAAUUAUAAUAAGGUCAUGUAUAGUUUGCUUUUCCAAGCAGUCAAAUGUUUGUUUUUUGUACUACUUUAUCUAGUCGUACUGGUAAGUUUUUUUCUUCAAAUUUAUUCCCAUAUGCCUUUUUCUAGCAAUUUUGAACGUAUAUUGUUAGAAUACCAUGGUGCAAGUGUCCAAGAAUAUUCAGUCUGGGACUGAAUCCGAAUGAUGGAAGGGAUAAUGAAGGUCCAUUCACCCAUACCCUCUUAUCCUCUCUGGCUCUCUCAAAACUUUGAGUGGGCCUAAAGCAGGUCUCCAUAUGGGGCGGCUUAUCCUCUGAAGUAACGCAAUUGAACUUCCAUAUUUGUUGGAUAGACGUGAAUGAGAAUAAAUCCACAAGAACUUAAUGACGGCUGCCAAGACACGUCCCAGGGAAGAAAAAUAGAGGGAAAGGAAAGGGGGGAUGGAUGAGAUAGGAAUGGGAUGUGGCUGUUUCUCAUUUUCAUCCAGAAAAUGAAAGGCCCCGGAUAGCAUUAGCCUAUUUAUCCUCAACCCCAAAGGGCAUUCUUGUGUUGUAAUCAAUCUGGAUAAGCCCCGAAACGGGGGAAAAAGGGGUUCUGCAUAGCGAUUUCAUGUUAACUCUUUGUAAAAGUUGACUAAAGAAAACGAGGGCCUCCAGAGUACCCGAAUAUAGGCAUAGAGUUGGUAAAAGUGCCAUACCUUCCCUGUAACAUUUUCCUUGAUUACUUUCAAUUAACUGGAGCAAUUUCCCAUGUAUUGUGCCAGAAUGUAUGAAACUAUAAGUUGAUAAUCUGAUCACUGCAUAAUGUUGUCAUAAUUAUCAGACCACCAAUGGAAGUUUCAAAUGAUUUCUUCAGUGAAAAAUUGCAAGUCACGGUAUUCAGCAACUUGAAGCAUAAUUUGUUCCAAAAACGAGGCUACAGCGCUUCAUUAAUUAUGUAGGAUUCACAGUUGUCGUCUUCGCUAGGUGAAUCAAAAACUUGCCUCUUCGGUUGAUGGUCUCCGCAAAUAAUAUCGCAAGCUAUUAGCA